rnacentral:lncRNA from 1 species
CAAGCUGCUUCUUCUCCUUCAUCUUGCUGCGUUCUAUGAUCCUAACAAGUUCAUCCAGACACCAUGUGGAAGAUGCAUAGUUCUCAGAAAACACAACGAUCAAAAUCCUAGAUUCUUCAAUGGCCUUCGACAGAGCAGGUGAAAGACUUUCCCCUAUCCUCAUGUUCUUAUCAUCCCUGAAAUCUUUUAUUCCCUUCCUACCUAACUCUCUACGCAGAUGCCCAAUAAAAUUGUACCUUAUAUCUUCCCCUCUAAAACUGAUGAACACAUCAUAUGUGAAACCAAGACACUCUUCUUCCUCACCAUGUUUUCCCAUGUUACAAACAAGCCAAAACUACUCUAAGGAUGAUCAACUACUUUGAUCAAUUUAGUGUGUUGUGAUUAAAUACAGUGUCUUACGCGGAUACACGCUUUCCUGUAAUUAUUACAAGAUGUCCCGACCAAGAUAUACUAAUGGGAAGAUAAAUAAUUUACGUGGUGCAUAUUUAAUGUGUUUUAAAUUGCACAGGACUAGUAUCUUGACCCGUGACCCGUGUAAUGCACGGAAAUUUUUUUAAAAUAUAAUAUUUACAUGUAUUACAUUAAAUUUGUUUUUCUCCCGUAUAUUAAAAUUAAAUGAAUUGGUAGAAUGUAUGAUAAUUAUAAAUCAAAAUUACAUCAAUUAUUAAUAAAUAAUACACUACAAGAAAAUCAUGAAAUAGAAACCAAUUUUAGAAACAAAAAUAAUUAGUUGUUAUAGUGACUAAAUUAAAAACUAUUUUAGGGACUAAAUAAAUUUUUGGUUUCUAAAUUAAUUUUUAUUAUUGUUAAAUAGUUUCUAAAUUGGUAUCUAAUUAGCAACCAAAGUUUUUGCUACCAAAUUUAGAAUCUAAAUAAUUGAUAGUUAAAACUUUGGUUGCUAAUUAGAUACCAAUUUAGAAACUAUUUAACAAUAAUAGAAACUAAUUUAGAAACUAACUUUUUUUUUAGUUUCUAAAAUGGUCUCUAAUUUAGUUAUUAUUACAACUAAUUAUUUUGGUUUCUAAAAAAUGGUUUCUAUUUGAUGAUUUUCUUGUAGUAAUAUAAAAAUAGAUAAAAUUGACGAAAAAUAAAAGUAAUAUGACCAAAAUUAUUGAUCAAUUUAGGAUAAUGAUAGAGUCUCUCCUUUAAAUAUCAGAUUUUCAUGAAGAUUUGUAAUGUUACAAAAAUAAUUAAAUAAGACUUAUUAAAUACAAAAUCAACUCAUUGUCAAUUAUUUUGGAAGUGUUUUUCUCAAUCAAAAUUAUAUCAUAGACGAUGUUUUGUAUAUUCCUUGCUUCAAUUUUAAUCUUCUUUCAGUAACAAAAUUGAUUGAUAAAUUAUCUUGUGUUCUUACUUUUGACUCUAAUGGUUGUCACAUUCAAGACAAAAACUCCUUGAAAAUGAUUGGCUCUGCUAAGAUGCAAGAUAGACUUUAUAUACUCAGGAUCCCAUCUUGCUAGAAACUUAAAAUCAAACCCAUCGAAUCUACACACACCAUCAAUAUUGUUAAUGUCAGUGCUAGUGAUCUAGAAACCCUUUGGCAUUUUCGAUUAGGUCAUAUUUAAAAUAAAUGUAUUGAUGUUAUCAAGAAUAAAUUUCCUUUCGUUAAAUAUAACAAAUAUUUUGUUUGUGAUGUUUGUCAUUUUGCAAAGCAAAAAAGGCUUUCAUUUCCUAUUAGUACAUCUAAAUCAAAAAAAUGAUUUGAUUUGAUUCAUGUAGAUAUUUGGGGACCAUACUCAAUACCAUCAAUUCAUGGUCAUAAAUAUUUCUUGAUCAUAGUUGAUGACUAUUCGAGGUACACAUGGAUUUUUCUUUUAAAACGCAAAUCUGAAGUUGUUAAGGCUUUGGAAAAUUUUGUUGUUUUUGUUCAAACACAAUUUGAGACAGCGAUAAAAAUAAUAAGAAGUGAUAAUGAGACUGAAUUUUUCAUGACUAUUUUUUUUUGUCAAUAAAGGAAUAGUACAUCAAACAUCAUGUGUCAAUACUCCACAACAAAAUAGUAUAGUUGAAAGGAAACAUGGUCAUUUAUUAGAUGUAACAAGAGCUCUUAUGAUACAAUCUCAUUUACCCAAAAUUUAUUGGUCAUAUUCUGUGAUACAUGCUAUGCAUAUUAUAAACAUGCUUCCCACACUUGUUUUAAACUAUUCUUCUCCUGAUGAAAUGCUUUACAAAACUGAUGCAAAUUUUAAUGGAUUAAAGGUGUUUGGUUCUUUAUGUUAUGCUAGCACUUUGUCAACAAAUAGAAGAAAAUUCGAUCAAAGGGCAUCAAAAUGUGUUUUUAUUGGUUUUAAAAAAGGGACAAAAGGAUAUAUUUUAUUGAAUAUUCAAUCAAGAUAAAUUUUUGUUUAUAGGGACGUUGUCUUUUAUGAACAUGUUNNNNNNNNNNNNNNNNNNNNNNNNNNNNNNNNNNNNNNNNNNNNNNNNNNNNNNNNNNNNNNNNNNNNNNNNNNNNNNNNNNNNNNNNNNNNNNNNNNNNNNNNNNNNNNNNNNNNNNNNNNNNNNNNNNNNNNNNNNNAGUCACACAUUGAGGUUCCAGAAGAAGUUUGUUCCCAUAUAGACCAAAACCUCAAUGAAGAUCAUGACAUAGAACAAAAUUCUGAAUCAGAUCAAUCUGUCCAAAUGAGUACAAGAAUAUAAAGACCACCUGAGUAUUUAAAGGAUUAUCAUUGUAAUCUUAAUGUUUCCAAUACAUCUUCAAGAGUUAAAUAUCAUUUGAAUUAUGUUUUGUCUUAUAAAAAUUUAUCACCUUCUUACAAAUCUUUUGUUAUGUCUCUUUCUUCACAUGUUGAGGCAAAUACUUAUUUUGAAGCUGUGAAACAUGACUGCUGGAGAAAAGCUAUACAAUGUGAGAUAUUUGCUUUAGAGUCAAAUCAAACUUGGGAGACUCUUGUUCUGCCUAAGGACAAAGCUACCAUAGGUUCCAAAUGGGUAUUCAAAAUAAAAUAUAAGGUUGAUGCAGACAAUUGAAAGGUAUAAAAUAUUUGCUUAUACUGGAAGUGUUCCUUUCAUAGAUAUUCAAGCCUACAGAAGAUUGAUUGGAAGGCUUAUGUAUCUCACUAAUACCCGACCUGACAUAACAUUUUCUGUGCAACAACUUUCUCAGUUUCUUGCUAAGCCUACAAUUGCUCACUAUACUGCAGCGAUUAGAAUUCUCAGAUAUAUUAAAGAAGCUCCAAGUCUUGGUUUAUUUUUCUCUUCCAACACUUAUGCUCAUCUCAAAGCCUUUUGUGAUAGUGAUUGGGGCACCUGCAGUGAUUCAAGACAAUCAAUGACUGGUUUUAGUGUGUAUCUUGGUAAUUCUCUCAUAUCCUGGAAAUCAAAGAAGCAAAACACGAUAUCAAGGAGUUCUUGUGAAGCUGAAUACAGGGCAAUGGUCACUGUUACAUGUGAAAUUCAAUGGCUAACUUAUCUUCUUCAAGAUUUCAAAGUUCCUUUUGAGCAACCAUCUCUUUUAUACUGUGACAAUGACUCGGCAAGAUACAUUGCAACAAAUCUAGUGUUUCACGACCGUAAAAAACAUGUUCAUACCAACCAAAUUAUAAAGGAGAAGAAACUUGUUAUUACAAAAAAAAAAUGAUUAUAAAUUGUUAAAUUCAUCUUCAUAUAUUAGAACAAAGAGAAGAAGUAAGAAUAGUUUUGAAUUACAAAAUUUUCAUACCACAUAUGUAUGACUGUAAGAUAUUUUCAUCUUCACAUAUUAGUGAUCAGUACGCUUGCCCCCAGACUCGAGGAAUGUUUACUUUAUAAGAGUCUAAAUGUGACUGUUGGGUGCUUCGAUGUAUGAAGUGACUUCUUGUCCUUCUUUGAAGGCUGACUGAACGACUUUAUUGCUUUUGAUCUUUUCAGUAGUUGUUUGAAUGCCUUUAUGGACACUUGUAUAGUUUUAAACAAUGUAUGUUGAAUGAUCGUUAGGACUAAGAUCCUUUGGACGUCGCUCAGGCUUUUGAAUUGCUUUACAAUUUUGAAUGCCAAGUGCAUGCUGGAAUCAAUACAACUUAAAUAAGCCGAUUCUUUAAUAGAUUGAAUGCUGACCUGAUACUUGAAUCAAAAUAAUUUAAAUAUGUGGAGCCUUUAACAGAUUGAAUGCUGACUUGAUACUGAAUCAAUAUGAUUUAAAUAAGUUGUUUUGAGCUUCAGAUAGGUUGAACACCGAUCGAAUGUUGAAGAUUGUUAUUUUAAUACAAUUUCCUUAAUCGAAACAAACUUUAUUUUAACCGUUCGGGAGGGAUUGCCUCAUGGGGGCAAAGCUUCCUUAGCCGAACGAUAUUGAUUAAGGAUAUCGGUAAGGAUUGUCGUUUUAAGGCAAAACUUCCUUAACUGUAUAAGAGCAUUGCACGUUGGUUCGGGAAGGGCUGCUAUUUAUUAAGCAAGUUGCCUUGGUCGAAGAGUUUGUUUGAAAAUGGCUGCUAAUUGUUAAGCAAGCUGCUUUGGCCGAAGAGUUGCAUGCAGUGUCGCGUUCGUUCGACAAGGACUGCUAAUUGUUAAGCAAGUUGCCUUGACCAAAUGAUGUUUGGAAUUUUGUCAUAAUUGAAAACUUUUUAGAUGUGUGGAAGUUACAAUGAGAUGAGGAAGUCUUCACUUGUUGUCCAUACUCCAACGAUCAUGUGUAAGAGCAUAAAAUAUAUCAGUGCUGUAUGUAUUGCAUAAAAUAAUACUUAUCUUAUUCUUGGGGGUCAUCCUUUAAUUAUAGAGUUUUGGCUGAUCUCCUAUCAUUAGUCUUUUUUCAACAAAAUAAUAUCACAACAUAUUUAAAUAUUAACAAUCACAUCUGUUAUCUUCAUAAUACUAUGAUAACAUAUUUAAAUAAUAGCAAUCAUAUAUGUUAUCUUCAAAAUAAUAUGAUAACAAAUUUAAAUAAUAACAAUCAUAUCUUUUAUGUUUAGAAUAAUAUCACAAAAGAUUUAAAUAAUAACAAUAAUAUCUUUUAUGUUUAAAAUAAUCACAAAAUAUUUAAAUAAUAAUAAUCAUAUCUUUUAUGUUUGGAAUAAUAUCACAAAAUAUUGAAAUAAUAACAAUCAUAUCUUUUAUCUUCAUAAUAAUAUCACAACAUAUUUAAUGAUAAAAAUAAUUUUUCCGAUUACCUCACAUCGGGUUUAUAUUCGAUUAAGAUCAUAUCGGUCAAUGUUCAAACCUUUCCAAUUAGGAGGAAUUUGUGCUUCCAUGAUUUGAUCAGUAAAGGAAUGUCCUUUAAGUUUCUCUUCCAAAAUAAUAUUGUGUUUCGAUUGGUGAAGCCUGGAUGAUUGAUGAGUCUGAGUUUAAAGGAUGGUCGUCUUCUAUUGAUUACGUGUGUCCUCAGAUUUGUUUGGGGAGGCGGGUCUUCUAGCUUCAGGAUAUGGCUUUUGGCCCUUGGUUCAGGUAUGAUCCCGACCAGUUGUUGUUGGUUCAUUUGAUCAUUCUAUUCUCAGAGGAUUCAUAUCUCCUUCUCGUUCUUCUGGCGCAUGAUUCGCAUCUCCUCCUUGUUCUUUUGGACCAUCUUCGCCAUCUCUUUAUAAGGUCUGGAACAUAGCCAUUUUCUUGGCCUCCAUCAUUUUCUCGCCUUCCAUCUGCCUUGUUAAUACCAUUUGCUACUCUUCAAUACUAUUUUGGCUCCACGAUGGGCGCCAAUUGUACUUGUAUAGACUGGUAGGGCCUAGAUAGUACAUGGAUUUGGAUGUAAUAAUUGUCUUUGAUCUCUCGAUCGCUCCUCCUUCAUCCUUCUCGUACUCGCUCCUUCGUGCCUGGUCGGGAGUUAACUUGCAAAAGGUUCUCCAACAAUCAAAUAAGUACUCUAUGUUAAGAGUGUAUAAUGAAACUGAUAAAAAAGUACCUUACUCCUCUAUAAAGGGUUUAUUUAUAGUAUUUGGUUAUGGACCCUCUUUUACGAUAAGCCAAAUCUAUUAAAUAUUAGUGAUAAUUUAUUUAUAGGGAGGUUCCCUGAUUUCUCGAGAUGUUACUCGGAUUUGGUGGGAUGUGCCCCUGAUUCUCAGGGAGUCUCUGUAACUGCCUUAAAUGCUAUUUAUUAUAACUACUUUAAAUAUAUUCUAACCCUACUUAAAUGCUUCGCCUGCACUCUCCAUUUAUGAGCUGCCUGUUGUAUCUUUGCUCUGCCUUUUAGCUCUUUUAUGGUAUCCAACUGAAAACCCCACCCCUUUUUCGAUGCUUCCUGUGAGAAAUCCUCCACUCGCUUAGACGGGAUUUCCUGUGAAUAACUUUACUAUCAUCUUCCUACUCUUUUUGAACAAAUUUUAAAAAUAUGAUUGGACAUGUAAUUUUAUGUUCUAACAUUAUGUUAAUAUCAUGCUACUAUGUACUAACAUUACGCUAUGUUUUUAGAUCAUUACUUUCCUUCAUUAUUUUGCUUAACAUAUCGCUAUGGAAUGUAUACAAAUAUUAGUCCCACCACUAUGCACAACACUUGAUAAUCAUCGACAUGCCAACAUAAAGUUAUGUUUAUAUACAUAUUCAUAAAAAUGAUGUUUCCUUCAUGGUUUUUUUCUUCAAGUGGAUCGAGAUCAUGCUCGACACCAUGGAGGGUUAAGACCUUUUCAUGGUUUUCUUUCAAGUGGUCUGAGAUCAUGCUCGAUACCAUAAAGGGUUAAGACCCUUUCAUGAUUUUUUCUUCAAAUGGACCGAGAUUAUGCUUGGCACCAUGGAGGGUUAAGACUCCUUCAUGGUUUUUUCCUCAAGUGGACCGAGAUCAUGCUCGACACCUGAGAUCAUGCUCGGUACCAUAGAGGGUUAAAACCCUUUCAUGUUUUUUUUCUUCAAAUGUAAAAGCAUAACACUUUUAUCGAUCCCUUACACAUUGUACUCCUAACAAUCCUGAACAAUCAUAUCUAUAAACCCCUGAAAUAAUUCGAGUCGUAUAUAAACAUAAAGCAAAAUAAUAAAUUGUUUAACAAUACACUAAAUCCACACUAAAUCCAAACCAUAUUAACUAUAAUAAAAACGCAGAUUCGCCACAUUUCAAGUUUGCGGAAUAACUCCACCAUCCAAUGUCUCCAAAUGGUAUGCUGCCCUACCGACCACCUCACAGAUUCGGUAAGGCCCGAUCCAAUGAGGUGCCAACUUGUUGUCCUUGUUUAUUUCCCCUGCCUUUCUUAGUACCAAAUCCUUCUCUUUAAACUCUCUUGGAAACACCCUACUUAAAUGCUUCGCCUCCACUCUCCUUUUCUGAGCCGCCUGUUGUAUCUUUGCCCUGCCUUUCAACUCUUUUAUGGUAUCCAACUGAAAACCCCGCCCUUUUUUCUAUGCUUCCUGUGAGAAAUCCUCCACCUGCUUAGACGAGAUUUCCAACUCGAUGGGUAACACCACGUCACUGCCAUAAACCAAACUGAAAGACAUUUCUUUCGUAGUUGAUUGCUUCGUUGUGUGGUAUGACUAUAUUACCGCGGAAGAAGCUCGAUCCACCUUUAGCCGCUCCUAACUUCUUCUUCAAACCCUACAAUAUUAUUUUAUUUGUUGCUUCUAGUUGCCCAUUUAUUUGAGGGUGCUAUACUGAUGAAAAUAUUUUUCGAGUUCCCAACUCUUCACACAUGUGCCUCACUUUCCCUACUCGCAAAUUGCGCUCUGUCCGACACCAAUUCCCUUGGCACACCGAAUCUACAUACAAUAGACUUUCAAAUAAACUUAGAUAUUUUUUCUGUCGUGAUGGUCGUUAGUGGCUCAGCCUCGACCCAUUUUGUAAAAUACUCAAUUACAACCACAAUGAAUUUAAAUUGCCUUACUGACAUAGGAAAAUGUCCUAAUAUAUCAAUUUCCCACUUCUGGAAGGGGCAUGAAGAAAUUAUGGAAUACAAAUGCUUAGCUGAUACGCCAAUAUUAUUUGAAUGCCUUUGGCACCUAUCACAUUUUUUGACAUACCCAAGACAAUCCUCCCUUAGCGUAGGCCAAUAAAACCCCGCCCUAAUUAUUUUUAAUGCCAAUGAUUGUCCGUCAGUGUGACUCUCACAAACACCCUCCUGCACCUCCUCCAUGAUCCUAUUUUGUUGUAGCUCCCCAACGCAUCGUAAUAACGGUAUUGGGAAGCCUUUUCUGUACAACACCCCAUUAACGAUGACAUACCGUGUUGCAUUUUUCUUAAUAACUUAUAUUCCUCUGAAUCCAAUUGUUCCUCCCCUUCCUUCAACCACUCUUCAUAAACAUCCAUCCAACUUUGCUUACCUCUUAUUUCCAAUACCUCCACCGUCACACUUGGUGAUUCAAGGUUCUCAUGAAUGACCGACCAAUGAUUUCCCGACCUCUUGGUACUUGCCAAUUUCGACAAAAAAUCUGCUUGAGCAUUCUGGUCUCGAGAAACAUACAUCAACCCAAACUCUUCAAACAAGACCACCAUGGAACGCACCUUGGCCAAAUAUUUGACCAAAUGCGAAUCCUUAGCUUGGAAAUUUCCUACUACUUGCACGGUUACCACUUGAGAGUCACUCCUUACUAUCAUUCUUCUAACUUCCAUAUUUGUUGCUAAGUGCAUCCCUACGAUUAAAGCCUUGUAUUCGGCCUGGUUGUUGCUUACUUUAAAUGAAAAUUUUAAUGACUGUCCAACCAACACACUGUCCGACCCUUCCAAUAUCCAAUCAGCUGGUCCUAGGGUCAACAAUCAAACAAUGACACAUAAAAUUUGGAUCCACCCCUGGCAUAUCGUGCAAUGAUCAUGCAAAAACACUCAAAUUAUCUCCCAAAUACUCUACCAACCUCCUUUCUUCUUUUUCCUCCAACUUGCUACCUAUCUUUAAACUUCUCCCCCCAUCCGACUUUAUGACCUUAAUGUCUUCCAUCGGUUGUGGCUGUUCAUCCUUAUAAUCAACCCUUGGAUCUCACUCUACCCCCUCCAAAUUCCUAUCCUCCCGUUCUACCUGCAUACAUCUCCUUCUAUUUUUAGACUUCCUUUGUAACACUUUCUUGCUGCCCUCUGAUAUACUAUUAACACCCCAAUUGUCCCCUCAUCCAUAGGAUACUUCACAUUCAUAUGGAUCGAUGAUACUAUUGCUCCUAACUUAUUUAUUAUCGGUCUUCCCAACAGUUCAUUAUAAGAAGAAGUGGUGUUUACAAUCAUGUACCUUAUUAUAAUUGAUUUGGCCUUCUCUCCUUCCCCAAACAUCGUCUUGGCCUCAAGAUACCCCCGAACUUGCACCGGGUCGCCCGAAAAUCCAACCAAAACUCUGUCAUAUGGUUCCAAAUCGUCCAACGAUCCUCCCAUAGUGAUAAAAUCAUCCUAAAACAAAAUAUCUGUUGAACUCCCUUGAUCCACUAGCACCCUAUGAAUUUUUCGGCUCCACAUUACCACCGAUAUCACCACAAGGUCAUUAGCAUGUGGGAAACGUCAUUUAAGUCGUCCUCUAUAAAGUUUAAAGACGACAUACACACUUCCUCGAUUGACAAAACCAUCACCGACCGAGCACUUGAUCUACCGCCACCCGAGAAUCCUCCCGAAAUUGUGUUCAAUUCCCCUAACGUUGGUUUCUCAUGAUUACCUUCCACCUACCUCCCUCCUCAACUCUUCCUUCCUUAUCCGAUCCUUCUUUUUUUCUACCUGUCUCUCCUCCCCUCCUUCUCUUGCCAUGAAAACUUUUAACAAUCCCUGUCUUAGCAACCCUUCAAUUUGCCUUGAAAGGAUGUAACAAUCUCCAGUUCAUGCCCGUAUGUUCUAUGGAAGUAACACCAAACAUUUUUGUUUCCUCCCAUAUGUUUUGUUGUCUUUUCUGGGAAGCACAAAAGUCUAGUCGUGUUCACAUCUUUAACAAUUUCCUCCUGAGAUGCCACCAAUUUUGGUGACACCCACUCCGGUCUUCCCAACCUCCUUUCAUUCACUGGUUUAAAACCUCCAUACGACCCACCAAACCUCCACUUAUCCCUUUUCCCUUUCAAAGGUUUGCCUCUAUUACUGACAGGUUGUAUACCGACCACCGACCCUUCAGUCCUCAUUUCUUCAUCUAACUUCUUUAUGGUAAACUCUUCUACUUUUAUGUGAGACACUGCCUUAAUGUUGAUGGCUGUCAUGUCUUCUAGUCUUCUUUGGACUAGUGACUCACCAAAUGUUCCUACCCUAAGCCCUCUAAUAAAGGCUUCCACAAACAUGCCUUCAUUAGGCAUAGGAAUUUGUACCACCACCUCAUUGGAACGCUGCAAAAACUGUUUUAUUGACUCAUUUUUCGCAUGUUUUACCUAAAACAAAUCUGCCACCUCUAGAGGCUUUGCUUUGUUUGCUACAAAGUGGGCAACAAACAACCCGGUGAAGACUUCUAGCGACAUGAUGAAUACACCUAGCAUAUUACUAAACCAAUUCAGCGCCAUUCCAACUAAAGUGCUAGCCAACAUCUAUCGGACAAACUCUGGUCCUCUACAAAUCAACAUCUGAUGUGAGCAUUAGGAUCCUGCUUUCCACUGAACAUCCCCAUUUUUGGGAAUUCAUAACCCGAAGAAAUUGGCUCUCCCAAGAUUUCUUCUGAGAAUGGUUGGAAAUCUGUCUCCACCUCCUACUGUCAUUGACCCUUUAUAUUCUGGCCCUCAAUUUGCCGUCGAAGCUCCUCAUUUCUCCUUUGUAUCAUUUCUUGCACUCUCGCAGAUUCCUCCAUCCUAGCCCUCACUUCUGCACUCUCCCUCCUGAAAUCCUCGUGAGCCCUCCUGAAUUCUUCCACCCUUUCCUCAUUUUGCCUCCUCAUAACCUCCAUCAUUUCCAUCAGAACAUGAGUUGCAUCAAGCAGUGGCGCUCCAUUCGCCUCUUCCUCUGGUGCCGCUCUUCGUGUGCCCCGCAUAAUGCUCAGUAAUUUGUAACUAAAAUUGAUAUGGCAUAGGAAAGUUUUACUUGUCCCACGGUGGGUGCCAAAAUGUUCUAGAUAAGAGUAUUAGUGAACUCAAACCUAGAAUAUUUAGAGUGACAAAAAAUAAGUGUACUCUUAACUUAGUAAGUGAUCUGUCUUUUCCUCUUGUGUACCCUCUAAUAUACUAAAAUCUCUUCGCUACCUAUUAUGUAUCCAACCUUCUUAUUGGCCUGAUUCUAUAAUAAAUUGCGCUGAUGACCUUAAUUACACCAAUUGGUUCAUGACCUUAAAGUUAGACGAUUCACGAUGCUACACUAAUAAAGUAGUGUGUACGGAAAAAAGAGUCGUAUAACGAUACAACUUUAACUAAUAAAUAAUAAAAAAUUACUUUAAUUGCCACUUUUAUGCAAAAUGUUAUCUCCCAGUAUUGAGGAAAUUAUCUCUAAUUAAUAGGAACCAUUGUAUAAACUAUUUUGACUUGCAAUGCAAGCUCGAUUUUGCAUUUUAUUUAUUUAUUUAUUUAUUUUAAAUUGAUUUGUUUACAAAUAGAAAAUAACAUUAUUUUUUUAGAUUUUUAAGGUUACACACAUCAUUACAAAAAAGAAAGAACAUUUCCAAAAAAAAAAACAAUUGACAUAGAGAGUACAAUUUAACGACAUUAUCUUGUUGAACACAAUUAACGUAAGCUCUCUAUAUUUUAUAAAACUUUGUGUUUUUGAAUUUAGAAUGCAAGUUAGGCUAUAUAGCCGUACAAACCCAAAACAAAAAUAAGAAAAUAUCACACCUGCACCCACUAAUUCAUGUACAAAAUAAUGGGUGGUUUCCUAACAACCAUAUUCCUAAUAAUUAGGCUAGUAAUUAACCACUUAUUUGAUGACUUUUUACGGCAAGUGCACCGCGUUUGUCAGAAGUAAUAAUUGUCUCUAAGGACGGAUAUCAAUCCCACAAGGAACACUGAAUUAUCGAGUACAAUAAUCGCUAAAUAUAAAAACAGAACAACUAAAAGAGUUUUUGAAUUAAUUGUGUUGGCAUUGAUCAAUAAGAAAACAGACAAAGAAUUAGUUGUUUCAAUUGGAAAAAUAAGGAUUAGUUUCAUCUCUCUCACCCUUAAGUAUUUUGAUUAGCAUGUCAAUAUUAAGUUCUUUGAUUGAAAUUGAUGCCCGUAUAAAAAUAAUUUAUAUCGAUUCCUCGCAUAUAAAAUCCUUAAGAAUGUCCCCUAACUAUCGAUCCCUCGCAUAAUUAUAAGAACAACUUAGAACGAAGCUCAGACGUUUAAUUGCAAUUAACAUUUCAAGUCUAUUCCUAGCACUCAAAUAUGUUAAGUAUUGUUGUUUAGGUCCAAACCCUAAAAAUACCUCCCGGUCAGAUUUAAGAUUCUCAAUUUGUCACGGAAAAUUAAAAGUAAAACAACAAUACCAAUCAUCAAUCAAGAACUGAAUAUUAAUAUAUAAGAUAUCAUCUCAAUACAUAAGAGUUUGAGCAGAUUACCCAAUCCUAAAGGGUAGAAUUAGCCACGCAUACUUCUAGCACCUUCCAUUCUCCCAAUUGGGUUACAAUUCACUUUAUGGUGUUUUCCUCUCAAUCUGGCACUCUAGGGUUGAGCCUCUAGCCCUCUAUUUAUCCUAGUUUUCUAGGGUUAGGUUGCUUCAUGUGUCACGCUAAUGGGCUAAAUGAUAAAACAUAAAAAAACCCAAUAUUUCUUUGCAUCUUUUUCCAUUCUGGGACCUUCCGGCUUUAUCUUUUUAGCUCAAAUUAUUCUCCUUUAUUUCAAAUCUUCAAUCUUUCCUAUAAAUCUGCAAUUAACACCAAAUUUAGGAAUAAAAUGCUCUUAUUCAAAUAAAGCUCAUAAAAAUGUAAAAAGGUAUAAAUUUAUAAAUUAGGGAUUAUUUUAUAUGUAAAUUAGCAAUAGAUCCUCAUAAGUGCCUAUAUUUUAAUAUGAAACAUUAAUGAAAUUAAGCACUUAUCAAUAAUGGGUGGUUUCCUAACAACUAUAUUCCUAAUAAUUAGACUAGUAAUUGACCACUUAUUUGAAACAGAAAAACAACUCUACUUAAUUAAAUAAAUUAAAAAACAACAAUUGAAAUUCUAACUGCUGCUAACAUUCCCUCCCUUAAACUAGAUGCAAUAGCAUUUAGUUUAAUUAUGAUGCUUCAAUUAUGCCCAACAUAUUGCGAAACCUUAAGAAUUGCUCCAAUUUGUGGGGCUUGGUCAUGAUAUCAGCAACAUGAUCCUGUGAACUGUAGUAACUUAACUUGACAACUCCAUACCAAAACGUGAUAGCACUUCAUGAACAUAUUUCUUCUGACAUACAAAAAUUCCAUUUGAACUCUGCAUAAUUUCAACUCCAAGAGAAUAUCUCAUUCUUCCUAAAUCAUUGAUAUCAAAUUCAGACAUCAUAGAUCUUCUAAACUAAUCACAUAUACUGCAAUCAUUUCAGUAUAUAUUAAAUCAUCCACAUAAAGACUCACAAUUAAAAUUUUACCUUCCUCCUUUGAUUUUGUAAACAAUAUAUAUUCACAAAGACAUCUGUCAAAGCCAUUACCAACAAAGUAAGCCUCUAUCUUGUUGUACCAAGCUCUAGGUGAUAGUUUAAGGCCAUAUAACGCCUUCUUUAAUUUGUACACUUUGUCUUCUUCUUCCUUUUUCACAAAACCAGUGGGCUGCUGCACAUAAAUGUCCUCUUUAAGUUCACCGUGAAGAAAGACACUCUUCAUAUCUAACUGAAAAAUAGUCCAACCAUAUUGUACUGUUGUUGCAAGUAUUAUACGAAUAGUAUCACGCCUAGCAACCAGAGCAAAUACUUCUGUGUAAUCUAGUCCAUAUUGUUGCGCAUACCCUUUUGCUACUAGCCUUGCUUUGAACUUGUCUAUCUCUUCAUUCUCUUUAAAUUUGGUUUUAAAGAUCCAUUUUACCCCAAUUGGCUUCAUUCCUCUUGGAAAAUAUGUAAGCUCCCAAGUCUGAUUUUUCUCUAUGGAUUUCAUCUCUUUCAUCAUUGCAUCUCUCCAUUUUUGUCUUUUGAUAGCUUCCUCGAAUGAAAUUGGAUCAUCUCCGGUGACCAUCAUUACAUUUAGGUCAGCAUCAUCAGAUAGACCUUCUCCUUUUUCAUAAUCAAUCAUCCAGACCGGCUCUCUCCUAUUCCUUCUAAUCCUCCCUUCAACUGGAGUCUCAUAAUUGUUAGGAGGAGCAUUGGUGCCUAUGGAACUGUCCAUAACAUCCUCUUCAUUUUGUUCCUCAAUUUCUUGAUCAUCGUUAUGAUCCACAACAUUCUCCUCACUCUGUUCUUCAGUGUCACUCAUGUAUUCCUCAUCUCCUCCCCAAUCAAGAAUGCCCUGUUGGUAUUCCUCAUUCUGUUCCCAAUUUCAUCCCUUUUGUUCUUCAAAUAUCACAUCCUUGCUUAUCAGUACUUUCUUGUUGAGUGGAUCAAACAAACGAUAUGCUUUGGAUUCAUCACUUACCCCCAGAAGAAUACAUUGCUUGCUUUUAUCAUCCAAUUUCUUGGAUGAAAGCGUUCUCAAACCAUUGUAACUUAAAUGACCAAGUCGAUUGUGCCAAAGCUCAUAAUUAUGCUUUAGCUCCACCUGAAAACAAGACUUUGUUGAUAUCAUGGUGGCUGUCAGCACAAACAUCCGAUUCUCCUUCAUCUUAACCUCCAUAAUCUGUCCUCUUUCAAGAUGAUAGACUUCACACUUCCCUUCCUUAAUCAAUAUAGUCAAGCCUUUCUCUUGAAGUUAUCCUACACUUAAGAGAUUAUUCUUAAGUUCAGGAACAUAAUACACAUGUGAAAUGACAUAUACGACUCCAUUAAUAUUUAAUUGAACACUUCCUUUUCCCAUCACAUCUAUCUGAGCAUCAUUGCCAAGCUUUAAUGUAUUGUGAUAGUUCUCAUCUAACUUUGAGAACCACUCCCUGUUACCACUCAUGUGAUUACUGCAUCCGGAGUCAAGAAACCAUUCAUCUUCCUUUUGUUGCUUAACAUCAACGUGAGCCAUUAGCAAAAGUUCAUCCUCUUGUUCCACUGCAUCUUCCACUUCAGCAUAAUUUAUUUUCUUUUCCCAGGUAGGACAUUCGUAUUGAAAAUGUCCAAGUUUGUGACAUUUGAAGCAUUCUAUCUCAGCUUUGUUAAAUGAUUGUCUCCCUCUUCCUCUACCUUGGAAAGAACCUCUGCCUCUUCCUCUACCUUGGAAAGAACCUCUGCCUCUUCCUCCUUUAUCUUCAUUUGUAAUUUGCAGUACUUGUUCUUCUUCUCCUUGAUAUGUCAUUUUUUGCUCGUGAACCAAAAGACUGCUCUGCAAUUCGUCAAUGGUCAUAGUGUCCAAGUUGUUGGAUUCUUCAAUUGAACACACAACGUAAUUAAAUUUAGGAAUCAUUGACUGUAAGAUUUUUGCAGUAAUGAUAUUCUCAAGCAUGCUUUCACCACACGCCUUCAUGUUUUUAGCAAUUUUCGAAGUACGGGCAAAGUAUGAGUUAACUAUCUCUCCGUCCUUCAUCUACAACAUUUCAAAAUCUCUUCGCAGGGCUUGUAAUUGUGCUCUCUUCACUCGAGUAGAACCUUGAAAUUUUUGCUUCAUAGAAUCCCAUAUGUGUUUGGAUGUAUCAUCAUUGAGGAUAGUAUCUAAGAUUUCUCGAUCAAUGGCUUGAUACAGAUAGUUCUUUAUCUUUAGAUCUUUCAAUCGUUGUUCUUCCAUGAGUUUGAGUUCUACUUCUGAUGCAGUAGCUUUAUUUUCUACUUAUGAAAUCCCAUGUUCCACCAACUGCCAAUACUCCUUAGAACGUAGAAAAUUUUCCAUUAAUUUUGCCCAAUGAUCAUAAUGCCCAUCAAACUUGGGAAUUGCAGGUUGCACAUAUUAGCUGGAAUCUGCCAUUUUCGAUAUUUCCUUCUUCUUAGAAGGAUACUGAUGUUGGCACACACUUACAACUGUUUCUCUCACACUCACACUGAUGUUAUCAAACACUCACACUCACAGCUAUUUCUCUCACACUCAAGUUCUGGAUCAGGCCCCUUAUAAAGGAGUUCUGAUACCAAUUGUUGAACACAAUUAAUGUAAGCUCUCUUUAUUUUAUAAAACUGUGUUUUUGAAUUCAGAAUGCAAGUUAGGCUAUAUAGCCGUACAAACCCAAAAUAGAAAUAAGAAAAUAUCACACCUGCACCCACUAAUUCAUGUACUGAAUAAUGGGUGGUUUCCUAACAACUAUAUUCCUAAAAAUUAGGCCAAUAAUUGACCACUUAUUUGAAACAGAAAAACAACUCUACUUAAUUAAAUAAAUUAAAAAAUAACAAUUGAGAUUCUAACUGGUGCUAACAUUCCCUCCCUUAAACUAGAUGCUAUUGCAUCUAGUUUAAUUCUGAUGCUUCAAUUAUUCGCAGCCUCAUCGUUGACACGUUCAUCAGUUUUUGUGUCCGAGUGGAGUGCAAGUAAGAUGACAAGUGCUUCAAGGAUUCCAUCCCUGAGUGCAUUCAAGUAUAUUACACUCAUCAAAUCCUCAAACUCCUCUGAUUUUUGCCACCUUUCAACCAAACCAUAAAACAGCCUCUCUAAUUCUUCACCUCUUCCUUUCAAAACACCAUUAACAUGCUCAUACUCUGCCACAUGAUCAAGGUCGUCUUGUCUCUUCCCAACAAACUCAUCAUAUUGAAUGUUGAAUUUCUGAAUCAGUUCAUCAUAUGGAUUUUUGGAAGAGCUCGCUGUGUUCUGAGCAGCAUUUUCAUUUUCCUUUUCAAGUAGUGCAAAUCUGUUGCCCAGAACUUGAUUUACCUCCUUCAUCUUCGAGAAGAGUUUACUCUUGACCUCGAAUUCCGACGUACUUUGUUGAUUCAUCAUCAUGAACAUUUGCAUGAGAGGGUCAUGAGAAGGAGGAAGUGUCACUGUAGUCCAAUCCAAUUGUGGAAUCCUCUGCUUUGGUUCUGGGGGUGAUACAAAAGCUGUAUUUAUCCCUCUCCUAUUUGCCAUUGUAUUUAGUGUUUCCCACACGUCCAAAUCAGGAAACCUCAACUUUGCUUCCAAGAGUCCACCGCAAACUCCACUCAAGUAUGUUCUAUUUUCAGCUGAGGGUAUUAUCUCCAUCCCUUUAGCUGAGGGUAUUAUUUCUCUUGACUCUUCCCAACAAACUUAUCAUAUUGAUUUUUCCCAGAGCUGGCUGUGUUUUGAGCAGCAUUUUCAUUUUCAUUUUCAAGUUGUGCAAAUUUGUCACGCAGAGCUUGGUGUUCCUCCUUCAACUUCCAAAAGAGUUUACUCUUGACCUCCGGUUCCAAAGUACUUUGUUGCUUCAUUACCAUGAAUAUUUGCAUCAGAGGGUCGUGAGGAUCCAAACGUAGUCCCUGUAGUCCAAUCCAAACGUUGAAGCCUCAGCUUUGCUUCAGUGGAUGAUCCAAAAGUUUCUGUAAUUCCUUUCCUUUUUGCCACAGUAUUAAUUGUUGGCCACAUGUCCAAAUCAGGAAACCUCAGCUUUGCUUCUAAGAGUCCACUGUAAAUUCCACUUAUGUAUGUCCUACUUUCAACCGAUGUUUGCACUUUCGCUUCAGGGCUCCAUCUAACCCUAUAACCCUUCUCCAAAGAAGCUCUUCUACUUUCAACAAUAUCAAGAGAAGGAAAUCUAUUCUGUGCCUCAAAAAGUCCAUCCGUCAUUCCUUCAUCAAAUAUCUCUCUCACUAUUUCUACCAUCUGAUGAUCAUAGCCUUCCUCCUCACUUCCCGUAUGGCCAGAGGUUGAAGCUUCUUCUACAUUACGCAGUUUCAGUGGAUCCUUUAGUGUUACCAACGCUAGAUCACCUAUGAUAGUAACUUUAGGCUCUCCAUCAUCAUUUUUUAUCUCAUCUAGAAUCUGCCUCAGCUUGGAUCUUCUAAAGCUGACCCUUUUGAUUUUAAUGCAUCCUCAGCAUCCUGGGAUAUUCUCUUUAGUUCUCCCAAUACAAUAUGCAUGCAAUCGUCUUUAGCCAUUCCUUCAAACCCCCUUCUUUCUUUGCUGUCCUGCCAUUUUUUAAACGUCUUCUUAAAUGAUUCGUCCAAACCUAGACUCUCUAUGAUCAUUUUAUAUUCCUCCCUAUCAUCUUUUGUAGGAACUAUUGCCAGUGGCAUCUCGUCUGAAUACACGGGAUCGGGAGAAGUGAAGAGGAGAUCAUCCAUUUUGGUUUUGUCUUCUUCAUACACAAAAGCUCCCCAACCACUUAUCACAAAGGAGGAAGUGGCUUUAUACGCAAUCUGGACCAGAUUCCACUCCUCCUCCAGAAGUGCGUCAAGGCCAAGCCACUCCUUGUCACUGAACAAAACUCGUAGAUCAAAGAUCAAGAUGUGUUCUGCUUCAAUUCUGAAUUUGCGACACCCUUUGCAAGGAACAUAUCGACCGUUGAUAAGUAAACGCAGAUCAACAACGCGCAAAUUUGUCCCUUUCACUCUCAUCUUGGAAGUGGAAGAUCAUGGCUAGAGCAAUGUUAGGGAACUUGCGACGAACCCAGAAACGAGGAUUCCUUUCGACCCCCACAUAGUUAAACCAUUCUGGAAUCUCAGUUGUAUAUGGCAUCACCACUUCUAAUCCAUGUACCCCUUCCUUCACCUAUCAAAUUAUUAUAACACUUUCAAUUGUAACUUCUACAUUUAUUUUAGAAAAUUUUGUAAAAUAUUAUUUUCCUAAAAUAAAGGUACAAGAUUUAACUUAAGUAAUAAUAAGUCAUGAUACCUGACGCCAUAACAUGUCUGAUGUCUCUCUAGUUAACUUGAAGCAAAAUCUUGCGUCUACUUUUUGAACAGUUGACGACAACUUUGAAAUUUCUUCAAGGUUGAAACAACGAUGAACAUCAAGAAUUGUCAAGUUAGUGAAUUCAGGAAUUUUUUUAAGCUUCUUACAUUCAGUCAAAUCGAGACUUGUCAAGUCACCACAUUCCUUGAUGGAUGAAGGGAUACAAACAAAAUUAUUCUCUGAAGCAAUCAAUUCUUCUAAUUUUGGAAAGUAGCAAAAAAUUGCAUGAAGAUCUUCAUUAGACAAGUUACCAUUUUCGACAUUCAGUGAUCGUAAUUUUGGACGAACAUUGGCUUUUGAAGGGUUUUGCACCAAACUUCUGAAGGAUUCUCGAAGUUUGGCGCAUGCUUCGAUUUUGAGGGAAACAACAUUGGGCAACAUGAAUAGGCUACUUGGUAGAUAUUUAAGUUCCCUGUUAUUUGAUAUGUCUAUACAAACAAGCCCAGUAAGCUUACCAAUGGAUUCUGGAAGCUCUUGAAUAGCAGUAUUUAUCAUAUAAAUCUUCAAUGGCUUUGUCAUUUCUUGCCUUAUCUCUGGGAAGUGACCAAGGCUUUCACAUAAAUUAAGGUCAAAGAAUUCUAAAGACGGUAGAAACAUUUCAGACAUGAAAUUUUUGAGUUUUGUGCAAUCUGAAACACUUAAAUGAGCAAGACUUUUCAGGAAACCAACAGAUCCAUGUACUGCAGUUAGCUCUCUACAAUGAUCAAGUCUCAGUUCUCUUAGAUUCUGAAGUUCAGACACAUCAGGUAUUUCUUUGAUACUUUGGUUAUAUGAAAAGUCCAUAAUAGUCAAGCAUGGAAAUUUCUGCCAAAUGGAAAGUCAAUAAAAAUUAUUAUUUGCAACAUUUUGAGUUAUUAACUUACUAAUGUGAAUAAAAUAUGGAAGUUUUUGUUUAAUGAAAAAUUGAAACUUAAAAAAUAGGAAAAUAUGAUGUAGAAUUGUACCUUAAAUGGCUCUUCCAAUGUUAGACGACUUCGAGGCAAAUUGAAAACAACAAUUUUCUUCGGAUGAAAUUUUGGUGGGAAAGACUUUGAAGGAUACUCUUCCCAGUCAAGCAGUCUUAAAUGAUUUGGUAAAUGUUCAAGUUCAGAUGAAAAUGAUGUGUUUCGAACAAUGAGAAUUCUGAGCCAUUUCAUCUUUUCAAACUCAAUUCCACUCCAAUUUACUUCUUCUCGCUGAGGAGGAUCAAGCAUAAUCCCUUGAAUCUUAUCACUUCCCUUUAACACAAGUACAAAGAAACAACAUCAAUUGCAUAUUAUCAGUAAUAUAAAAUACUAUAAUGUAUAAAUCGAAAACAAAGAGAGUAAAAGGGUAGAUGAUUACAUAAUCUUCUGUUAGAAUUUCAGUAACAUCUUCAUAAUACCAUAUUCUGCUACGUUCACCAGGAUUUGUUGAUUCCUGCUUAACAAUCUCUCUUCCCAUAUCUUGUAUUAGAUCAUGCAUCUUCAGGCAGUCAUACUCGAUAGUUAUGAGAGACUUAUUAAGAAGUACUUUCAUGUUGGUUGUUGAACGAAAUUCCUCAAGGAUCAUUUUCACAUAUUCCGUUCUCUCCCCUUUAAAGAAGCAAGCUAUGUCCAAGAAAAUUUGUUUGGCAUUAUCAUCCAAUCUAUCGUAGCUUAUUUUAAGCACAUCUUGAAUCUUUCUAUUUGGAGUCUUCUCAUAUUCUUUCAUUGCCAUUUCCCAAUCUUCUAAACUUUCAUGAAAAGCAGCUAAAUCAGAGCCUAUGACUUUUAAAGCCAGUGGAAGACCUUUGGCGUAAUCUACAGCACGCACAGACACAUCUUCAAAACCUGUUUUAGGAUAACUUUGUCUGAAGGCAUUCCAACAAAAUAGCUCUAAAGAAUGUUGGUCAUCAAGUUCUUUCAUUUCAUAAAUAUUUCCAACUUGGUGAGCAAUUAACACAUCUUUUUCCCUUGUCGUUACAAUGAUCCUACUACCUGAACCAAACCAAUUACACCCUCCUGCCAACUUUUCUAACUGAUCUUUAUCACCAACGUCAUCAAGAACCAAAAGAACUUUCUUUUUCUGAAGCUUUUCUUUUAUUUCACGCAUUCCUUUACUUGUGCUUCCCAAUUCAGUUUCCAACCCCUCCAACAUCUCAGAUAAAAGUGUCUUUUGUAGAUCUUCCAUGCCAUUGAUUCUGUUUGAUUUUUCUCUAACAUCGGAAAGAAAACUUGCAGCAUCAAAGUGUUGCACAAUUUUGUUAUACAAAGCUUUGGCAAGUUCCGUUUUUCCAAUUCCACCAAGUCCAUAUAUGCCCAACAUUCUUACAGUUUUAUCAUCAGACUUCAUGUCCAAAAGUGACAUAACUUCUUCUAUGCAGGCCUCAAGGCCAACAGGGUUUUGACCACUAUAUAAAGGUUUAGGAGUUAUAUAUUCCUUGACCUUCCCAACAAUUUCUUCAAUACAAUAGCUUUCAUCAUCCCUAUGAGAGUAGAGUAGAAUGUAAUAAUUAAUUAUUUGUUUGAUAUCAUGAUUUUUUUAUUAUUGUACUAAGUGAUUGUGAUUAUUGUAAUAGAUAGUAAGCAAUGAUACUAAUAGCAAGUAGCACAAAAGAAUAAUGAUUACACAUUAUACAAAAUUUACUGGAGAUGAAAAAGUUAAAGAAAUUUUAUUCUAAACAAAAAAUUCAAUAAUUUAUAAAAAAAUACCUAAAUAUAAUAUCAAAUUCAAAUAAAAAAUGGAUUUUUUUCAACUUUGUUUAUUAGUUUUUUUAUGUUUUAAAUUGUUUUUUAUAAUGUUCAGAAUUAUACUUUAUGACUAACAAAAUCAAUUAACACCCUGAAAAAAUCUAAAAUUUAAGAUGUGGAAUAUUAUAUAUAAGAAACUACACAUGAUAUAAAUAAUAUUACAUCCCAUUAUAAUUAAGAUGUAGAAUAUUAUAUUUAACAAACUACACGUGAUAAAAACAAUAUUACAUACCAUAAAGUAUAUUACAUGAAUCAUUUUUGUUUGUGAAAAGUAAAGUUCUACAUAAGAUCAACUUACUUUUGGUUUUUAACCUUUUAAAAAAGGUUAUAAUUAUUUUUUUAACUAAAAUCAUAUUUUUUGGAUGAGAGAAAAAUUAAGAGAGGAAAAGUAUUUUUUCUUUUAAAUUUCCCUUACCAAUUGUAUUUUUUUUUAUAUCUAAGAAAAGGUAAGUCUUAUGAUAGUGAUGUUAGUAAUGACUUCCAGCAAAGUUCGAAUAUGAGAAAUGCAUUUAAUAUUAAGGACUUGGAUCAAUAAACAAGAUUUUAGAAAUAAAAAUUCAUCGAGAUAGAAAAGAUAGAAAUGUUUUACUUUCUUAGAAUUAAAUAUUAAUGGUAAGUAAAACAAUACUCACCUACGAGCACAAUGCUUAAAAAAAUCUAAGAAAGUGUUGAAGGAACCCAAGAGAACAACAUGGUACUCAUUGAGAAAAUAUUGUUAGAGUCUAAGGUGUUCAAUAAACGCAAUUGAUGGUGGAAGUGAGAAACAACCAAGGUACAAAAAGACAAUCGAGACUCUUUAUGCUAUGUGUGAAAGAACCUACUACAACAACGUUAAUUGAGGUUAACAAUUCAUACAAUUAUAAACUUGUACCUGACUCUGCUAUUAAUAAUAGAAAUAGACUAUUUUUGGUUACGAAAUGGAAGUGUAGAGGCUAUUAGGUUAUGCGAAUUGGGUUAGGAAAUCAAAAUUACAUUUACAGAGUAGGAUGAAAAUAUUUUAAAGAUGAUUGAGAAAACAAAGGAAAGAGAAUGCAAAACGAAAAUAUUAAAGGAAGAGAAAAGACAAUCCAAUUAAUGAAGAUAAUAUGUUUAAACAUUAUAGGAGAAUUGAUUAAUAAGGAGGAGGUUGGGGUAGUGUUCUUACAAGAAACCAAAUUAGAAAUAGUCAAUAAAGAAAGAUGCUACAAUAUAAGAAACAAUGAUACAGAAUGGGAACAUUUUGUAGUUGUAAAUGGGGUACAUGAAAUUUUAAUUAAGUGGCAUAAGAAUACUUUCAUAUGUGACAUGUUGGGUAUAAAGCCAGAUCAAUUGGGUUGGGCUGACUAGACACCAUGUUUAGUGAGUGAGCUUAAUCAUUGUGUCCCUUUUAUAAUCUAUAUUUAAAGAGAUCAUUGUACUUGUAAUUGGUGUACAACCAGACAGAAAUGAAAACCUAAUAGUUGUCGGUGUGGGUGUAGGUUGCAGUUGGCGACCGAACCACGUUAAAUCUUGUAUUGUUUAUUUUCUGCAGUUGAUUCGUGAUUAUGUGUGUUGCUUCUGCUUGCGUUUUUUCCCAUCAAGUGGUAUCAAGAGCUUUGGUUCGUUUACACACUAGAGAUCCGAUCAGCAGAAAUUAAUCGACGAGACGUGAAAAUUGCGGCUGCAGUAGCGUCCUAAAGCUAGGGUUUCACAAAGGCGAGAUUAACGUUCCAAAGUUAGGGUUUCGCAAGGGUUGAAGUAGCGUCUCAAAGCUAGGGUUUCACAAAGGCGACAACAACGUCCCAAAGCUAGGGUUUCAUAGGCGCAAUAGCGUCCCAAAGUUAGGGUUUCGCAGAGGCGACAACAACAUUCCUAAGCUAGGGUUUCACAGGGACUGCAACGUUCCUAAGCUAGGGUUUCGCAAGGGCUGCAGCGACGUCCCAAAGUUAGGGUUUCACGGUGGCCCAGGAUUCGCGACAGCCUAGACCUGCGACUCGCGGCAGGUGUGCAAUGGUGUGGAUCGCUACAAGAGUGGUGGCGGCUCGUGACGUUGUGCAGAUGGCUUGCUCGUAGUAGGGUCGUGUCCAGGCAAUGCGGUGGAGUGUGCUAAUGUGACGACAGAUCGCGUUUCGCGGCGAACAGGUGCAGGUGCUUAUGGUGAGCGAGACGACACGAAGGUGCAGUGCGAUGGCAGUGACGGAAGACGCAGGGUGGCACGUACAUUUUUCUGCUGGUGCAGCAGUGACGGUGCGGUGCUAGGCGCGGGUGUGGCUGGUUUUUGCUGCGGCACGAAGUUAAGACAAUUCAGUUACUGAACACAUUAAUAAAAUGAAUUCGAUCUUAGCCAAACUUAUGUCAGUGGGCAUUAAGUUCGAUGAUGAAGUUCAAGCUUUACUACUGCUAUUGUCUUUGCCUGACAGUUGGUCCGGAAUGGUUACAACAGUUACCAGUUCAGUAGGAUCCGAUGGAUUCACUUUUGAGAAGAUUUGUGAUCUCAUUCUUGGCGAGGAUGUCCGAAGAAGGAGUUUUGGGGAAUUAGCUAGUGAAUCACUAUAUGUCAUCAGAGGUAAGAAAAAUAUCAAAGAUAGUGGGAGCAAGAACAAAAAAAGGAGUCAGUCAAAGACUCGGGAUUGCUCAAGUGUAACAUGUUGGAACUGCAAGGAGGUGAGGCAUUUCAGGAAUCAAUGCCCAAAUGAUAAAUAAGUCAACAUUGCAGAAGACUUCGUGGACGAGGACCUUUUAGCUUGUUGUGCGGAUUGAAGUGUGGAUUUCUAGGUCAUGGAUUCUGAAGCAUUGCAAAAUCUAGUUAUUGGAGACUUUGGAAAGGUAAGACUAGCAGACAACAAAACUCUUGAUGUUACGGGCAUGGGUGACAUAAUGUUGAAGACACUAGUUCGUUUCUAGACUUUGAAGGAUGUCAGAGUUGUUCUAAGCUUGACGAAAAGUUUGAUUUCUGUUAGGCAAAUGGACGAACAGGGACAUGAAGUGAAGUUCGAAAAUCAGCAGUGGAAGGUCGUCAAGGGAAAUCUUGUCAUAGCCUGCAGAAGAAAGAGAGGUUCGUUGUAUAUGGUCGGAUUACCUUCUAAGGGAGUGACCAUCCCAGUUCAGAAGAUAAACAAAGUUUGGUUCACAAAAUCUCGUGGGCAGAAGAGGGUCGUCUUUACAAGAGAGAAACCCAGAGCCACAGGUCAGAUUCAGGAUGAACGAGCAUGGAAAGGUUCAGGUAGACCAGUCAGAGGUACUUAUGGUAGUGGGAGCACGGGUCGUGCUUCAGUAGAGGUUCCUAGACGACAGUGGGUUAGUGAUUGACGUGUUGAAACUUAGGGGAGUUUUAACGAAGUCUUCUAAAUGAUUAAGAAAGUUGGUGGCAACUAGAGGUGGAACAUUGAAUUUCGUCGACAGAUUACAAAAGUACAUGUACACAGUUGAAGCGCAGGUGAACAUUGUUUCGUGACUUCAAGUGGGAGAUUGUUAGGUAUGAAGUCAAAACCAAUUGGGUUGGGCUGACUAUACAUCAUGUUUAGUGAGUGGGCUUAAUCAUUGUACACAGUUGAAGCGCAGGUGAACAUUGUUCCGUGGCUUCAAGUGGGAGAUUGUUGGGUAUGAAGCCAAGACCAAUUGGGUUGGGCUGACUAGACACCAUGUUUAAUGAGUGGGCUUAAUCACUGUAUCCAUUUUAUAAUCUCUAUUUAAAGAGAUCAUUGUACUUGUAAUUGGUGUGCAAUAGGACAGAAAUGAAAACCUAAUAGUUGUCUGUGUGGAUGUAGGUUGCAGUUGGCGACCGAACCACAUUAAAUCCUGUGUUAUUUAUUUUCUGCAGUUGAUUCGUGAUUAUAUGUGUUGCUUCCAUGUGAUUUUUUCCCAUUAAAACAUUGGUUAGAAAUACAAGUUUUUUUAGGAGUUAAAGAAAGCUAGAAAAAGAAUAAUAGGUCAAUAGUAAUAGUGAAUGUGUACUCCCUUGUAACUAUAGUGAUAAGAUAGUAAUGUUGGAUGAAAUAGCAAGAUUAAGAUAGGAAGAAGAAUGCAAAAUCUAGUGUGUAUUGGAGAAUUUUGACGGAAUAUGAAAUUUAGAUGAAAGAAGAGGUAUAAAUCAAGAUGGUAGAGGUUAGAGGGAUACAAUAGAAAUUAAUGAAUUUAUAGAAAACACUGAAAUCAUGGAUAGUAGUUAGAAAAUUUACUUCGUAUCCAAAUGGAAUUGCAAAAAGUAGGUUUCACAAAAUUUUAUUCAGGAGAGCGUUAGAUCAUUGUGUUAUGGUGUUAAAUUCCAUACAAAUAUAUUGGGAUUUGAAUCCAUGACCUUGUAAUGUAUGGAUGCACUAGUAAAGAGUCCACGAAAGAAUAGCGGUGUUAGUGGAUGUGGUAUGGUCACUAAAAUAAACAUACAAUCGAGGGUCAAAAUCCAUAAAAAAGACCAAAAUUUCAUCAAUAAUAUGGUUGUCAGUAAAUUUACCAGCAGAAAAAGUUCUGUCAAUAAUUAUUAAUAUUAUUAAUUAUUAUUUUAAAAAUAAUAUUUAUCUUUAACAAAUUAUAUUAUUAUUAUUAUUUCUAAUUAUAUUAGCACAUUAUUAUUUUGUUGCAAGUGGGACUUAAAACUGAGGAUUAGUGGUAGGAGAGUCUCUAACCACUUGAAUAAAGUGAUGUCAUUGUAAUAUUUUGAUUUUUAUUAUGUUAUUAAUAAUAAUAAUAAUAUUAAAAAUAAUAAUAAUAAUAUUAUUAUUAUGAAUAUUAUUGUAAUUAUUAUUAUUAAUAUAUUAUAAUUAUUGUAGUCAUUAUUAAUAUUAAUAUUGUUAGUAUUAUAAUUACAAAUAUAAAACUAAUAAUAAUAGUGGUAAUAAUUACAAUAAUAAUAAUAUUAUUAAUAAUAAAAUUACUAAUAAUAUUAAUACUAACAUUAUUAUUAAUCUUAAUAUUAAUAAAAUUAAUAAUAUUUAAUAAUUACAAUAAUAAUAAUAAUAAAAUAUUAAUAAUUAUAAUAUUAAUAUUAAUAAUAUGAAUAAUAAUUAUAGUAAUAAUUCUAAAUGUUACUAUUACUAAAAUUCACAAUAAUUUCAAUAAUUAUAAUAAUUUGAUAUUAUUACUAACACUACAAGAAAAUCAUGAAAUAGAAAUCAAUUUUAGAAACAAAAAAUAAUUAGUUGCUAUAGUGACUAAAUUAGAGACCAUUUUAGGGACUAAAUAAUUUUUUGGUUUCUAAAUUAGUUUCUAUUAUUGUUAAAUGGUUUUUAAAUUGGUAUCUAAUUAGUAACCAACUUUUUUGCUACCAAAUUUAAAAUCUAAAUAAUUGGUAGUUAGAAUUUUGGUUGCUAAUUAGAUACCAAUUUAGAAACUAUUUAAAUAUAAUAGAAACUAAUUUAGAAAUCAUUUUUUUUAGUUUCUAAAAUGGUCUAUAAUUUAGUUACUAUUGCAACUACUUAUUUUAGUCUCUAAAAAGGUUUCUAAUUUAGUUACUAUUGCAACUAAUUAUUUUAAUCUCUAAAAAUUGGUUUCUAUUUGAUGAUUUUCUUGUAGUGUAAAUUCAAUAUUAGGCUAAGUAACAUUCUCUUCUAUUUCUAUUAGUGAUAAUAUAGUCCUAACAAGUGAGUUCACAUAACUAGAAAUUAAGAAAGCAAUAGACAGUGUAAGAGUGAUUAAAUUUUGGGCAAUGGCUAUAAAAUUGGCUUUACAAAGAAAUUAUGGGAGGUUGUAAAAGUAAAAAUCAUACCAUCUACCCAUUCUUUCAAACUCCUUAGUUGGGUGUAUGUAUAAGAUAAUAUGUAAAGUGUUGUCUAGUAGGUUAAAACAUAUCUAUCUAAGAUGAUUGAGAGCUACUAAUCAACAUUCAUGAUGAAGUAUUUGAUUAAAGAAAACAAGUAAAAUAGAUGCAAUGAUGACGAAUGAAUGGAAAGAGGAGGAUGGGGAAUUUUACAAUGUAAAUUACAAAAAGUUAUAACAUAUUUGUAAGAAGAAAGACUCUAACAUGUUUAAUCUUUUCUAGAAGGUGAAGAUGCUACCCUCAAUACAACAUUUUGCAUGGAAGGUAAUAAAUAUUAAAUCGUGUAGCAACAAAACAAAAGAAAAUUGGAGGAGUAAGGGAGUAAUGAUAGAUAAUGUUUUUUGCCCUAUGUGCAUAUUAAUGGAGCAAUUCGUUAACCAUUUAUUCUUCAGAUGUAACAUUGUACGUUGUGUGAAAUAUGUGCAACAACUAGGUUGGAGUAAGUACUCUUAUCACUACAAAAAAAAAUCAGUAUUAUUUAUGCAUUUUUACCCAUGAAUCUGAACCCGUAGGUAAAUUCAACAUUAUCUACAUAUAUUACCCAUGGAUAUUACUCACAGAUUCUUAGUCUGUAGGUAAAUUCAACAUUACUUACUAAUUAUUACCCACAAAUCUUAUUACCUACCAACUUUUACCUACGGAUCUCUAUUACCUACCAACUAUUAUCAUAAUAAUUACAUACAUAAAUUAAAAAUAUUAAUAUAAUAUGAAGCAUUAUAAAAUCAUAAUUAAUAUUCAUAAAUAAUAAUAACCAUAACUAAUUUAUACAUAUUUUUAAUAUUAUAAAAUUAAUAAUAUUAAUAAUAUUAAUAAUAUUAACAAUAUUUAAUAAUAUUAACAAUAUUUAAUAAUAUUUAACAAUAUUAAUAAUAUUAAUAAUAUUAAUAAUAUUAACAAUAUUAACAAUAUUAAUAAUAUUUAACAAUAUUAAUAAUGUUAAUAAUAUUUAACAAUAUUAAUAAUGUUAAUAAUAUUAAUAAUAUUAAUAAUAUUAAUAAUAUUUAACAAUAUUUAACAAUAUUAAUAAUAUUUAACAAUAUUUAAUAAUAUUAACAAUAUUAAUAAUAUUAACAAUAUUUAACAAUAUUAAUAAUAUUAAAAAUAUUUAACAAUAUUAAUAAUAUUAAAAAUAUUUAACAAUAUUAAUAAUAUUAAUAAUAUUUAACGAUAUUAAUAAUAUUUAACGAUAUUAAUAAUAUUUAACGAUAUUAAUUAUAUUUAACAAUAUUAAUAAUAUUUAAUAAAUGAUAUUAAAUAUAUGAAUAAUGUUAUUAAUUUUUAUUUUAUUAAUUAUUUUAAUAUUGAUAAUCAUACUCAUAAAUAUAAUAAUAAUCAUAACAUGAUAACAAAACUUGACUGGUGGAAUGGUUAAAUCUUCUAUGAAUAUUUUUUCAAGGAACUUGAAAUCACCUGCACCUGCAGUUUAGUUCUAACAUUAAUUAUAACAUUUAUUAUUUAAAAUUUUAAUUAAUUGGGAGAUAUUAGUGUAUAUAUGCCCAACAACUUGCAUAAUAAUUUUCUUUCCCUCAAAGUUGUCACUCUUCCAUUGAAUCAUUGUUGUCAAGUUAAUUAUUUUUUUAUUUUUUAUUUAUUUUUAUUUAUUUUUUCCUGACCAAUUCGCCCCGCUCCAUCGCUGACCCGCGCGGAUCGUGGAUUAUACGGGACGGGCUAAUGUGGAUUAGCGGAUUGAAAACGUCAAUCCGCCCUGCAUUUUUUGCCGUAGACCGACCCGUAUAACCCGUUCCACUUUGUCACCCCUAAAUGGAGUCUAGACCUAAAUGGAGUAUAGUGAUCAUGCAUUCUUAUAGGAGGAACAGUAAAUUGAUUAUCUGAGUUUGAUAAUGUUAUAAUUUUGUCUAGUACAAAAAUUGAAAACAUGCGAACUAUCCAAACAUAGGUCACUAACCAAAGAACUAAAACAUAAACAACAAAAAGAUUAUUUUAUUCUGAUAGUCAAAAUCCAUUACACAUAACAAUAAAUCUGGUCUUUUAUUUCAAAACAAAACACAUAGUUAUGCAUCGUUCGAUACUAUUAUUUUCUAUUUAGAUUUAUAAACAAAUAUUAUAAUUUUAUUUCUUUCACUAAAGUAACAUUAUUAUUUUUUAUUCGAGAUUUGGGAUGAAAAAGAAAUAAGAUUGAAUGGUUUGUUAUACAUACCCGGUGGUAAUAUGCUUCCCUGGGAAGUCAACUGCUUGAGACAAGGCUGACCUCCAAGCCUGCAUCUGUGAUUCUUUUGCAAUGUCAUUUUCAUGUGCCUUCAUGUGUUUUCCGAAGCUAUUUCUCUCGUGCCGUAUAUCUGAGGGAUCUACAUGGUAAAACACUGGGUAAACAAGCUGCUUCUUCUCCUUCAUUUUGCUUCGUUCUAUGAUCCUAACAAGUUCAUCCAGACACCAUCUGGAAGAUGCAUAGUUCUCAGAAAACACAACGAUGAAAAUCUUAGAUUCUUCAAUGGCCUUCGACAGAUCAGGUGGAAGACUUUCCCCUGUCCUCAUAUUCUUAUCAUCAUUGAAACUUUUUAUUCCCUUCCCAUCUAACUCUCUACGCAGAUGCCCUAUAAAAUUGUUCCUUGUAUCUUCUCCUCUAAAACUGAUGAACACAUCAUAGGUGAAACCAAGACGCUCUUCUUCCUCACCAUGUUCUCCCAUGCUACAAACACACCAAAACUACACUAUGGAUUCUCAACUACUUUCAUCAAUUUAGUGUGUUCUGAUUAAAUACACUUUCUUUCGCGGAUACACGCUUUCAUGUAUCAGUGAAUUAAGCUUCUUAAUUAUAGGGGUUGACCAAGAAGAUGAAGAACAUGGGAUAUAAUUAUUACAACUACCAAACAUGAUGCCUCGAUCUUGAAAAUAAAGAUGAUGGGAACACAAGUAAUUCACGUGGUGCAUAUUUAAUGUGGUUUAUAUUGUACAGAAUUGGAUUCCUGUGUAUAAAAAAAUAUAGCGUUCAUAUUUAUGUGUAUUUAAUUAAAUUUAUAAUAUUGUUUUUCUAUUUUAUAAUAUUGGAUUCCCUUGUAUAAAAAUGUUUUCUUUUACGUUUUUUCGGUUUUUUUUUUCUGGUCAAAGUUGCAAACUUUAAUUAUCUCUGUCAUUCUUUCAUUUCUUUUGCCAAAAUGCUUUCUCUUGCAUCUUUUUCAUUUUUUUAUUUUUGGUUCUCUGUUUUUGUUAUUCUUUGGCGUUUGUCAAAAUAUUUUCUCUUACGUUUUCCCCAUUUUUUUUCUUAUGAUUCUUUGUUUUUUUUUUUUUAAUUUUCAUUGUUCUACGCAAACUUUGAUCAUUCUAUGCCAUCCUUUAUUUUUUGUUUGUGAAUUAUUACUGAAAAUUGUAGGUAAGCUGUAUUUUGGUGAUACGAACAAGAUUAAAUGUAAUCAAUAUUUUGUUGAUCAUAAGCAAAUGUUGUUCAAUGAAUAUUUGUUAUUAUGUUAAUUUUGAUGUAUUUUGUUAAUUAUGUUACUAAUGUCGAGUUAUUUAUAAUUUUAUUCGUUUUCUCCAUAAAAAUUUAAAAAAUGUAUUUAUACUAACUGUUGGUGUAACAUCCCUAAAUUUACCCAUAUAUAUAUAUAUAUAUAUAUAUAUAAUAAAAUAAUAGUAAAACAAACAAUAUUUAAUUAACAAAUAAACAUAUACUACUUGUUGAUAUUUGUAUCUCAAAAAUAUAUACAUCAAAAGUUUAAAAACAAAACACAGCAAAGCAUUCAAUUUAAAUCUAUCUAAUCCUCCUUCUGCUCACUGAGGAGCUCUAUUACCUACAACUUCAUCUGCUCCCGUGUAAAUUAACACGAUCAUCACAGAUUAAAGAAAACAAAAACAAACAAAUAACAUGGUAAGCUAGUUAUAUAAAACAAAAUUCUAUAAAAUUUCAAUUUGAAAUUUAUAAAACAUAAAUCAUCAAGUCUCGUACAAAUUCUCAAAUCAUCAAGUGUCUAUUAAAAUUCAACAUUCAUCUUUCAUAUGUCAGACUUCCACUGACUAAUAUAACAUAGACACUUGAUUCUACUUCUGAAAGACUCGUGUAUUGAAAUUAGCAUCCAGAGACCUGCACCUGUCAUACUACUGCUGUGAAAUCCACACAGUCAUGCGCAUAAUUAUCUCAAUAUCUCAUCCACUCAUAUGACAGGGUAAAUUCAUAUGACCUGAAAGAUCAGGUUCUAUUUCAAACCCCAGACAUAAUCAUAUGAACCUCCAUCGACUCUCACCAACUGAAUAACUUCAUCUAUGUUAUUCCAUUAUAUCAGUAGAGUCAGGAUUGUCUAAUUCACAGAUACUCACAAAUCAAUACACCCUAACAGCAAUCUCAACACGGUAUUUUCUUUCCUGAAAAUACUAUGUCUUGAUCUUACUUUCACAUCAAUGCACACUUCAUUUAACACAUCAAUACACCAUACAAUCAUAACAUAUAAUUUAACUUUCUAAUAAUCCAAAUAUAUCCAAGAAGUUAUUUAAUAAUAGUAAUCCAAAAUAAACUAUGCUAAAAUAAUAAUAAUAGUAAUAUCCAUAUAUGUAUACAAAAUUUUGAAUUGAUCGAAAAUAUUUUAGGUUUAUCUAAAUGACACCAGAGAGCACCAAAAAAUUUGGAUUGAUCGAAAAUAUUUUUAGGUUGAUCGAAAUGACACCAGAGAGCACCAGAAAUUUUAGAUUGAUCGAAAAUAUUUUUAGGUUGAUCGAAAUGACACCAGAGAGCACCAGAAAAUUUGAAUUGAUCGAAAAUAUUUUUGGUUGAUCUAAAUGACACCAGAGAGCACCAGAAAUUUUAGAUUGAUCGAAAAUAUUUUUAGGUUGAUCGAAAUGACACCAGAGAGCACAAGAAAUUUUAGAUUGAUCGAAAAUAUUUUUAGGUUGAUCGAAAUGACACCAGAGAGCACCAGAAAUUUUAGAUUGAUCGAAAAUAUUUUUAGGUUGAUCGAAAUGACACCUGAGAGCACCAAAAUUACAAAGUCCAUGCUAUAGCUGAAAAUUACUCUAAAUCAACUUCAAGCAACCAAAAAUCAACAACAUUAUAAUUUUAUAACAACAAUCAUAUCAAAUUUUACAUUCAAAUCUCAGUCAAUUACUAAUAUACUUAAAUCAAACAACCUUGGAAGAAAGUUUGAGACUGGUGACCACAUCACCCUCACAUCCAGAUCUUCUAGCCUAGUGUUCUAUUGGAAAUUAAGGCUAGCUUCCCUUACCUGAAUUUUAGUAGAUAUACACUAAGAGCUCCAAAACCACCAAGAACUCAAAGGUAACUUAACCUGCACCACAAAGUCCAAAUAAAAAAUCUAACUAUAUUACUAAGACCCUGAGCUAACAGAGAUUAACCUUGAAGCUAAAAGGGUCACAUGCAAAGCAAGACAAAAACAACCUGACAAGUUCAAAAUUUGACUCAAAGAGAAGAGCAAAAAUGAACUUACUCUAUCAGAGAUUCUGAUCGGGCAGUCUUGUAGUACUCACUGCCAGGAGUCUGAUGGUGGACUCUGAUCGUCAAACCGAUGAACGAGGAAGUCAGAAUCUUAGAGAAGGGAGAGAAAAAGAAAAGAACUUUCUAGAGAGAUGGUGGUUCUUUUUAAAAUGAAACCUGAAUAACUGAAUUUCUAUUUAUAUUCCCUUUUCAUUUUAGAUAAAAAAAUAUUCAGGAGUCAUUUAAAAUAUACCACUUCUACUCUAAAGUAAUUUUCUAGAUCCUUACAUUCUCCCCAACAAGAAAAAUUUUCGUCCCCGAAAAUUGACUUACCAGAAAAGAGAUAGGGAUAACUUUCCCUAAUGGUUUCUUCUAAUUCCCAAGUGGAAUCACCAGAUAUAUCAUCCCACACCACCUUCACCAUACUGAUGGUCUUGCCCCUGAGUUGUUUACUCUUUUGAUCUUCAAUCCUAAUUGGUUUUGCUUCAAAAGACAAGUUAUCCUUGAUUUGCACAUUAUCCACUUCCAACACGUGACUAGGAUCUGGAAUAUACUUUCUUAGUUGUGAUACAUGAAAUACAUUGUGCAGGUUUGCUAAUUGAGGAGGUAGAGCAAUCUCAUAAGCCACUGGACCUAUCUUCCUUAAGACUUGAUAUGGUCCAAAAAACUUAGGAGAUAACUUAUUUGAUCUGAUAGCUCGUCCUACACCCUUGGUUGGUGUCACUCUCAUGAACACUUGGUCUCCAGCUGCAAACUCCAAAGGUUUUCUCCUCUUAUCUGCAUAGGAUUUCUGCCUACUUUGAUAAGCUUUCAAUCUGUCUUGUAUCUGCUUCACUUUCUCAGUGGUCUGUUGAAUUAACUCUGGCCCAACCAAAACUGUUUCACCAUCCUGAUACCAACAUAAAGGAGUUCUGCACUUCCUCCCAUAUAGAGCUUCAUAUGGUGUCAUCCCAAUACUGGCAUGAUAACUAUUAUUAUAAGUGAACUCCACUAGAGGUAACAUCUCAUCCCAACUUCCCAGAUGAUCCAAAAUACAUGUCCUCAACAGAUCUUCUAAAGACUGGAUCGUCCUCUCAGACUGUCCAUCUGUUUGAGGGUGAUAUGCAGAGCUCAUUCUCAACCUAGUUCCCAAAGAGUCUUGUAGAGUUUGCCAAAACCGUGAAGUAAACCUGGGAUCUCUAUCCGAAACAAUACUGGAAGGCACUCCAAGCAAUCUCACAAUCUCUUUGAUGUACAACUGUUCCAACUUGGCCAUAGAUAUCCUUAAAUUAACUAGAAGAAAGUGAACACUCUUUGUCAGUCGAUCAACUAUUACCCAGACUGCAUCAUGACCCCUUACUGAUCUUGGUAAGUGAGUAACAAAAUCCAUAGCAAUGUUGUCCCAUUUCCACUCAGGAAUAUCCAACUGCUGUAACAAACCACCAGGUCUCUGAUGUUCUACUUUUUCCUUCUGACAUGUCAAACAUGUACCAACAUACUGAGCUAUUUCUUUCUUCAUGCCUGACCACCAAAAGGACUCUUUCAAAUCUUGGUACAUCUUUCAUACCGGGAUGUAGACUAAGAUGACUCUUAUGACCCUCUUCUAGGAUCAUUCUCUUCAGCUCUUCAUUUUCAGGUAUGCAAAUCCUGCCAUUAAAUCUCAAGAUCUCAUCUUCUCCCAUCACAAAGUCCUUAACUUGAUUUGUACCUAGUAACUCCACAGUACGCUUCAGACUAGGAUCCUCUAACUGUUUUUCCUUUAUUAUUCCAAGGAAAUCAUUAGUUAUAGUUAACUUACUACAACUAAUAUGAUUAAUAUGAAAUUUCACUCCCAAAUUUAGAUCCUUGAACUGCUCAAUCAACUUCUGCUCUUCAAUCAUCAUAGCUGACACCUGUACUGACUUUCUACUCAAAGCAUCUGCAACUACAUUAGCCUUCCCUGGAUGGUACAUCAAUUGAAAAUCAUAAUCCUUCAGAAACUCCAUCCAUCUUCUUUGUCUCAUAUUCAACUCUUUCUGAUCAAACAAAUAUUUUAAACUUUUAUGGUCACUGAACACCUGAAAUUGAGCUCCAUACAAAUAAUGCCUCCAAAUCUUCAAAGCAACACUACUGCUGCCAAUUCUAAGUCAUGAGUAGGAUAAUUUCUCUCAUGAACUUUGAGUUGCCUUGAAGCAUAUGCAACUGCUCUCUUCUCUUGCGUUAAGACACAACCUAAACCCUGAUAGGAAGCAUCACAGUAAACCUCAAAAGGUUUUCUUGUAUCAGGAAUCACUAACACCGGAGCACUAGUUAAUAUUUUCUUCAGCUCUAUAAAACUCUACUCACAUCUGUCAGUCCAAGCAAAAGGUUGAUCUUUGCGAGUUAAUUGAGUCAAAGGAGCUACUACCUUGGAAAAAUCUUCAAUGAACCUUCGAUAGUAUCCAGCUAAACCCACAAAACUUUUUAUCUCUGUGACUGUCCUAGGGUGUUCCCACUGAAGCACUGCCUCCACCUUGGCUGGAUCCACUGAGAUCCCCUGAGCUGAUAUUACAUGCCCUAAGAAAUUGACUUCCUCCAGCCAAAACUCACACUUAGAGAACUUAGCAUAUAAUUGUUUUUCCCUCAAAAUUUCCAACACUAUCUUCAGAUGUUCUUCAUGUUCUUCCUCGGUCCUUGAAUAAAUAAGUAUAUCGUCUAUAAAGACUACAACAAACUUGUCCAAGAAAUGACGGAAAAUUCUAUUCAUGUAAUCCAUGAAAAGAGCUGGAGCAUUUGUUACUCCAAACGACAUCACCACAUACUCAUAGUGUCCAUAACGAGACCUAAAAGCUGUCUUCUGAACAUCUUCAUCUUUUACUAAAAUCUGAUGGUAUCCAGAUCUCAGAUCAAUCUUUGAGAACACUGAGGCUCCAUGUAACUGAUCCAUUAAAUCAUCAAUUCUGGGCAGAGGAUACUUGUUUUUGAUGGUCAACUUAUUCAACUGCCUGUAAUCUACACACAACCGAGACCCUCCAUCCUUCUUUUUAACUAGAAGCACCGGAGCCCCCCAUGGAAAUACAUUGGGCUUGAUGAACUGUUUCUCCAAUAAGUCUUCAACUUGCUUCUUUAGUUCAAUUAAUUCAGCUGGAGCCAUUCUGUAAGGUCCCAUUGACACUGGUCCAGCUCCAGGUGCCAAAUGAAUAGAGAAUUCUACUUCUCUCUUGGGAGGUAAUCCAGGUAUUUCUUCUGGAAAUACAUCCAUGAAAUCCUUCACCACAUGUAUACUACUUAUUUCUUUAUCAUUCUUAACUCCCAUCUGAGUUAAGAUUACAAGCCACCUUGAUCCUUCUUUCAAUUCUGACCACACAUGUUGAGCAGACAUCACAUAUGACUCCUUGGAAUAUGAAAACACUAUUUUCUGUUGACUACAAUCUAUGAGAAUGUGAUUGACAGAUAGCCAAUCCAUUCCUAGAAUAACAUCCAGGUCUUGAAGAGGUAGACAAAUUAAAUUUAUUUUGAAAGUAUCGAUUUUACUUUCGGAUCUUUAGCUGGCACUCACUGACCCCGUCUUUGCUCUACAAAGUGUUGCGGUAGGUAAAGAACUCGAUCUUAAUAUAAAUUUCCAGCAGGCUCUCUGUGAUCUAUCUUGGACUGGAAAUGGAGAUUGAUUUGAAUAUGCAGUCUCUCUAGUGGCAUCUACCCUUUAUCCUUUGUUUGAAUUAUUAAGUAAGUAUAUGCAUUGAUUUGAUAAUUUAUUUUGAUGUAUGCAUUUAAAGGUCCUUUCUUGUGAAAAUAAAUGUUCUGGGAUUGGUUGGCGCAUUACAAAGGCUUGCUUGCAUUGCAUGAAAGCCGCUUUAGCAAGAAAGGCGGGAAUCUCUUCAAGGGUUGACAACUGUGAGAUAUGAACUAUUAUUGGACAUUCAAAACAAACUGUAGAGGUCAAUACUUUUCCUGAUGCAGGGGUAGAGACCAGCAGUUCAAACGACAACUCUUUCACUAAAAGACCCAACUCAUCUACACACAAAAGAAUGUGUCGCUCCUGAAUCAAACAAAACUUUCACACAUCUACCAGCUAUAUAACAUACACCUUGUACCAAAUUACCUGACUGAGAUGUUUCAGCUCCUGACAUAGAAAAAACUCUUCCAGUUGCUUGGGGUCUGCCACCCCCUCCUCUUCCUAGUUGUAAGUUACCUCCAAGAAUUAUCCUCCUCUUAUUAGGGCAAUCUUUUGAUAGAUGUUCUUCUUUAUGACAAGUAUAACAUUUUCUCUCUGAUAAAAGUUUAGGACAAUCUUUCUUCAAAUGGGGUCCAACACAGUGAUAACAUGUGGGUAUCUAUGGUGGUUGUUGCUGAAACUGCGGUGGAGCUGCUCCUGCCCUAUGUUGUGGAGGUCUAGCAUAAGGCAUGUGUUGUUGAUGUUGUACCUUGGCCUUUCCACUAGAAGACCCUCCUGGGUGUGAUCUCAUUACCCUGGAAUCCCCCUUUUCCAAGGUCUCCACCAUCUUCGCCUUCUCCACUAAGCUAGGAAACUCCCUGAUGCACAUAGGUGAUAUAAUCUUUUUCAACUCAUGUUUUAAACCUUCUUCAAACUUCCUACACCUCCAAGCCUCAGAGGUAGCUUGUAGAAUCUGGCUAGAUACUCAAACCUAGCAGCAUAAGCAUUAACUGACAUCUCUCCCUGUUCCAACUUGAGAAAUUCAGUUUCCUUUGCAAACCUUGCACUAUCUGGAAAAUAUUUCUCCAGAAACAUCACUCUAAAACACUCCCAGUCCAAAACUUCAGCUCUGACUUCCAUCAUUUGUUGAGCUCCCAUCCACCAGAACUCUACUUCUCCAGACAACAAAUAUGUAGCAAAAACCAAAUUCUUAUCCUCAGGGCAUGAGGUUGCCUUAAAGAUCUUCUCUAUCUCCCUUAUCCAUUGGUUUGCUUGAUCCGGAGUGGCAUUCCCACUGAACUUAGGUGGGUUAUGCCUCAUGAACUCUGUCAGUCCCAACUGCUCUUGAGACAAACUGACAUGGGAAGUUGUUGCAGCAAAUCUAGCAUUCUCCCAAUGAUGCAUUGUUGUCUGGUGAUUCUGAGCCAUUGCCAUAUUCUGUUGUUGGAUAGCUUUUGCCAUCAUCUCAAUAGCCCUGACAAUCUGGUUCAUCUCAGAAGAAGGUUGGGGAGGGGUAGGAGGUCUAGGAGCCAUUCUAUAAAACAAAGAAGAAAGAUUCAUGAUAAAUCUUUAGAAUUUUAAACUAUGUAGUUUUUACUAACAAACCAAUUAAAGCACACAAAAACAACCCCAUAACUCUUAGGUCUCCUAAGGUUCGAAAAGCUCUGAUACCAUAAUGUAACAUCCCUAAAUUUACCCAUAUAUAUAUAAUAAAAUAAUAGUAAAACAAGCAAUAUCUAAUUAACAAAUAAACAUAUACUACUUGCUGAUAUUUGUAUCUCAAAAAGAUAUCCCUCUUCAUAGGGAUUUAAUAUAUACAUCAAAAAGUUUAAAAACAAAACACAGCAAAGCAUUCAAUUUAAAUCUAUCUAAUCCUCCUCCUGCUCACUGAAGAGCUCUAUUACCUACAACUUCAUCUGCUCCCGUGUAAAUUAACAUGAUCAUCACAGAUUAAAGAAAACAAAAACAAACAAAUAACGGGUAAGCUAGCCAUAUAAAACAAAAUUCUAUAAAAUUUCAAUUUGAAAUUUAUAAAACAUAAAUCAACAAGUCUCAUACAAAUUCUCAAAUCAUCACGUGUCUAUUAAAAUUCAAUAUUCAUCUUUCAUAUGCCAGACUUCCACCGACUCAUAUAACAUAAACACUUGAUUCUACUUCCGGAAGACUCGUGUAUUGAAAUUAGCAUCCAGAGACCUGCACCUGUCAUAUUAUUGUUGUGAAAUCCACACAACCAUGCGCAUAAUUAUCUCAAUAUCUCAUCCACUCAUAUGAUAGGGUAAAAUCAUAUGAACCUCCAUCAACUCUCACCAACUGAAUAACUUCAUCUACGUGAUUACAUUAUAUCAGUAGAGUCAAGAUCGUCUCAUUCACAUGAUACUCACAAGUCAAUACACCCUAACAACAAUCUCAACACGGUAUUUUCUUCCCUGAAAAUACUAUGCCUUGAUCUUACUUUCACAUCAUUGCACACUUCAUUUAACACAUCAAUACACUAUGCAAUCAUAACAUAUAAUUUAACUUUCUAACAAUCCGAAUAUAUCCAAGAAGUUAUUUAAUAAUAGUAAUCCAAAAUAAACUAUGCUAAAAUAAUAAUAAUAGUAAUAUCCAUAUAUGUAUACAAAAUUUUGGAUUGAUCGAAAAUAUUUUAGGUUGAUCUUAAGGACACCAGAGAGCACCAGAAAAUUUGGAUUGAUCGAAAAUAUUUUAGGUUGAUCUAAAUGACACCAGAGAGCACCAGAAAAUUUGGAUUGAUCGAAAAUAUUUUUAGGUUGAUCGAAAUGACACCAGAGAGCACCAGAAAUUUUAGAUUGUUCGAAAAUAUUUUUAGGUUGAUCGAAAUGAUACCAGAGAGCACCAGAAUUACAAAGUCCAUGCUAUAGCUGAAAAUUACUCUAAAUCAACUUCAAGCAACCAAAAAUCAACAACAUUAUAAUUUUAUAACAGCAAUCAUAUCAAACUAGUGUAGGAAUCAAACUGAACAUAAAAAAAAAAAAACAAAUAUAAAUCAAACUUUGUAUAGAGGAAUCAAAAGUCUGCGUUGCAUUGAAUAUUGAAAUGAACAGUGAGGUUCCAAAAUAAUAGGGAUACACUGAUAUGCAAAAUAAAACAACUUUAUACUUAACCAGAAAAAAGCAAUAAAGCAAUACAAACUUGCAAUGUUUAUUACAAUAGUGUAUAAACUUCAGAAAAGCAUACGAAAACUCUAAAGAACUAUCUACAAAUUUUCUUUUCUAUAUAUCAUAGUUGUUAUAGGCAAGGUGAGGUGCUGCAUCAAAUGAAUUUUGAACAAGUCAACCAAGUGCUAAAGUUUCAGAAAAGAAUACGAAAACUCUCAAGAAUUGUCUACAAAUUUUCUUUUCUAUAUAUCACAGCUAUUGUAGGCAAGAUGAUGUGCUGCAUCAAAUGAAUUUUGAACAAGUCAGGCAAGUGUCAAAGCUGCCAAUACAAUGAAGUAUUCUGACCUAGAGAAAAAAGCAAUAGACUAGCAUCCACAUGUGAGUCUUUCCCGAAGUGUGUUCAAAUUGCUCUGAGACAUGGAAACCCAAAUCUGAAAAGUAUCAUACAAUAUGCAUUUUGAAACUCUACUAUACAAAAAUGUGCAAUCCAAGUUUUGCACAAUUAGUGUGAAAAUUCAAAUAAAAUUAUUUUCAGAAUAUGCAAAGAACAAAAUUUAACUACAAGUGUCAAUGGAGGAAUAAUUGAUAUCUUUAUUAUGAAUGGAUUAAUCUAUAACUUGGUUAUUGUGAAUCCAUUGAGUUUUAUUCUAUCAUUGUUUUUCUCUAUUUUGUACUACAUUGUAUUGGCAGCUUUGUAUAAUCAGAAUGAGAGUAGUGCACAGUGGACAUUGAGGUGCCAAAAAAAUCAAACAAAGAUUCAAAAAUUUCUACUUAAAUAAAAAUCAUAAAUAAAUAAAAUUUCUAAAUUAUUCAAAAUUCUAAAUAAAUACAAAUCAUAAAUUAUUUAAGGUCAUACGUAAAUAAAAAUCUCCAAAAAAAUAAAAUUCCAAAUUAUGAAAAAUCUUAAAAAAAUAUAAAUCUAAAUUAUUUAAUAUCCUACUUAAAUAAAAAAAUUACAAUAAAUAAAAUACCUAAAUUAUUCAAAAUUCUAAACCUAUGCAAAUCCUAAAUUAUUCAAUGUGAUACUUAAAUAAAAAUGGUAAUAAAUAAAAUUCCUAAGUUAUUAAAAUUUAUAAAUAAAUUCAAAUCCUAAAUUAUUUUACAUUGUACUUAAAUAAAAAUUUAAAAUAAAUAAAAUUCCUAUAUUAUUAAAGUUUGUAAUACAAGACCUAAAUUACUUAAUGUUCUAAUUAAAUAAAAAUAAAAAAUCAAUUAAAUUUUUAAAUUAUACAAAAUCUGAAACAAAUACAUAUCCUAAAUUAUUUAAUGUCCUACUUAAAUAAUAAUUCACAAUAAAUAGAAUUUCUAAAUUAUUCAAAAUUUUAAACAAAUACAAAUUUUAAAUUACUUCAUGUCCUACUUAAAUAAAGUAUCUAAAAUACUCAAUAAAUACAAAUUUUAAAUUAUUUAAUGUCCUACUUAAAUAAAAAUCUGAAAUAUAUAAAAUUUCUAAAUUAUUUAAAAUUCUAAAUAAACACAAAUACUUACUUAGUUUAUGUUAUACUUAAAUAAAAAUCUCAAAUAAAUAAAUUUUUUAACGUUUUCCAAAAAUCGUAAAUAAAUACAAAAUAAAUGAAAUUUAUAAAUUUUCAAAAUUAAAAAUAAAUAUAAGUCGAAAAAAAUUUAAUGUUAUUCUUAAAUAAAAAUUAAAAAUAAAUAAAAUUUCUAAAUUAUUUAAUGCCAUUCUUAAAUAAAAAAUUUCUAUGUUUUCAAAAUUCUAAAUAAGUACAAAUCUUAAAUUAUUGUAUUUCCUACUUAAAUAAUAAUCUAAAAUAAAUAAAACUUCUAAAAUUUUCAAAAUCCAAAAUAAAUACAAAAUUUAAAUUAUUUAAUAUUAUACUUAAAUAAAAAUCCAAAAUAAAUCAAAUUCCUAACUGAUUCAAAAUUGCUAAAAAAAUAGAAACCCUAAAUAUUUAAUGUCAUAAUUAACAUCCUUAAUUUUACCCAUAUAUAAUUAAAUAAAAGUAAAACAAGUAAUAUCUAAUUACAAAUAAACAUAUACUACUUUCUUAUAUGUGUAUCUCAAAAGAAAUAUCUCUUCAUAGGGAUUUAAUAUAUACAUCAAAAGUUUUAAUAACAAAACAAAGCAUUCAAAUAAAACUAUCUCAUCCUUCAGCGGCUCACUAAGGAGCUUUAUUACCUGCAAUCUCAUCUGCUCCCAUGUAAAACACGAUCAUCACAGAUAAAGAAACAACACAAACAAAUAAUAGGGUAAGCUAUCUAUAUAAAAAGUUUUGAUAUAAUUUAAAUUUCAAAUUUAUAAGCAUAGUUCAUCAAUUCUCAUAUGAUUUCUCAAACCAUCAGGUGUCUAUUACAUUCAUAAAAUUCAUCAUCUUUCAUAUGUUAGACUUCUACUGACUCACAACACAAAGACACUUGCGGAAGACUCGUGCGUUGACUUAGACUCAGAGAUCUGCACUUGUCAUACUAUCUCACUGUGAAAUCCACACAGCUAUGCGCAUAAAGAAUCUCAAUAUCAUAUCUCUUCUAGUAUGACAGGGUUAACUCAUAUAACAGGUCAAGUUAGUUAUCUUUCAAACAACUUACCCAUUCAUAUGAACCUCCUUCGACUCUCACCACCUAAAUAACUUCAUCUAUAUGAUUCCAUUAUCUCAGGAGAGUCAAGAUAUCUCCUUCUAGACGAUCCCUAGUCAAUGCACAUCCUAAACAAUCUUAACACGGUAUUUUCUUUCCUAAAAAUACUAUGUUUUGAUUAAAAUUCAUAUUCUAAACAUCACAAUCUCCAACAUCAAACAAUCAAAUCAUUCCAAAUUUUAGAAUUUCCAAAACACACAACAAUUCAUUUACUACUCAUAUAAAUGUCUUGAAUCAAAAGGGCUGCAAAGUGUAUCUAAAUAACAUCAAGUUUUACUACCCAAAAAGAGAGACAAUAAAAGGAGAAUGAAAGAAAAUUAUCUCUCAACUACAACUAUAUCCAAUAGUUCUCAACUUCUUCAAAUUUGCAUUAGCAAGAACUAAUUCCAACAUGUAUUGUAAUACUUUAAUAUUUAGAAUUAUUGCAAGAUUGUUACACCAAUUACAAAAGGAGAAAAGAAAAGUAUUAUCCAACAUUGUAUAACAUUUAUAGAAUGAAAGAAAAAAGCAUGAACAAUAAAUGUUCUUCUUUUUACUUUACAUAUACCUAGCACCACAUAUCCAACAUUAUUUAAUAAAAAGGAUAAGAAAGCCACAACAUGAAAAUUAAAGUUUGGUCACCAAUUGUUAAACCCAACAACUAAUUUAUCUCAAAAGCACCAGAAUUCAGAUUACAAUCAACAUAGCAAUUCUCUAAAUAAUCAACUCAUAGUUUACUUUAAAAAUUGUCACAAACAAUUUUUAGCUCAUAAACUGAAUCAUGACGAAAUAAUCAAAAUAUAUGCUCUGAAAUUGUCAAGAAAAAUCAUCACAAACAUUUUUCAAAUACAUUAUAUACAUUCUACACUUAUAUACAUUCUACACCGUCUACUAUAUCUAAAUUUUUCAUUUCAAUCUCAAACAAUUUCCAAUCUACACAAAAACAAGAGAUCGUGCAAGAAAAUUUGAAACUGGUGACCACGUCACCCCCACAUCCAGAUCUUCUAGCCUAGGGUUCUAUUUGGCAAUUUAAAACUAGCUUUCCUUACCUGAAUUUUGACUGAUGCUCGCUAGGAGCUCCAAAUCUACCAAAAGCCUAAAGGUAAUUUAACCUGCACCACAGAAUCCUGAUAAAAAUCUAACUAUAUAACUAGGACCUUUUGUUAACAAAAUUAACCCUCCUGAAGCUAAAAGAAUCAUAUGCAAAGCAUAAAUCUAAUAAGAUCAAAAUUAACUCAAAAGAAAAAGGGGCCAAGAAUGAACUUACUCUAUCUGAGAUUUUGAUCGAACAAUCUUAUAGGGUUCACUGCCAGGAGUCCAAUGGCAGACUCCGAUUGCCAAACUGAUAAGCGAGAAGGUUAGAAUCUUAGGGAGAAGGGAAAGAAAAGGAAAAAGAGGAACAAAACUGAACUUACUCUAUAAGAGAUUCUGAUCGGGCAGUCUUGUAGUCUUCGCUGCCAGGAGUCCAAUGGCAGACUCCGAUCGCCAAACUGAUAAGUGAGGAGAUCAGAAUCUUAGAUAGAAGGGAGAGAAAGGAAAAUUGGAACUUGUAGAGAGAUGGUGGUUAUUUUAAAAUGAAACCUGAAUAACCGAAUUUUCUAUUUGUUCCCGCCGGUUGACCUGGGUUGUCUUUAUGCGUGGCUUGUCCUCACGAGCUAGGGCACCUUCGUUCUGGUCCGUCUGUGAGUACCUGAAAAGAAGUGAACAAAAGGGGCGCCCUCGCGACCGUUUGCACUCCGACGAUCAAGUCAACUAGCGAGAAGCAUCAAAGGUGACGCACCUCCGUAUCGGAACACCGUAAACGAAUGCUCUGAAGGUGGUUAGAAAUAACUGAGUGGCUAAAACUGUGUUGCCCUAAUCGUUUUUCUGCACACAAUGGGUGCGCCGUCACAACAACUAGGGUUUGUGCUCUUGUGUAGACUGUGAGAAUUAGGUUAAAACUCAGAUCCUUUUCAAACGUCCCAAGGUCCCUUUUUAUACAUCUCUCGCAUUUAAAACGCGUUAAAGCGCAUUGAAAGCGUAUAAAAAUAUUCCUUGGAACGUUCGAAUCUUAACUGAAUUAACGCGUACCUUAGCGAACUUUUACAAAAGCCUUGAUGUUUUCAAUGCUUAUUGCCACGUGUUCUUCUGACUUAAUCGUGACUCUUCGUGGAGGGCCCUAUAGCGCCGUAACCCAAUUUAGGGUUAAUCCAUCGUGCAAACCCUCCUUUCUUGAAGUGCAUUUGGCGCAAGUGGGUGACUUUCUGGGUGCCAACUCAUGCGCCCCAACUUCUAGUCACUCGCCUUGGGAGUGUAUCUACCUUCCUCUCACACCAAGCACCUGGUUCACCCCUGGGCAUGACCCUCUCGUGGGUCGUAUCUAUCCCGGGGGUCUCCCUGAGGUGACGUGGGUACUUCACGAGUCAGGUUACUCCCUGCUGGUACCAGAACUAUGGCCUUGAAGCCACCUUUCUCUUCUCUUUGUAACUGCUCUGGGCCACACCUUAACCUGGCAAUGCUUCAACCUGGCGAUGCCUUCCUUAGGCGACGCCUCCUCUUGGCGACGCCUUACCCUGGUGACGCCUUCUCUUGGCAACUCCUUCUCCUGGCGACGCCUUCUCCUGGCGACGCCUUCUCCUGGCGACGCCUUCAGUGGUCAAUCUGUUGACUUCCCUUCUUUGGGGCCCUCGAGUGGUCCCACCAUAUGUUGACUUUGACUUUGGUCAACGCCCAAGGACGGGACGGUGCACUAUUUAUAUGUCAUUUUCAUUUUAAUAAUAAAAUAUUCAGGUAUCAUUUAAAAUAUACCACUUCUACUCUAAGGUUAUUUUCUAGAUCCUUACAUCAUACGUAAAUAAAAAUACAAAAUAAAUAAAAUUCUUAAAUUAUGUAAAAUCUUAAAUAAAUACUAAUCUAAAUCUAACAUAUUUAGUGUCUUACAUAAAUAAAAUAUGAAAUAAAUAAAUCUACAAAACAUAAGCGGGAUGGAAAAUUUUUUGUACGUUAAAUGACUUCAAAAAAAAGGUGAUAAAAUUGUUUUUGAAAUAGAGGUUUACAUACCCAGUCCUAAAUAAAUACAAAAUCUAAAUGAUUUAAUGUUUCACUCAAAUAAAAAUUUGAAAUAAGUUCAAUUCCUAAAUUUUUAAAAAUCCUAAAUAAAUACAAUCCUAAAUUAUUUAAUGUCAUACUUAAAUAAAAAAUCGUAAUAAAAAAUUUAUAAAUUGUUUAAAAUUCUAAACAAAUACAAAUACUAAAUUAUUAAAUGUCAUAUUUAAAUAAAAAUUUGUAAUAAAUAAAAUAUCUCAAUUAUUUAAAAUUAUAAAUAAAUACAAAUCUAAAUUAUUGAAUGUCAUACCUUCAUAAAAAAUUAUAUUAAAUAAAAAUCCUAAAUUAUUUAAAAUUGUAAAUAGUUACAAAUUCUAAAUUAUUGGAAUUAUUUCAAAUUUUAAACAAAUACAAAUUAUUUAAAAUUUUAAACAAAUAAAAAUCCUAAAUUAUUUAAUGUACUACUUAACUAAAAUAUCUGAAAUAAAUAAAAUUAUUUAAUUAUUUAAAAUAUUAAUAAAUAAUAAUUCUAAAUUAUUUAAUGUUCUACUUAAAUAAAAAUUUAAAAUAAAUUAAAAUUUUAAAAUAUUCAAAAUCCUAGGUAAAUCUUAACUUAUUUUAUGUCAUACAUAAAUAAAUUUUAAAUUUUUUUUGAAUAAAUAGUAAACCAGAAAUUAUUUUAUUUCUUACUUAAAUAAAAAUAUAAAAUAAAUAACAUUUCUAAGUUUUCAAAAUUCUAAAUAAAAAAAAUUCAAAAAUUUGUAAUAUCAUUCUUAAAUAAAAAUAAAAAAUCAAUAAAAUUUCUAAAUUAAUCAAAAUUUUAAAUGAAACCAUAUCUUAAAUUAUUUAAUAUCAUUCUUAAAUAAAAAUCUAAAAUUAAUAAAAAAAAUUAGUUUUCCAAAAGGCUAAAUAAAUAAAAAUCUAUACAAAAUAGGGAUAUAAUUUUGACAACUACUUCGAUGACCCGAUCUAGAAAAUAAAUAUGAUGGGAACAUAAAUAAUUCACGUGGUGCAUAUUUAAUGUGGUUUAAAUUGUACAGAAUUGGAUUGCUGUGUAUAUAAAAAAUAUAGCGUUCAUAUUCAUGUGUAUUGAAUUAAAUUUAUAAUAUUUUUUUUCUACUUUAUUAUUGAAAGUUAGGUAAAGAAUAGAAAUAUUAUAGAACGAGUUUAUUACGUUUCCCAAAAAGAGAGUAAAAUAUUGUGUAGAAAUUAAAGAUGCCUAAUAAGAGUUGAGGUAUUAUUUAUAAAUAAACAAUGAAAAAAUAAUGAUGCCUUCAUACUUCACCAGAUUCUUAACUGCCUUUUUAAUAGAUUCUACCUUCCUUAUUAUCAUUUCAUUUAAUACAGUUUCUUAAACGGAUACACGGUUUCAUGUCUCUGAAUUAUGCUUCUAAAUUAUAGGGGUUGACCAAGAAUAAGAAGAAGAUGGGGAUAUAAUAAUUACAACUACCAAACAUGAUGGCCCCAUCUAGAAAAUAAAAAUCUAAAAUAAAUAAAAUUUAUAAGUUUUUUAAAAUUCUAAAUUAAUAUAAAUUUUAAAAAUUUAAUGUCAUUCUUAAAAAAAUUUAUUAUUUAAUUGCAUUUUUAAAUAAUAAUAUAAAAAUUAAUUAAAUUUUUAAGUUUUUCAAAAUCUUAAAUUAUUUUAUUUCCUACUUAAAUAAUGAUUAAAAUAAAUAAAAGUGAUUACAUACGAAUUUUUGCGUAUUUAAUUCAGUAUAUAAAUAGACGUUACAUACUGAUUUUUUUUAUAUGUAAGCCAAAAGUGAUUAUAUAUGUUUUUAAUCAGUAUGUAAUUUUGACUUCACAAAGCGAGAAUAAUUACAUACGGAUUGUAUCCGUAUAUAAAGUAUUACAAACAAAAUAUUUUUAAUAAUUGUAAUAAUAAUAAUAUUGAUAUUAAUGGUAAUAUUGAUAUUAAUAUUUUUAUUAAUAUUAAUGAUAAACAACCGGUUGAAUUUUUGUUAAUCAAGUUAAACAAUUUUGUUUGAUUUCUUUCUUGAUUUCUGUAUCUGUGAUUCUGCAUUGAAGUUCAUUAUACUUUCAAAGUUUGCGAAAAUCUUUCAUAAACAAUUCAUCUCCCCCCUCUUAUUUAAUGCCAUAUAUUCUAAUAAAAACUUCCUCAACUUGAGAAGUAAAACCCACGGACCUAGUCCAGAAAAUGCCUCCCCUAUGAAAGUAGGAUUACAAUAUUUGUUUCUCUCACUCUAUGAGGAUAACACUUAAUCUCACCCAAGAAGAAUGGAAUACAAAGUCUCUUUAGCAUCCCACUCACCAUUAUGGUGGUUAUCUAUUCUCUCAUUUACACUUUAUCUCUUCUCCUUGCUUGUCUUUUUUCUUUCUCACAAGUUUCCUUUAUAUAGAGAAUGAGAGUAAGACUUCUUCAUAAAGAGAUAGUAGAUAAUUAAUGCUUAUCACAUUUUCAAGAGAGAGUUACAAAUUCAAGACUUUUGAAAUGACCAUCAUUGAAUAUAUUCAAUGGAUCAAUUACCAAUAUUCAUUGGUCGGGAUCUCCUAGUAAACUAAGAAGGGAUUCCCAACAUAAGGUUCAACAAAACCAUAUAAAUAAGAGCAAAAAUGAAAAAAGUCUAUGAAAUGUUUGAAAACAUCAGAAUACCAAUCACCUACCUAAGCCCCUAUUUGGAUUGGGGGGUGGCACUGUAGCCGCAAACGGAUGUGGGGUGCCACCCCCGUUUGGAUCUAGUCAUGGUUGAGGGUGUGGGUGAGGGUGAGGGGAAAGUUGGGCCAAAUGAGAGAGCAUUCAGAAGUGAAGAGAAAGGAGAGGGUGAGGGAGUGAGUGCCAAGUAGGAUGAGUGAAAUAUCAUUUGUGCCCUCACUAGAUUUUUGGAUGUAUGUGGGCAUUGUACGUGAAACAUGCAUGCACAUUUGUGAAGAGAAGCUUUUCAGCAACAAGCACAUGAGAUUCCUGACCAUUGUUCAGGAAUCUGUUUGACCAAGUUAAAAGCUCAAUGAAUGCAUAGGCAAGUUGGUGAGAGGGUGGAUGAGCGUAAUAAAGAGGUGCAACAAUAUAUAUGUGGUUCCCAAGCUCACAAACCUCACAAAGCAAAGGCAAUUUGGUUCUUCACAAAGCACAUACCUAGAGAGCUUGGAGAGGGUCGUGAGUGCGCUUGGUUCUUUGUUUGUAACCUCAGGUGAGCUUUGUGUGAGUUUAGUUUCAUUCUUAAUCGAUUAUCACUGAAAAUGAACGUAUGCCAUAAUCGAUUAUGUUGAAAAAAAUAGUUGAUAAUCAAUUAUGUUCAUGACAUAAUCGAUUAUCUGUAAAAAUUCCCGUGAGAUAAUCAAUUAUGGUCGUUUUUGCACUGGAAGCAUAAUCGAUUAUGUGCCAUAAACAUUUGGAUAAUCGAUUAUGUGCUAUUUUACACUGGGGUGAUAAUCGAUUAUGGUUCUAAUUUUCCAGAUUUAUGAUUUUAUGUUUUUUGAACUAAUUUUUGAAUGAUUUUUUUUUUCAGGUAAAGUUUGAUAAAUCUUAGACUUGCAUUGUGUUGUGGUUUUGUUCUGCUCUCUUGAGGUAUGUGUGUUUUUUUUUUUAAAUUGUGUUUGGAUGUUUAGUUUUAUUUUGAAUUUAAUUUGUUUAAAAUAUUUUAAAGUAGUUGUUAAUUAGUUUUUAAUUUUAGAUGUGAAUGUUUAGGAAAAUUGAUUAUCUAAAAUUGUAUAUUGUUAAUGUAAAAAUUUCAUGAAAUUUGAAUAUGUUAUUUUUGUGACAUGAAUUGAAUUGAAUUUAUAGAUUGAAAUUAGAGAUUUAAAUUUGUUAUUCUAAAAUAUUGUUUUUAAAAAGAUAAUAAAAUUUUUUGCAGUAAUUUAAAAACAGAAAAAUCAAAUAUACAGAAGAUUUUUUUUUUUAUUUUAACUUUGAAGCUGUUAAUAAAUAAAUUUUUUAUUUAAAUUUACAGAAUAGACUACCUUUUAGAAAUUAUUAUUUUUACAGAAUGUAAAUAUUAUUUUUAAUGUUAUUUUUUAAAACAAAUAUUUUAUUAAUUAAAAAAACAGAAAAAGAUUACAUAAUAAAUUAGAAUUUUUAAUAAUAUGUGUACAUAGUUAAUGCUAUUAUGAAAAAAUUAAAACAAAUAUUGUAGUAAUUAAAAAAAACAGAAAAAAUUACAUAAUAAAUUCGAUUUUUUAAUAAUAUUUGUAGAUAGUUAAUAUUUUUUUAACAUUUAAUGUUUUAUAAAAGAAAUAUUUAUUUAUUUGAAAUGAUUAUUUUUAUAGAAUGGAAAUACAAAUUUUGAAUGUUAUAUUUAUAAUUUUUUUCCAUUUUACAUAGACAUACCAUAAUGUUAUGAAAAUAUAUAUAAUUUAUUUCUCAUAAUUUACAUAAAUUGUUAAUAUUAUUAUUUAAAAAUUAAAUAUAAUAUUGUAGUAAUUUAAAUAAAACAGAAAAAGAUUACGUAAUAAAUUAAAAGUUUUACUAAUAUGUGUACAUAGUUAAUAUUUUUUGAACAUCAAAUUGUUUAUAAAAAAUAGAUUUAUUUAUUUGAUAUUAUUAUUUUUACAGAAUAGAAAUAGAAAUUUAGAAUUUUUUUUAUAUUUUUUAAAAUUAAAUUCUUUAUAAAUAAUACAUUUAUUUAUUUAUAGUUAAUAUUUUGACAUGAUGCAUUAAUUCAUAUUUGACAUGUUAUAAAUAAUAAAUGUUAACAGAAGUUUUUAUAGAAAUUAAUAAUGUUAUAGAAAGUUUUAUUGUUACAUACUGGAAAAUGUAAUUAAAAAAAUUAAUAAUGUUAUACAAUUUUUUAUUUUUUAUUGUUACAAAAUGUAAAUAUAAUUUAAAAUAUUUAAAAUAUUAUGGUACUAAAACCCUAAAUCAAAAAAGUUAAGAGAACAUAUAUUUAUUUCUUGAUUGAUUAAAUUAUAAUUUUGUUAGUCUAUAUUUAUUUUGUUAUAUUAGAUAAAUUAAAUGAUAGAGUCAUUUACAAUAGAAUGUUUAUUAUAAUUAUUUAAAAUUAGAUAUUAGGGUUACUGUAUUGGUGUAGUUUUACACUGAAACGGUAACUGCAUUCGAUAUGUUGUAUUGACACUUAUCCAUAUCCAUAAUCAUGGUUCUGAAUCAAAGUUCUACAUUUUGUGGAUAACAUUAUGAAUUCGGGUAGCCAUUACGACGAGGCAGAAAUGGUACAUUUUGAGGAAACGGUUGCAAUUUAUGAUGACCUUGUUGCGGCGAACAUGAAUUUAAUUUCACAAAUACAAGAACAAAUUAAAAAAAAUACUGAAGGUGCUUCUGUGAUGAUCCUUUGUAUGUUGGUUUUGGAUUGAAUUUGUUACGUACGGUGUGUACUACAAGGAACCGUAUUAGUGAGUUCCAACCACAAAAAGAGCGUCGCAGACAAGAAUUGAUGGAGUACUUGGUUCACACUGAACAAUGUCGUGAUAUUAUUCCCAUGGGACCAGAAGCUUUCCUUCAAUUAUGUCAAUGAAUACGAGGAACUGGACUUGUUAAAGAUGCAUAUCGAUCAACCGUGGAAGAACAAGUUGUGAACUUUCUACACAUUAUUGGGCAUAAUGUGAAGAAUCGAAGUGUGUCAUUCUUUUUUCAUCGGUCUGGAGAAACAGUUUCCCGUCACUUUCAUAAUGUUUUGAGUGCAAUAUUAAGGUUGGAGGGGGAAUUCUUAAUUCAACCAAAUGGAAUGGUUGUAGAAUCGCACAUCCUUAACAACAAUCGAUUUUACCCCUACUUUAAGGUUUGUUUAUGAUAAUAUUAUUUUAAAUCACGUAUCAUGUUUUAUUUAUUUUGUGUUUAAUAAAACUUAUGAAAUUUGGUUUACAUUAGCAUUGUUUGGGGGCAAUAGAUGAAACUCAUGUAUGUGUUAAGGUUUUACGUGCUGAUGCACCUCGUUUUCGAGGGAGAAAAGAUUGGCCAACUCAAAACAUAUUUGUAGUGUGUGACUUUAACAUGAAGUUCACAUAUGUCCUGGCCAGUUGGGAAGGAACAACCUUGGAUUCAAGGAUAUUAAAAGACGCUUUGGUACGAGACGAUCCUUUGGUUAUUUCAGAAGGUUAGUUUUAGGGGAUUGAGUGUGCAGAAGAAUAAAUAGGUUAUAGUAGUAUAUACUAACACAACUUUCCAAUAUUUUGUAGGAAAAUACUAUCUUGGUGAUGCAGGUUUUAUGUUAAAACCAAAUAUAAUAAAAUCUUAUCGCGGGGUUAGAUACCAUUUGAAAAAAUAUUCGCGAAGAGGACCACAAAAUGCUAAAGAGCUAUUUAAUCUUCGACAUUCAUCACUUAGAAAUAUAAUUGAGUGAACAUUUGGGGUAAUGAAAAAACGAUUUCCAUUUAUUAGUAUAUGUUUAUGUUUGUUUUUUAUAUAUUAAUAUUUGGUUUUUAAUUUUUUAUUUCGCGUCUCUUUAUGUGUUUUAAAUUAUUAAUUAUUGUAAAAUUCAUUUUACUUUAUUUUUUAAUAUAUUGAUCUUAUCUAUUAUUAUUAUUAGUUUAUGUAAUUGUUAAUUAAUGUAAUUUUGACUUAUAAAUUAUGAUAGAACUCAUAUUAAUGUCAAAUUUAAUAUUUUACGUUUUAGAAAAUCAAAUUUAAUUUAAUGUAAAUUUUCUAUAAUUUAUUUAAUAUUAUAAUAUUAUUAUUUAAAUAUGAAAGCUUAGAAAAAAUAACCGUUUGUUGCACGGUCAAAGUUCUAGUAGAAAUAGAAAUAGAGGGGCACGUGACGUCUCCUUUUGAUUACAGCUAAUAAGAAUCCAGAAAUCUUUGAAGGGUCCCGGAAUAAUGUAAUCACCUUCCUUAUUAUCAUCUAAAUUAUUGGGGUUGACCAAGAAUAAGAAGAAGAUGGGGAUAUAAUUGUUACAACUACCAAACAUGAUGUCCCCAUCUAGAAAAUAAAAAUCUAAAAUAAAUAAAAUUUAUAAGUUUUUUAAAAUUCUAAAUUAAUAUAAAUCUAAAAAAUUUUAAUGUCAUUUUUAAAAAAAAAUAUAAAUUAUUUAAUUGCAUUUUGAAAUAAUAAUAUAAAAAUUAAUUAAUUUUUUAAGUUUUUAAAAAUCUUAAAUUAUUGUAUUUCCUACUUAAAUAAUGAUUAAAAUAAAUAAAAUUUAUAAAAUUUUCAAAAUUCUAAAUAAAUAUAAAACUUAAAUUAUUUAAUGCUGUAUUUAUAUAAAAAUCCAAAAUAAAUUAAAUUUUUAAAUUAUUCAAAAUUGCUAAAAAAACUAAAAACCGUAAAUAUUUAAUGUCAUACUAAAUAAAAAUACAAAAUAAAUAAAUUUUUUAAAUUAUUUAAAAUAUUAAAUAAAUACAAAUCUAAAAUAUUUAGUGCCUACAUAAAUAAAAUCUAAAAUAAAUAAAUCAACAAAACAUGAGCGAGAUGGAAGAAUUUUCGUAUGUUAAAUAACUUCAAAGAAGACGAUAAGAUUGUUUUUGAAGCAAAUGUUAAUAUAUCAAAUAAUGAAAUUCGAGUUAUUCACCUUUUAGGAUAAAUUCAUUUUUUAUGAAACUGUUUAUUUUUAGUUAGUUUCUUCAAAAUUUGUGUCAGUUUGUUGAUAGUUAAACAAUUUAUUUAUUUGUGUAUAUUAUUUAUGUUUAAGCAUUGUUUAUAUUAAUUUUAGUAUGUUUAGUUUUUUAUUUAUUCGUAUAUGCUCAUGUUUAUUUCUUAUAUAUUAAUAUUUACUUUGUAAUUAAUUAAUUUAUUUUUCUAUUUACAUUUGCAUUCAUAUAUUUAAUUAUAAAAAAUAUAUUUUUAUACAAAAUAGUGAAAGAAAACGUGCCAAAUAAAUCAACAAAAUUUGGAGUGGGAUGGAAAAAUUUAUGUAUGUUCAAUGACUUCAAAGAAGACAAUAAAAUUAUUUUUGAAGCAGAAGUUAUCAUACCAAAUAAUGAAAUUCUAGUUAUUCGCCUUUUAAGAUGAAUAAUUUUUUUUACAUAACUUUUUAUUAUUACUUAUUUUUCUCAAAAACUUUGUGUUGUUGAUACUUGAACAAUUUAUUUAUUUACAUGUAUUAUUUAUGUUUAUGCAUUGUUUAUAUUAAUUUUAGUAUGUUUAGUUUUUUACUUAUUCAGAUAUGCUGAUGUUUAUUUCUUAUAUAUUAAUCGUUGCUUUGUAAUUUUUUUUUAUUUAAUUUUUUCUUUACAUUUACACUUAUAUAUGUAUAUGUAUUUAAUUACGUAAAUUAUAUUCUUAUACAAAAUAGUGAAAGAAAAUGUGUCAAAUAAAUGAACAAAACUUGCGGCGAGAUGAAUUUUUUUUUGUAUGUUAAAUAACUUCAAAGAAGGUGAUAAGAUUAGUUUUGAAACAGAUGUUAACAUACCAAAUAAUGAAAUUCGAGUUAUUCAUCUUUUAGCAUGAUUUUUUUUACAUAACUGUUUAUUAUUACUUAUUUCUCUCAAAAUUUGUGUCAGUUGUUGAUACUUGAACAAUUUAUUUAUUUAAGUUUAUUAUUUAUCUUUAUACAUUGUUUAGAUUAAUUUUAGUAUGUUUAGUUUUUUUGUUUAUUCAUACAUGCUAAUGUUUAUUUUUUAUACAUUAAUAGUUGUUUUGUAAUUUAUUUCUUAUAAGAACAAAAGUGAUUAUAUACGGAUUUAAUUCAAUAUGUAAAUAGACAUUACAUACUAAUUUUUUUCAUAUGUAAGCCAAAAAUGAUUAUAUACAAAUUUAGUCAGUAUGUAAUUUUGGCGCCAUGAAGCAAGAAUAACUACAUACGGAUUGUAUCCGUAUAUAAAGAAUUACAUACAAAAAUAUUUUUAAUAAUUGUAAUAAUAAUAGUGAUAAUAUUGAUAUUAAUAUUAAUAUUAAUGAUAAACAACUGGUUGAUUUUUUGUUAAUCAACUUCAACAAUUUUGUUUGAUUGCUUUAUGGAUGUCUGUAUCUGAGAUUCUGCAUUGAAGUUCAUUAUACCUUCAAAGUUUGUGAAAAUUUUUCAUAAACAAUUCAUCUCCCCUCUGGUUUAAGACCAUAUAUUCUAACAAAAACUUCCUCAACUUGAUAUGUAAAACCCACGGGAUCUAGUCUAGAAAAUGCUUCCCCUAUAAAAGUAGGAUUACAAUAUUUGUUUCUUGGGAGGAUAACACUUAAUCUCACCCAAUCUAUUCUCUCAUUUAAGCUUUAUCUCUUUUUUCUUUCUCACAAGUUUCUUUUCUUUUAUAUAGAGAAUGAGAAUAAGACUUCUUCAUAAAGAGAUAGUGGAUAAUUAAUGCUUAUCACAUUUUCAAGAGAGAGUUACAAAUUCAAGACUUUUGAAAUGACCAUCAUUGAAUAUAUUCAAUAGAUUAGUUACCAAUAUUUAUUGGUCAGGAUCUCCUACUAAAUUAAGAAGCGAUUCUCAACAUAAGAUUCAACAAACCAUAUAAAUAAGAACAAAAAAAAAAAAAAGUCUAUUAAAUGUUUGAAAACAUCAUAAUACCAAUCACCUACUUAAAUGUUUGAAAACCUUUUGUAGGUACAAUCCUCGUAGAAACCCAAGACCAAAUGCAAAAAUAGAAAGUGGAAGGAAACAUUACUAUGAUAAAGAGAAGUUAUUAUAUCAGCCUUCUACAAUAACAAUGAACAUAAAUAUUGUUUGAACAUUAAAAUUUUCUAUUAUUAUUUUAAAAAAUAAGAUGGUAAAAUAUGAGUUUCAUUCGAGUAAAAUUAAAAUAAACUAAAACUAUUAAAAAAAUAUCUUACCAAAUGUAAAUAAAAUGGUUUUAUUUUAGAAUGCUUUAUAAAAUACAUUAAAUCGAUUUACUCAACUACGAAGAUAAGAAAAACAUCUCUUCUUCAAACAAUGGUUUAUUAUGUGCUAUUGGUUUGUUUUAGUAAGUCAUAAACAAUAGAUUAAGUAACUUUUCAAAAUUUUACUAAGGAAAACAUCAUAGGUGAAACAAGAGACUCUUCCUCAUCAAGUUACACUUUCAUUAAAAAAAACUAAUAAACAAGUGUGUACCAAAAAAAAAAGUCUUAUAAUGGUACAACUUUAACUAAUAAAUAAUAAAAAAUUACUUUAAUUGCCACUUUUAUGCAAAGUGUUAUCUCCUUGUAAUGAUUUAUUCAAUCUUGAAUAAAUUUUAGAAUCUUAAUAUGAAGUCAUGGGUUGAUCACUGAGGGGCAAUCCAAUUAAUAUAUUAUAACAGUCCAAUCCAAGAAAUUAAUGACGAUACCCGCAUAAUCGUCAUAAAGAAGAGAGUGCAAAAUUAGUGGAGGUGGAGAGUUACGAAAAUAUAAGAAGGAAUUAAGUUAGUAAAUAGAACAAUUACAAAGAAAGGCAAGAGAGAAGUUUUAUAAGAAAGAAGAGAGGCCAAAGGGGAAAAAAAAUUGGAAACUGUUUUCGAAUACCAUUGAUUCUCUACCUAAGGAUCAUCUCUAUCGGCUAAUUAAUAGAAACCAUCAUAUCGACUAUUUUGACCUGCAAUGCAUGCUCAUUUUGCAUUUUUUAUUUUAUUUAUAAUAAAGUGAUUUGUUUACAAUAGAAAAUAACAUUUUUUUUUAGAUUUUUAAGGUUACACACAUCAUUACCAAAAAGAAAGAACAUUUCCAAAAAAAAAAAAACAAUUGACAGAGAGUACAAUUUAAAGACAUCAUCUUACACCUGGUAUAAGUUUUAAACAAAUAUUCUAGUGAAUGUUUUCAUUAUUAGCUUACUCAUCAAAUCUUCAAACUCCUCUGGUUUUUUCAACCUUUCAACCACACAAUUCAAUAGCUUCUCUAAUUUGAGAAGGAGGAAGUGUCACUGUAGUCCAAUCCAAUAGUGGAAUCCUCUGCUUUGGUUCUAGGGUGAUACAAAAUUUGUAUUUAUCCCUUUCCUAUUUGCCACAGUAUUUAGUGUUUCCAACACGUCCAAAUCAGGAAACCUCAGCUUUGCUUCCAAGAGUCCACCGUAAACUCCACUCAAGUAUGUUCUAUUUUCAGCUGAGGGUAUUAUCUCCAUCCCUUUAGGUGUCCAUUCAAUUCCAGAACCCUUCGCCAAGGCAAUGCUAAUGGUGUCAGCAAUAUCUAGAGAAGGAAAUCUAUUUUGUGCCUCAAAAACUCCAUCUUUCAUUCCUUCAUACCAUAAUUCUCGCGUUAUUGCUUCCUCCUCCUCACUUUCCUUAUGGCUAGAGGUUGGAGCUCCUCCAUCCAUCAUUCCUUGAUCAAAUAUCUCUCUCACCAUUUCUUCCACCAGAGGAGGUGAAUCCAAAUGUGGAAAGCUCGGCUUUGCUUCAGUGGGUGAUCCAAAAGUUUCUGUAAUCCCUUUCCUUUUUGCCACAGUAUUAAUUGUUGGCCACAUGUCCAAAUCAGGAAACAUCAGCUUUGCUUCUAAGAGUCCACUGUAAAUUCCACUUAUGUAUGUCCUGGUUUCAAUCGAUGUUUGCACUUCAUCUUCAGGUCUCCAUCUAACCCUAUAACCCUUCUCCAAAGCAGCUCUUCUGGUUUCAACAAUAUCAAGUGAAGGAAAUCUAAUAUGUGCCUCAAGAAGUCCAUCCUCCAUUCCUUCAACAAACAUCUCUCUCACUAUUUCUUCCACCCGAGGAUCGUAGCCUUCCUCCUCCUCACUUCCCGUAUGGCCAGAGGUUGAAGCUUCUUCUACAUUAUGCAGUUUCACUGGAUCCUUUAGUCUUAUCAACGCUAGAUCACCUAAUAUAGUAACUUUAGGCUUUCCAUCAUCAUUUUUUAGCACAUCUAGAAUCUGCCUCAGAGUGGAUUUUGGAUCUUUUAAAGCUGACCCUACUGCUUUUAAUGCAUUCUCAGCAUCCUGGGAUAUUCUCUGUAGUUCUCCCAAUACAAUUUGCAUGGAAUGGUUUUCAGCCAUUCCUUCAAACCCCCCUCUUCCUUUGUUGUCCAGCCAUUCAUUCAACGUCCUCUUAUAUGAUUCGUCCAAACCUAGACUCUCUAUCAUCAUUUUAUAUUCCUCCAUAUCAUCUUUUUUAGGAACUAUUGCCUGUGGCAUCUCGUCUGGAUCCAUGGGAUCGGGAGAAGCGAAUACGAGAUCAUCCAUUUUGGUUUUGUCUUCUUCAUACACAAAAGCUCCCCAACCACUUAUCACGAAGGAGGAAGUGGCUUUAUACGCAAUCUGCACCAGAUUCCACUCCUUCUUCAUCAGAAGUCGGUCAAGGCCAAGCCACUCCUUGUCACUGAACAAAACUCGUAGAUCAAAGAUCAAGAUGUGUUCUGCUUCAAUUCUGAAUUUGCGAGACCCUUUGCAAGGAACAUAUUGACCGUUGAUAAGUAAACGCAGAUCAACAACGCGACGACGAGCAAAUUUUUCCCUUUCACUCUCAUCUUGGAAGUGGAAGAUCAUGGCCAGAGCAAUGUUAGGGAACUUCUUACGAACCCAGAAACGAGGAUACCUUUGGACCCCCACAUAGUUAAACCAUUCUGGAAUCUCAGUUGUAAAUGGCAUCACCAGUUCUAUUCCACGUACCCCUUUCUUCUUCACCUAUCAGAUUAUUAUAACACUUUCAAUUGUCACUUCUAUAUUUAUUUUAGAAAAUUUGUAAAAUAUUAUUUUCAUAAAAUAAAGGUACAAGAUUUAACUUAAGUAAUAAACUCAUGCUACCUGAUUCCAUAACAUGUCUGAUGUCUCUCUAGUUAACUUGAAACAAAAUCUUGCGUCUACUUUCUGAACAGUUGACGACAACUCUGAAAUUUCUUCAAGGUUUGAACAAUGAUGAACAUAAAGAAUUCUCAAGUUAGUGAAUUCAGGAAUUUUUUUAAGCUUCUCACAUCCAUUCAGUUCGAGACUUGUCAAGUCACCACAUUCCUUGAUGCAUGAAGGGAUAGAAACAAAAUUGUUCUCUGAAGCAAUCAAUUCUUUCAAAUUUGGAAAGUAGCAAAGAAUAGCAAGAAGAUCUUCAUCAGACAAGUUAUCAUUUUCGACAUUCAGUGAUUGUAAUUUUGGACGAACAUCGGCUUUUGAAGGGUGCUGCACCAAACUUCUGAAGGAUUCUUGAAGUUUGGAGCAUGCUUCGAUUUUGAGGGAAACAACAUUUGGCAACUUGAAUAAGCUGCUUGGUAGACAUUUAAGUUCCCUGUUAUUUGAUAUGUCUAUACAUUCAAGCCCAGUAAGUUUACCAAUGGAUUCUGGAAGCUCUUGAAUAGCAGUAUUUAUCAUAUAAAUCUUCAAUGGCUUUGUCAUUUCUAGCCUUAUCUCCGGGAAGUGACCAAGGCUUUCACAUAAAUUAAGGUCAAAGACUUCUAAAGACGGCAGAAACAUUUUAGACACGAAUUUUUCGAGUUUUAUGCAUCCUGAAACACUUAAAUGAGCAAGCCUUUUCAGCUCACCAACAGAUUCAUGUACUGCAGUUAGCUCUCUACAAUGAUCAAGUCUCAGUUCUCUUAGAAUCUGAAGUUCAGACAUAUCAGGUAUUGUUUUGAUACUUUGGUUAUAUGAAAAGUCCAUAAUAGUCAAGCAUGGAAAUUUCUGCCAAAUAGAAAGUACAAAAAAUAUAUUAUUUGGAGCAUUUUGAGUUAUUAACUUAUUAAUGACAAUAAAUAUGGAAGUUUUUGUUCAAUGAAAAAUUGAAACAUAAAAAAUAGGAAAAUAUGAUAUAGAAUUGUACCUUAAAUGGCUCUUCCAAUGUUAGACGACUUCUAGGCAAAUUUAAAACAAUGAUGUUCUCUGGAUUAAAUUUUGGUGGGAAAGACUUUGAAGGACACUCUUCCCAGUCAAGAAGUCUUAAAUAAUUUGGUAAAUGUUCAAGUUCAGAUGAAAAUGAUGUGUUUCGAACAAUGAGAAUUCUGAGACAUUCCAUCUUCACCAACGCAGUACCACUCCAUUCUACUUCUUCUCGUUGAGGGGGAUCAAGCAUAAUCCCUUGAAUCUUAUCGCUUCCCUUUAACACAAGUACAAAGAAGCAACAUCAACUGCCUAUUAUCAGUAAUAUAAAUAAAAAACAAAAUAGAAUAAAAGAGUAGAGGAUUACAUAAUCUUUGGUUAGUAUUUCAAUAGCAUCUUCAUAAUACCAUAUUCUGCUACGUUUAGCAGGAUUUAUUGAUUCCUUCUUAACAAUCUCUCUACCCAUAUCUUGUAUUAGAUCAUGCAUCUUCAGACAGUCAUACUCGAUAGUUAUGAGAGAUUUAUUAAGAAGUACUUUCAUGUUGGUUGUUGGACAAAAUUCUAGAAGUAUCUUUUUCACAUAUUCCAUUCUCUCCCCUUUAAAGAAGCAAGCUAUGUCCAAGAAAAUUUGUUUGGCAUUAUCAUCCAAUCUAUCGUAGCUUAUUUUAAGCACAUCUUGAAUCUCUGUAUUUGGAGUCUUCUCAUAUUCUUUCAUUGCCAUUUCCCAAUCUCCUAAACUUUCAUGAAAAGCAGCUAAAUCAGAGCCUAUGACUUUUAAAGCCAGUGGAAGACCUUUGGCGUAAUCUACAGCACGCACAGACACAUCUUCAAAACCUGUUUUAGGAUAACUUUGUUUGAAGGCAUUCCAACAAAAUAGCUCUAAAGAAUGUUGGUCAUCAAGUUCCUUCAUUUCAUACUUAAGUUUAACUUGGUGAGCAAUUAGCACAUUUUCUUCCCUUGUCGUUAUAAUGAUCCUACUACCUGGACCAAACCAAUUGCACUCUCCUGCCAACUUUUCUAACUGGUCUUUAUCACCAACGUCAUCAAGAACCAAAAGAACUUUCUUUUUCUGAAGCUUUUCUUUUAUUUCACCCAUUCCUUUAAUUGUACUUCCCAAUUUAGUUUCCAACUCCUCAAACAUAUCAGAUAAAAGUGUCUUUUGUAGAUCUUCCAUGCCAUUGAUUCUGUUUGAUUUUUCUCUAACAUCGGAAAGAAAACUUGCAGCAUCAAAGUUUUGCACAAUUUUGUUAUACAAAGCUUUGGCAAGUUCCGUUUUUCCAAUUCCACCAAGUCCAUAUAUGCCCAACAUUCUUACAGUUUUAUCUUCAGCCUUCUUGUCCAAAAGUGACUUAACUUCUUCUAUGCAAGCCUCAAGUCCAACAGGGUUUUGACCACUAUAUAAAGGUUUAGGAGUUAUAUAUUCAUGGACCUUUCCAACAAUUUCUUCAAUACGAUAGCUUUCAUCAUCCCUAUAAGAGUAGAAUGUAUUAAUUAUUUGUUUGAUAUCAUGAUUUUUAAUUUAUUGUACUAAAUGAUAAGCAUUGUGAUUAUUGUACUAGAUAGUAAGCAUUGAUAUUAAGAACCAGUAGCACAAAAGAAUAAUGAUCACACAUCAUACAAAAUUUACUGGAGAUGAAAAAGUUAGAACAAUUUUAUUCUAAGAAAAAUACCUAAAUAUAAUAUCAAAUUAAAAUAAAAAUGGAUUUUGUUUUCCACUUUGAAAUUUUUAUUAGUUUUUUAUCUUUUAAAUUAUUUUUUAUAAUGUUCAAAAUUAUUAUUUAUGACUAACAAAAUCAAUUAACACCCUGGAAAAAUCUAAAAUUUAAAUGCAUAGUCGACCAUUUAACAUUUUUUAUAAAUUAUUAUAAUUAAGAUGUAGAAUGUUAUAUAUAACAAACUACAUAUGAUAAAAACAAUAUUACAUAUCCCAUUAUAAUUAAGAUGUAUAAUAUUAUACAUAACAAACUACACGUGAUAAAAACAAUAUUACAUACCAUAAAGUAUAUUACUUGAAAAAAAAUAUUUUUUUGAAAAGUAAAGUCCUACAUAACACCAACUUACUUUUGGUGUUUAACCUUUUAUAAAAGGCUAUAGUUAUUUUUUAACUAAAAUAAUUUAUUUUUGGAUGAGAGAAAAAAUGUUUUCUUUUAAAGUUUUCUUACCAAUUGUAUUUUUUUAAUAUAUAAGAGAAUAACGUGGUAGUUAUUGAGAAAAUAUUGUUAGAAUGUAAGGUGUUGAAUAAACGUAAUUGAUGGUGGAAGUAAGAAACAAGCAAUGGACAAAAAGACAAUCUAGAAUCUCUAAGCUAGGUGUGAAAGAACCCACUAAAUGGAAGUGUAGAGGCUAGGUGAUAGAAGGUUGGAUGUAGUAGUAGUAAGGAGUUCAUGGAAGAAUAGUGGUGUUGGUGGAUGUGGUAUACUCACUACGAAAACAACAUAUUAUCGACGGUCAAAAUCCAUAAAUAAUAAAUAAGACCAAAAAUUUGUCGAUACCUAUGAAAGAGCAACAAGCCAAAUUUCACCAAUAAUAUGCUUGUCGGUGAGUUUACCAAGAGAAAAAAUUAUUUAAGUAAUUAUUAAUAUUAUCAAUUAUUAUUUUUAAAAUACUAUUUAUCAUUAACAAAUUAUAUUAUUAUUUUCAAUUAUUAGAACACAUUACCAUUCUGAUUUUUAUUAUUCUUAUUAUUAAUAAUAAUAUAAAUAAUAAUAAUAUAUUAAAAAAUAUUAAUACUGAUAACACUAUUAUUAAUAUCAAUACAAAUAAUAUUAUUAUUAAUAUCAAUACAAAUAAUAAUAUUAUUAAUACUAAUACUAAUAAUAUUAACAAUAAUAAUAUUAUUAUUAUCAUUAAUAUUAUUAUAAUUAAUUAAUAAUAAUAUUAUUAUUAUUAAUUUUAUUAAUAUUAACAUUAGUAUUAUUAGAACUAAUAUUAUUAUUCAUCUUAUUAAUAUUAUAAUUAUUAAUAUAAUAUUAAUAAUAAUAUUAUUUUAAUUAUUAUUAUUAUUAAUAUAUUUAAUUUCUGUAGUCAUUAUUAAUUUUAUUAAUAUUAAUAUUAUUAGUAUUAUAUUUAUUAAUAUAAAUCUAAUAAGAAUAAUAAUAAUAGUAUUGGUAAUAAUUACAAUAAUCAUAAUAAUUAAUAUUAUAAUAUUAUUAAUAAAAUUAAUAAUAAUUACUAACUAUGCGUUCAAAUCCUAGUUUCAAGAUAAUAAUAUUGUAAUACUUUUUUCAUGUAAUAAUACAUAAUUAUUAUGUCAAAUUGCAAUGCCUAACAUAAAAUUUUCUAUAAUUUUUUUUAAUAAUAAUACUAAGUUAAUAUUAAUAAAAUUAAUAAUAAUUAUAAUAAUAUUAAUGAUGAUAAUAAUAACAUGGAUAAUAACAAGAAUAUUAAUAUUAAUAAUUAUAAUAUUAGUAAUAUGAAUAAUAAUUAUAAUAAUAUUAUUAAUAUUAAUAGUACUAAUAUUAUUAAUAAAAUUAACAAUAAUUACAGUAAUAUUGAUAUUAUUAGUAAUAAUAAAUACAGUAUUAUUAUUAUUAUUAUCAUUAAGAAUAAUAAUAACCAUAAUAAAACAAAAAAAUGAUUUUGAUUUAGUGGUUAUCAGCUGAGUGAAUCUGGACUAAACUGUGUCUUGUAGCAAAACAAAUUUUUUAUCAAACACAAAUAUGCCGGUAAAUGCGUCAAUAAUGUCAUAUGUCGGUAUAAUUUGUUGGUAAUAAAAAAUAUUGCCAAACAUAAAUUCAUCGGUAAUUCAAUAUUUUUUUUAAUAGGUGAUUUUAAGAAACAAGUUAAAAAGACGGAACUAGGAUUUAUAAUUUUAAAACAAAGAGGUAUGAAAUCAAAACAAGUAAAUCACUGUAACUCAUAUAGGUGAUUUGGAUAAAAUGGGAUUACUAAGUAAUCUAAAUGAGAAAGGAAUGAUGAAAGGGAAGAGGUUAUUUAGUGAACUUAUACGCGCUGGUAACAUAUAAGUCCUUGGAAAAAUAAAAGUCUCGAUCAAAAUGGAUUUAAUUUGGAGACUCAAACUCUAGGUAUUUUCAUGUUGUUACGGAUUGAAAAAUAAAUAGGAAUGAGAUUAAAAAGGUGUUGAAAACCUAGGGUAGUGGAGUGCAAACCCUAUCAUUGUUAAAAGCAAGGUAAAAGAGUUAUUCUAUGAGAGGCUAAUGUAGAUUACUAAAUUCAAUGUUAGGUUAAGGAAAAUUCUCUUCUAUUUCUAUUGGUGAUAAUAUAGUCUUUAACAUGUGGGUUUACGAAACUAGAAAUUAAGAAAACACUAGGCAAUGUAAGACUGAUUAAAGUCUGUGAGAUAACUAUAAAUUUGGCUUUACAAAGAAAUUAUGGGAGGUUGUAAAAGUGGAAAUCAUACAAUCUACCCACUCUUUUCAAAUUAGUGGGAAUAUUAUAAGGGAUGCAAAGUCUCUUUCAUAACACUUACACUCACUUAUACCUAAGGUAGACAAUUCAGGUAGUUUACAUGAAUUCAAAAUUGGUCUCCUUAGUUAGGUGUAGGUAAAUUGAACUUCCAAUAAUUCUACUUGUCGGAAAUGAAUGAUAAGGGAAAUAGGAUGUAAAUGUGUAUGUGGGUAGAGAUUAUUUUGAAUAUAUAGAAUCAUAGGAAUAAAAUUAUUUUUAAGAAUGACAUCGUAUAUGCAAAAGAGAUAUUUCUUUUGGCACAGACAAAAGUAUGAGCUUGGACAAGGAAUAAAUCUCUUAAUCAACUUUUACAUAUUCUUAUUGGUGUAUAUAUGCCCAACAACUUGCAUAAAAACCUAUCUAAAUAAUAUGGUAUACUCACUCAAAUGAAUAUAUACGAUUGCUAAUUGUAAGUUAUUUUCAGUUUGAGUCUUAUGAAUGAAGCAAUAAAGAUUGAGAUUUCUUGAGUACCAUACACAUCAACGAAUUAAAACCUUAUGUAUGCCAUAUGUAAAAAAAACUAGACAUUAAAGAAGGAGUGACAAUGAUUAGUAUAGGUUUAUGGUAAAUUCUUGUGGAGGGUAGUGAAGUGUUAUUAAGAAAAUCCUUAGAUACUUUAAAGCAACAUUAUACAUUGUAUUAUGAAGGAUGAGAAUUAUAUUUCAGAGAGUUAUAUUAUAUAUGAUUAAUUAUCCCAUAAAAUACAUGAUUUUUUCUAAAUAUGGGAUGAAAAAGAAAUAAGAUUGAAUGGUUUGUUAUACAUACCCGGUGGCAAUAUGCUUCCCUGGGAAGUCAACUGCUUGAGACAAGGCUGACCUCCAAUCCUGAAUUCUCUGUGAUUCAUGUGCCUUCAUGUGUUUUCCGAAGCUAUUUCUUUCGUGCCGUAUAUCUGAGGGAUCUACAUGGUAAAACACUGGGUAAACAAGCUGCUUCUUCUCCUUCAUCUUGCUGCGUUCUAUGAUCUUAACAAGUUCAUCCAGACACCGUGUGGAAGAUGCAUAGUUCUCAGAAAACACAACGAUGAAAAUCUUAGAUUCUUCAAUGGCCUUCGACAGAUCAGGUGGAAGACUUUCCCCUGUCCUCAUAUUCUUAUCAUCAUUGAAACUUUUUAUUCCCUUCCCAUCUAACUCUCUACGCAGAUGCCCUAUAAAAUUGUUCCUUGUAUCUUCUCCUCUAAAACUGAUGAACACAUCAUAGGUGAAACCAAGACGCUCUUCUUCCUCACCAUGUUCUCCCAUGCUACAAACACACCAAAACUACACUAUGGAUUCUCAACUACUUUCAUCAAUUUAGUGUGUUCUGAUUAAAUACACUUUCUUACGCGGAUACACGCUUUCCUGUCUCACUGAAUUAAGCUUCUAAAUUAUAGGGGUUGACCAAGAAUAAGACGAUGGGGAUAUAAUUAUUACAACUACCAAACAUAAUGGCUCGAUCUUGAAAAUAAAGAUGAUGGGAACAGAAAUAAUUCACGUGGUGCAUAUUUAAUGUGGUUUAAAUUGUACAGAAUUGGAUUUCUGUGUAUAAAAAUAUAGCGUUCAGAUUCAUGUGUAUUCAAUUUAAUUUAUAGUAUUGUUUUUCUAUACAUUGAAAGUUAGGUAAAGGAUAAAAUAUUCUAGAACGAAUUUAUUAAGUUUAAAAAAAACAAUUUAUUUAUUUAUGUUUAUUAUAUAUCUUUAGGCAUUGUUUAGACUAAUUUUAAUAUGUUUAGUUUUUUUUUUAUUUAUUCAUAUAUAUGCUGAUGUUUAUUUGUUACACAUUAAUAGUUGUUUUGUAAUUUAUUUAGUUAUUUUUUAUUUAUAUAUAUAUAUAUAUAUAUUUUAUAUAUAAAAUAGUGUAAAAAAACUCAUCAAAUAAAUCAACAAAUCUUGGAGUGGGAUAGAAAACUUUUUCUAUGUUAAAUGACUUCGAAGAAGGCGAUAUGAUAGUUUUUGAAACAGAGGUUAAAAUACCAAACAAUGAAAUUCGAGUUAUUCACCUUUUAGGAUGAGUUUUUUUUUUUAUAUAUAACUUUUUAUUCUCACUUAAUUUUCUCAAAAUUUGUGUUAGUUUGUUGAUACUUAAACAAUUUAUAUAUUUAAGUGUAUUGUUUAUGUUUAUGCAUUGUUUAUAUUAAUUUUAUUAUGUUUAGUUAUUUAUUUAUUCGUAUAUGCUCAUGCUUAUUUCUUAUAUAUUAAUAUUUGCUUUCUAAUUUUUUUUUUAAUUUUCUUAUUUACAUUUACAUAUAUAUAUAUAUAUAAUUAUGUAAAUUAUUUUUUUUAAUACAAAAUAAUGAAAGAAUACGCGUCAAAUGAAUCAACAAAACUUGGAGCGGGAUGAAAGAAUUUUCUGUAAGUUAAAUGACUCAAAGAAGACGAUAAGAUUGUUUUUGAAGCAGAUAUUAACCUACCAAAUAAUGAAAUUUGAGUUAUUAGUCUUUUAGGAUGAAUUUUUUUUUUACAUAAUUGUUUAUUUUUACUAACUUUCCUCAAAAUUUGUCUCAAUUUUUUGGUACUUGAACAACUUAUUUAUUUACGUGUAUUGUUUAUGUUUAUGUAUUGUUUAUAUUAAUUUUAUUAUGUUUAGUUGUUUAUUUAUUUGUAUAUGCUUAUGUUUAUUUCUGACAUAUUAAUAUUUUCUUUCUAAUUUUUUUGCAUUUUCUUAAUUACAUUUAUAUAUAUAAUUAUAUAAAUUAUAUUUUUAUAUAGAAUAGUGAAAAAAACGCGUCAAAUUAAUCAACAAAAUUUGGAGUGGGAUUGAAGAAUUUGGAUAAGAUUAAAGGAUUUCAAAGAAUAAAAUAAGAUUGUUUAACCUACCAAAUAAUGAAAUUUGAGUUAUUAGUAUUUUAGGAUGAUUUUUAUUUUUUACAUUAUUGUUUAUUGUUACUGAAUUUCCUCAAAAUUCGUGUAAGUUUGUUGAUACUUAAAAAAAUUAUUUAUUUCUGUGUAUGGUUUAUGUUUAUGUAUUGUUUAUAUUAAUUUUAUUAUGUUUAGUUGUUUAUUUAUCUGUAUAUGCUCAUGUUUAUUUCUUAUAUAUUAAUAUUUGCUUUCUAAUUAUUAUUUUUAUUUUCUUAUUUACAUUUAUAUAUAUAAUUAUAUAAAUUAUAUUUUUAUACAGAAUAGUGAAAGAAAAUACAUCAAAUAAAUCAACAAAAUGAAAAAAUUUAUGUAAAUUAAACGACUUCAAAAAAGACGAUAAGAUUGCUUUUGGAGUAGAAGUACCUACCAAAUAAUGAAAUUCGAGUUAUUAGCCUUUUAGAAACACUACAAAAGAUAUUUAUUCAUUACACACUGAUUAUUACAUACGGAUUUAGAUCCGUAUAUAAUUAUGGAUUUAUAUACGGAUAUUACAUACGGAUAAAAAUCAGUCACUAAAUUGUUUAUACAUACUGAUUUUUCUGUAUGUAAAAGUAAAUAAAUUUUAUAAAAUAUAUCCGUAUAAAAAAUAUGUAUGUAACAAAGAACAUCUGUUGCAUACAGAUAUUUUAAAUUUAUUUAUUAAAAAAAUAAGUUUUAGAAGUUUUGUCAUUUUUUCACUAAAACCCCAACGUUUGCCCCCAAAACCCGUGUGCCCUAAUUCUAUCUUCAGAAGUGGAGUGUGUGAAGCUCAAUCUUGAAGCAAAGGUGAAGCUCCGUCCGACCUUCUGAAAAAUACAAAGGUGAGUUUGUUCUUUAUCCUAAUAUCUGUUUGCAUGAUGUAUUUUGUGCCAACGAAUGGUAUGAAAAAGGAAGGCAAUGGUGGACACAUGAAUGACACUGUUUGGAAACCAUGAGUGCUGGCCUCCUUAUCUCUUUCCUUUUCGCAACCUUACUCACUCUCUCAUCCCCUUUUCUAUGUCACUGCCUCUCCUUAUAUUGAUGAAGAGUGAGAAGAAAAAAAAGAGUAGGUGAAGGUAGGUGGUGGGAAGUUGGGAGAGAAAUGAGGGAGUAGUGGAGAUUUUGGAAAGAGUGGGAGCAGGUGUAAGAGAGGCAGCAGGUGCAGAGUAAGUGGCGUGGAGAGUGUGGGUCAAAUGUUAGUAAUAUUUGACUGUCCCCAAACCCACAUUAUGGGAGCUUCAUGUACCAAACCACCCACACUUUGGAACUUUUGCUCCGUAAGACCAUAAAGGACCAUCUAAGUGGAGAAAAACUUGAUCUCCUUUUAGUGGGAUUCUUUACUUACAAUUGAUUAAUUCUACAUUGAACUCAUCAUCAACACUUAGAUUUUUACUUUUUCAAUUACUUGUUCCUAUAAUAUUAUUAAUUCUAAUCUAUGACAUUGCUUUCACAGAAUAGAGUUUCAUCUAAUUUCUUUGAAGGUUGUGUUUGUCCUAUCCCAUGUUUAUGCCUAUAAUAUUGCAUGUAUUGUUACUUACUUUUUACACAUAUAGACUUUGAGGAGCCAUGUUAAAUUUUCCAUUCUGUUAAAAUACCCGUGUUUUUUUGUUGCUCAUUUGCUUUUAUCAAACAAAACCAAUCCUUGGUCAUUCAUUAUAUGGAGGACAUAUAAGUUUUUGUUUUUUGUCUUUGGUCUUGAUAGAUGCUUUGUUUGAUUGUUAAUUUAUGCUAAGGAAAAUGAGAAAACAAUGGACAUUGAAUAGUAAUUGGAGGAGUUGGUGUUAAUGCAUGAUGCAGCUUUUGCAGAGAAUCUAAGGUCCAUCUGUGUGGGUGGAUAAGUGGGAAUUAGCACGCAGAGAACCUAACUAGUGUUCAUGGACAUCACUUUUAAACAAAGCACCCACAUGCCUCUUCUGUGAGACUACCACGUUUCCAUAUUGCAAGUCAUGUCCUUAUUUGGAAAGCUAAUCCAAAUACGUGUAAUCUCCUCGAAUAUGAAAGGGCAUAGACCAUAUUCUCUUUAAGCUAAAUACCUUUUUCCUUCCACAAGGGCCUAGGGCAGUUUCUUUGAAGCACCUUUUAGAGAUAACUCUAUUUAAUAUAUACAACAUCAUUGGUAGAAGAAGUACUUAUAAUUAGUGAAUCUAUAACUGCAAAAAGAUAAUAAUGUGGAUUAAACCCCUUGGAUUACCUAAUCUUGCCACUAUAUGUGGAUGAAGCACUCAUUCACUUUUCUAAGAGUAAAUUUAAUUCAAUGGAAAAUAGAACAAUUAUCACAAAACACAUAUUAUCACAAACACACAUGAAAUUACUUAUUAUCAUUAUACUACAUAAAGUUCAAAAUAACUUCAAUUCUAAACUACUCACCAAGAUUUUUACAAAAACGAAUGUGUUACAAACACAAUACACACUACAAGAAAACAGCCAAAUAGCUUCCAAAUUUCUGUGUGGGCCAUUUUCGGACGCUACUAUCGUCGGCCAAAAUGAGGAGAAACCCACGCAAAAAUGGCAAUGGAUGCAAAACGGACGCACUUAUGGAUUUAAUGUUUUUUUUUAAAACAAUCUAGUUUGCGUCGGCCCAGGCCCACGCAUAUGCGUCAGCAUGCGUCCCACGCAUAUGCGUCGGCCACGGCCCACGCAUAUGCGUCCGUCACAACCCACGCAAAGCCCACGCAUGUUUAUAUUUUAGGAUUUUAAAAUUAUUUAAUGUAUAACAAAUAUUUUAAUAUUUAAUUCUUUAUUUUAUUUAUUUUAAAAUUAUUUCUUUAAUAUUAUAAUAAAUUAUUUAAUUUAUCAAAUUUUAAUAUAAAUUAGUUAAAUUAAAAUUAUUAAAUUAAUUAAGCGUUUGAUUUAAAAUUAAUUUAGUAAAAGAAAAGAUCUAUUUAAAUUAUUUAAAUGUUAUAUAAAAUAUUUUAUUAUUUUAAAAAUUAUUUAUUUUAAACUUAUUUUAUUUAUAUAUUGUCAUAAAUAUAUAUUUUUUAAAUUAUGAUAUAAAUUAGUUAAAUUAAAUUUAUUAAAUUGAGGAAGUGUUUAAUUUUGAAAUUAUUUAAAUGAAGUUAUCUUAAAAAGUUUAUAAAGAUUUGAAAACAUGUAGAAAAAUAAUAAUUAAUUAAAAAAUAGUAAAAGAAAAGUAAAAAAAAAUGCGUAUUUAAAUUUUGUAAAUAUUAUAUAAAAUAUACAUAAAUUUAAGAAUAUAAAUUCAAGAUGAAGUAAUUAAUUAGUGCAAAUGGUAAUGGAUGUAUUUAAAAAUAGAGAAUAAAUUUUAUCUAAAAAUGUUUUAUUUGGUUUAAGAAAAAAAAGUUGGAUAAAACUUUUAAUUAGUAAUAUAACUUAAAUAAAUUUAAAUGUUAUAUGUGUGCAAUGGCUAAAUGAACUAGGAUUUUUUGUUUUGAUAUCCAUUAUAAUUUUAAAGAUGUUAUUUCUCAUAAAUGAAGCAUAAAAUCAUCUUAAAGAAUUAGCGAAAAUGUAUAUGAUACAAACAUAUUAAGACUAAGUGCGUGAGUAAGUAACUUAUUCUUAAUUCUUAAAUUAAUACAAUAUCCAAAGUGUUUCAAAGUUGACUAUAUGCUCUAUAAAUGUCAUUGUUAUAGUUACUAAGUAUGAUCUCUAAAAGAAAUUAAUGUUUUCCAACUGAAGCACAAAAUAAUGUAGUAAGUUGUAAGUAACGAGAUGACACAUAUGCAAUAUUCUUUAUAAGUGUGUUAAUAUAGUUUCCCAAUGUUCGCCUGAUAGCGAGAGUCGAGGGAGAAGCACGAAGACGAGAAGUACCCCAGUCAAGCACCCAACAACCUGCCCGACUGAGGGAAGAAGACGAAAACUUCAAUAGUUCUCUAGGUCCCAUCUCCCCAGCAGAAACAAAUUAAUAACCCUAGUCCAUUGUCAAGGUAAGAGUUAAACUAAGAAGUGCAUUAUAAAGGCUGAAAGAGAGUAUCAUAAGCAAUUUGAGAAAUAUGAGUCAUUUCGUGAUAGUUAUAGAAUUAACUUAGAAUCAUGGAAUAUAGUUGAUUAUUAGAUUUUGGAUUAUAAGUUAGAAAGGAUUAUAAGUUAGAUUUAACCACUAAACCAAGCAAAUUCUUUAGUAUUAUUAUAAUUUUAAUUAUACUUAUUAUUAUUAACAAUAUUAAUAAUAUUAACAAUAUUAUUAAUAUUAACAAUAUUAAUAAUAUUAAUUUUAAUAAUAUGAAUAUUAUUAAUAUUAAUACUAAUAAUAUUAAUAAUAUGUAUAAUAAUAUUAAUAAUAUUUAUAAUUAUAUUAAUAAUAUUUAUAAUUAUAUUAAUAAUAUUUAUAAUUAUAUUAAUAAUAUUUAUAAUUAUAUUAAUAAUAUUUAUAAUUAUAUUAAUAAUAUUUAUAAUUAUAUUAAUAAUAAUAUGACCAAAGAAUUUGUCUGGUCUAGUGGUUAAUGCUUCCCUAGUUACUGGAAGGACUUGAGUUUCGUGGCGUCAGAACCCAGAUUCUGCAUGUUGUGUCCGUUUUUUGCUUCCACGCUAAGUAUAUUUUUUUUUAUCUUUCUUUAGGUUGAUUGACUUGGUUCAUAAGAAUUAACAACAGAUCGAUUCUCAAAAUUGAAGGUGAAUGGAAUUUAAUCUUCAUUUUGGCAUAUUUUUAGUAUUAUAGUAAUUUGUAGCUAACUUGUUCACCCUGUUAUUAACAUGGACACUUCAAAUUUGUCUGUUGCAUUGAUUUAUAAUACUAGAACUUUGCUAGUUUGUAUAAUUGUAAAUGGUAUGAAAAGAAAACAUGAUAGGUACUGAAUCGUGAGACUACAUAAUACUGGUGUGAGACUGUAAAAUACUGUGUAUUUAUACUGUUGUAAUUUUGACUGGUGUAUACUGCUGUGUAUUGAAGUUUCUUGACUCUUUUGAGAAUAUAAAAAAGGCUCUCAAAGUUUAUUGUGGAGUUUUGCAUCUGAUCCAUGAUAACAAUUGCUCCCUCUAUCGAAUCCCUUUAUUUUCAUGAAAAAAAAAAUAAAAUAAAAAAAAUGAAAGUCUGUAAAUUUUGCAUUAGGUUUUCAACCUAUGCUAUAUAUGGACCUCUUUAUUGCAUUAUGGUGUGUGUAUGUUUAACUAAAUAAAAGAAUAAAAUAAAUCUUUACAAGGAACUGCAUAUUAAAUGUUGUUGGCAUGAACUUCUUUAGGUUUUUUGCUUUAAAGAAACUACAAUAAUAAAGCCAAGUAUAAUUUUUUUUAAUCUUCCUAGGUUGAUUGACUUGGUUCAUCAGUUGUUGGAUGAUCAGUUCUUCAUUUUGACAUAUUUUUAGUAUAGUAGUUAAUUUGUUUACCACCCCGGUUGUUAAUAUGGUCACUUUUAAUUUUAUCUGUAAUACAUUAUUUCUUUACUAGUUUGUAUAAUUGUAAAUAGUAUAAUUAAAGUUUUGCAUUAUGGUGUGUAAGGUUAUCUAAAUAAAGGAAUAAAAUAAAUUUAAAAUCUGACCACAGUUACAUACGGAUAUAUCUGUAUGUAAAUCUGAACACAGUUACAUAUAUUUGUAUGUAAAUCUGAACACAGUUACAUACAAAUAUAUCUGUAUGUAAGUCUGAUCACAGUUACAUACGGAUUUAUCCGUAUAUAACAAUUACCUACGAUAAUUUUAUAUACGAAUUUUUGUCCGUAUGUAACUAUGUUUUAUAUACAAAUUUAUUGAGUUACAUACGGAUUUGAGUUGUAUGUAAUACCAACUUUUCUUGUAGUGGAAGAAUCUCUUCUUUUACACAGUUGUUUAUUGUUACUGACUUUCCUUAAAAUUUAAGACAGUUUGUUGAUACUUGAACAAUUUAUUUAUUUACAGGUAUUGUUUAUGUUUAUGCGUUGUUUAUAUUAAUUUUAUUAUGUUUAGUUGUCUAUUUAAUCAAAUAUGCUCAUCUUUAUAUCUUAUAUAUUAAUAUUUGUUUUCUAAUUUUUUUAUUUUCUUAUUUACAUUUACAUUUAUAUAUAUAUAUAUAAUUAUAUAAAUUAUAUUUUUAUACAGAAAAGUGAAAGAAAACAAGCCAAAUAAAUUAACAAAACUUGGAAUGGAAUUGAAGAUUUUUUGUAUGUUAGAUUACUUCAAAGAAGACGAUAUGAUUGUUUUUGAAGCAGAGACUAACAUACCAAAUAAUGAAAUUCGAGUUAUUUUGCUUUAGGAUGAGCCAUUUUUUUACACAAUUGUUUAUUGUUACUUACUUUUCUCAAAAUUUGUGUCAGAUUGUUGAUACUUGAACAAUUUAUUUAUUUAUGUAUAUUAUUUGUGUUUAUGCAUUGUUUAUAUUAACUUUAGUAUGUUUAGUUUUUUUAUUUAUUGGCAUUUGCUGAUGUUUAUUUCUUAUAUAUUAAUAUUUGUUGUAUAAUUUUUUUUUCUCAUUUACAUUUACAUUUAUAUAUAUAAUUAUAUAAAUUGUAUUUUUAUACAAAAUAGUAAAUCAAAACGUGUCAAAUUAAUCAACAAAACAUGAUGCGCGAUGAAAGAAUUUGUGUAGGUUAAAUGAUUUCAAAGAAGACAAUAAGAUUAUUUUUGAAACAAAGGUUAACAUACUUAUAAUGAAAUUCGAGUUAUUCGACUUUUAGGAUGAGUCCUUUUUUACACAUAUGUUUAUUAUUACUUACUUUCCUAAAAAUUUGUGAGUUUGUUGAUACUUGAAGAAGUUAUCUAUUUACCUAUAUUAUUUAUCUUAAUGCAUUGUUUAUAUUAAUUUUAAUAUGUUUAUUUUUAUAUGCUAAUGUUUAUUUCUUAUAUAUUAAUAUUUGAUUUUUAAUUUUUUAUUUAGUUUCUUAUUUACAUUUAAAUUUAUAUAUAUAUAUAUAUAUUUAAUUAUAUAAAUUAUAUUUUUAUUCUAAACAAUGAAGAAAACGCACCAAAAAAAUCAACAAAACUUAGAAUGGGAUGUAAGAAUUUAUGUAUGUUAAAUGACUUUAAAGAAGACAAUAUAAUUAUUUUUUAAGCAAAUGUUAACAUACCAAAUAAUAAAAUUUGAUUUAUUCGUCUUUUAGGAUACAUCAUUUUUUACACAACUCUUUACUAUUACUUACUUUUCUCAAAAUUUGUGUCAGAUUAAUACUUGAAUAAUUUUAGUUACGUGCAUGAUUAUUUUUAAUGUAUUAUUUAUAUUAAUUUUUAUGAUAUUUAGUUUAUUUAUUUAUUAGAAUAUGUUUAUGUUGGUUUCUUAUAUAUUAAUAUUUGGUUUUUAAUUUUUUUAUUUUGCGUCUCUUUAUGUGUUUUAAAUUAUUAAUUAUUGUAAAAUUUAUUUUACUUUAUUUUUUAAUAUAUUGAUCUUAUCUAUUAUUAGUUUAUUAGUUUAUGUAAUUGUUAAUUAAUGUAAUUUUGACUUAUAAAUUAUGAUAGAACUCAUAUUAAGUUUCAGAAUGUCAAAAUUAAUAUUUUACGUUUUAGAAAAUCAAAUUUAAUUUAAUGUAAUAUAUGAAUUAAUUUUUCUAAAUUUAUUUAAUAUUAUAAUAUUAUUAUUUAAAUAUGAAAGUUUAGAAAAAAUAACCGUUUGUUGCACGGUCAAAGUUCUAGUAGAAAUACAAAUAGAGGGGCACGUGACGUCUCCUUUUGAUUACAGCUAAAUCCAGAAAUCUUUGAAGGGUCCCGGAAAAUGAUUCUUUCAUACUUCACCAGAUUCUUAACUGCUUUUCUAACGCACUCCAUAUGCCAUAAAGUGACACAAUAAUGUAAUCACCUUCCUUAUUAUCAUUUCAUUUAAUACAGUUUCUUACGCUGAUACAAGAUGGGGAUAUAGUUAUUACAACUACCAAACAUGAUGGCCCGAUCUAGAAAAUAAAGAUGAUGGGAACAUAAAUAUUUCACGUGGUGCAUAUUUAAUGUGGUUUAUAUUGUACGGAUUUGGAUUACUCUGCAUAAAAAUAUAGCAUUCUUAUUCAUGUGUAUUGAAUUCGAUUACAGUCUCUAAAAUUUUAAAAUCACCGACUCUCAAUUAAAUAACUAAGUUUAUUUUAUCUAUUAUAUUUAAGAUAACAGCUUUGACAUUUUUAAAUCUAAAACAUUUAAUUAACUCAAGAAUAUGUAAAUUUUUAAUUAGUAUAUUUUUUUAUGUAUUUUUUUAUAUAUAUUAAAAUCUAUACUAUAUUACUAGAACUAACUGAAAUGAAAUGGCGAAGAGACUCAACAGUAAAAAAAACUUGAAGAUGGUAAAUUGUUCAACUUAAAGCCAAAUUUUCCGAAAUGGCUGAAAAUAGAGACGAUACCCUUGGUAAUUUUUUACCAUGAUGGAGUUAUUUUUUCUUUUUUUACUAAAAUGGGGUCCGUUUUAAAAAAAUUACAAAUUUAGGCAAGUCGUGCCAAUUUGGUACGACUUCAUAUGCAGAAGUCGUCCCAAUUAGGUACGACUUUUGUCAUGUCAUACUAAAGUCGUGCCACUUGGCACGACUUCUGCCCUGUCAUACUAAAGUUGUGUCAACUUGGUACGACUUCUGCCUUGUCAUACUGAAGUCGUGCCCUAUCACUUCAUUCUCCACACCAUCAAAUUCCUUACACGUAUAACUUUUUACCUUCUCCUUCAGGUACUUUUUCCACUCCACCAAAUAUAUUUGGAACUUUGGCAUUCACCCCUCUUUCUGCAUAUAAUCCAACAUCAUUCAUGCACUAUCGACCCACAAUGCCCUCACCAACAUCUCAUAAUGAAGGCAAUAACAACGAUGAUGAACAUGUCGUUGAUGAUCCUCUUCCACGAAGACCUCGACAACAAAUACGAAGACCACAUUGUGUCACGUCUUCCCAUAAAUAAUUUACUUCUAGUUCAACUUUAUAGUUUUAUUUUAUAUCUUGUAAUGAAUCUUACUAAUUUGUUUAGUUCUAAUUAAUCUCUUCUCAUCAUUACGUGUUCUGUAAAAUCAUUAUUUCUCAAGCUAUUUAUUUUGCAAAUUCACAACAAUAAUUCUCUAUUUAUUUUCCAAAUACAAUAAAUUUUCAUUUAUGUAUUUAUUUCCAAAUUUAAUAACAAUUUUCUUCAUUUUUUAAUUAAUCAAAUAAUCAAGUUAUUGUAUUACAUUACCGUCAAACAUGAUUCAUACACGAUUAUCCCAUUUUUUGUUCCUUAAAACUAACACUCUUAGAAAAUUAUGUAUCAAAUUAAUUUUUAACAUUACAUAACUUACUACCCAAUAUAUAAAUAAUAAAAUUAAAAAAAAUUAUGACGUGGCAGAAGUCGUGCCAAGUUGGCACGACUUCAGUAUAACAUGGUUGAAGUCGUGCCAAGUUGACACGACUUUAGUAUGACAUGGCAGAAGUCGUGCCUAAUUAGGACGACUUCUGCAUAUGAAAUCGUACCGAAUUGACACAAUUUGCCUAAAUUUGUAAUUUUUUUUAAACGGACCCCAUUUUGGUAAAAACAAAAAAAAAAAUAACCCCAUCAUGGUCAAAAAACCUCAAAGGAUAACGUCAAGUUAAAUAUGUAAUAUGUAUGUAUGUCCUAACAUAUCCAACUCUCUUUUUAUUCGACCAUUUUUAUGUUAUGUAAUACAUUUAUUGUAUGUUGUAUCUCACCAAUCCUUCUGAAAAUUCUAUUGUGGUGUAAGAUUCGGUUUUCGUGCCUCUGACAUUGCCAUGCUUACUAAGUUAUCCUUCAUAAUUUGUCACAAUAUUGCUACUUAUCAAAGGAAAAGUUAUUUGAGCAAAAUACUUACUACUACAUGUCCUGUCUUUGAACUACUUUGAAUUUUUCAUAAACAACAACCUAACCAAACACGAUGCUUUAUAUCCUAUGUACUAUUUAUUUUUCUCAUUUUUAAAUAUAUCCCCUCUCUCACAUGCAUGAACUGACAGGUAUGUCAGGUGUAUUUUGAGGAGAACAAUUCAUCAGUAUCUUUGAUUGGAAGUCCGUUUAACAAAUGGGAUGACGCUUCGGAGGAAGAAUCGAAAGCCCAAAUAGAAGAUAGUGUUGGUGAAGGUUUUUCAGACUCCGAUUACUCAGAACAUGGUGGUAGGCAAGAAGAGAGAAGAGGAGAGGAGAUCGUUCAAUUUCCGACGGAAAAGAAGAGUUUCCAAAAGACGACGCAUGUAAUAGUGGGGGAAUUAAUUCUGUUGGGAAGAGCCAAAAUGUCACGUUGGAAAUGAGGAAAGAGAAAAUUUUUGUAUGGAAAACGUGUAAACCUAAUAAUUUUAUUACAAAAUAGAACAUAGAUAAAUAAAAGAGAACAAAAGAUGAACAAAAGAGUAAAAGGAAGGUAAAAAAUAUGAGAAUGAAUAUCUUUCUUUUCUUGUUAUUGAAAUCAAAACAAAUGGUCUGAAUAUAUACAAGUAGUACACUCAUUCUAGGUUUAACUAAAGAUGAAAAGAAUCAAUAAUUAAAUACUAGAAUCAUAACAAACAAAGACAAAAUAAAGGUUAUUCACCUCUAUAAAGAGAAACAACUGAUAAUUAGAAAAGAUACCCAAUUAAUAUUAAGAUUCUUCUAUAACUCUGGUAUCCGUAUCCUUUAAUACCCCGUCACAAGCUGGGGAGCAAAUAUUGAUGAGACCCAGCUUGGAACAAAUAUUCUUAAAAGAUUGAGGACUUAAAGCUUUGGUAUAAAUAUCAGCCAGUUGCUCUGUGGUGGAAAUGAGAAGCAAAUGAAUGAGACCCUUCUUUAAUUUUUCCCGGACCACGUGACAAUCUAUUUCUAUAUGUUUCGUACGCUCGUGAAACACUGGAUUUGCUGCAAUGUAUCUUGCUGAGUCAUUGUCACAGUAUAAAAGAGAUGGUUGCUCAAAAGGAACUUUGAAAUCUUGAAAAAGAUAAGUUAGCCAUUGAAUUUCACAUGUAACAGUGGUCAUUGCCUUGUAUUCAGCUUCACAAGAACUCUUUGAUAUUGUUCCUUGCUUCUUUGAUUUCCAAGAUAUGAGAGAAUUCCCAAGAUACACACUAAAACCAGUCACUGAUUGUCUUGAAUCACUACAGGUGCCCCAAUCACUAUCACAAAAGGCUUUCAGAUGAACAGAGGUAGUGGAAGAGAAAAAUAGACCAAGACUUGGAGCCCUUUGAUAUAUCUGAGAAUUCUAAUCGCUGCAUUAUAGUGAGCAAUUGUAGGCUUAGCAAGAAACUAAAAAGUUGUUGUACAAAAUUUUUUAUGUCAGGUCGGGUAUUAGUGAGAUACAUAAGUUUUCCAAUCAAUCUUCUGUAGGUUUGAAUAUAUGUGAAAGGAACACUUCCAGUAGAAGAGAAUUUCUCAUGAUUAUCAAUAGGAGUGGGUGUAGGUUUGCAGGCUAAAAGACCUGCAUAUGUUAAUAAUUCUAAUGCAUAUUUCCUUUGAUUUACCAUUAUUCCUGUCUUACCUUUUGCUACUUCUAGACCAAGAAAAUAUCUUAAAUUCCCAAGAUCUUUAAUCUUGAAUGUCUGAUUCAUGGCUUGUUUGAUUCGAGCAAUCUCUUCUUUAUCAUUUCCUGUCAAUAUUAUAUCAUCCACAUAUACCAAUAAUGCUGUAAAAGAUCCUUCAGAAUAAUUAAUGAACAAGGAAUGAUCAUUCAUAGAUUGAGUAUAUCCCAUAGAAAGCAAAAAUGAUGACAGUUUGGCAAAACCAUUAUCUACUGACUUGCUUAAGGCCAUGUAAAGCCUUUUUUAGUUUACAAACUUUUCCUGGUGGAAUAAAAGUCAUUCCAAGAGGAGCAACCAUGUAUACAUUUUCUUUUUCAAAUCUCCAUGUAAAAAGACAUUUUUAUGUCUAAUUGUUUCAAUUCCCAAUUAUAAAUAGAAGCUAAAGAAAGAAGCAACCUUAUGGUGGUCAUCUUUGCUACUGGAGAGAAAGUAUCAAGGUAGUCAAUGCCUUCUGUUUGUGUAUAUCCCUUUGCCACUAACCUUGCUUUAUACCUUUCAAUUGUCCCAUCAGCCUUAUAUUUUAUUUUGAAUACUCAUUUGCAACCUAUGGCACCUUUAUUCUUAGGCAGAAGAGCAGUCUCCCAAGUUUGAUUUGACUAUAAAGCAGAUAUCUCACAUUGUAUAACUUUUCUCCAACAUUCAUGUUUCACAGCUUCAUAAUAAGUGUUUGGCUCAACAUGUGAAGAAAGAGACAUAACAAAAGAUUUAUAAGGAGGUGAUAAAUUGCUAUAAGACAAAACAGAAUUAAAAGGAUAUUUAACUCUUGAAGAUGCACUGGAAACAUUAAGAUUACAAUGAUAAUCAAUACUCAGGUGGUCUUUUUAUUCUUGUGCUCAUUCGGAAAGAUGGAUCUGAUUUAGAACUUUGUUCUAUAUCAUGAUUUUCAUUGAGGUUUUGAUCUAUGUGGGAACAAUCUUCUUCUGAAACAUCAAUUUCUGACUCACAAUUAUUAUCACUGCUAUUUUCAACAUUAUCACAAGGUGUAUUAUCACAAGGUGCAAGAAUGGCUUGUGAUGACUGAUAUAAGACAGAUUGAUCUUCAGCAAACAAAAUUUGAUCAUUAAUGUCAGAACUGUUAGUUUCAUUGCUAGUAUCUUGAAUCCUUUGGUAUGGAAAAACAUGUUCAUAAAAGACAACAUCCCUAGACACAAAUUUCUCUUGAUUGAAUAUUCAACAAAAUAUAUCAUUUUGUCCCCCUUUGAAAACCAAUAAAAACACAUUUUGAUGCUCUUGGAUCAAAUUUUCUUCUAUUUGUUGACAAAGUGCUAGCAUAACAUAAAGAACCAAACACCUUUAAUCCAUUAAAAUUUGCAUCAGUUUUGAAAAGCAUUUCAUGAGGAGAAGAAUAGUUUAAAACAGGUGUGGAAAGCAUGUUUAUAAUAUGUGCAACAUGUAUCACAGAAUAUGACCAAUAAAUUUUGGGUAAAUGAGAUUGUAUCAUAAGAGCUCUUGCUACAUCUAAUAAAUGAUCAUGUUUCCUUUCAACUAUACUAUUUUUGUUGUGGAGUAUUGACACAUGAUGUUUGAUGUAUUAUUCCUUUACUGNNNNNNNNNNNNNNNNNNNNNNNNNNNNNNNNNNNNNNNNNNNNNNNNNNNNNNNNNNNNNNNNNNNNNNNNNNNNNNNNNNNNNNNNNNNNNNNNNNNNNNNNNNNNNNNNNNNCAGAUUUUUGUUUCAAAAGAAAAAUCCAUGUGUACCUCGAAUAGUCAUCAACUAUGGUCAAGAAAUAUUUAUGACCAUGAAUUGAUGGUAUUGAGUAUGGUCCCCAAAUAUCUACAUGAAUCAAAUCAAAACAUUUUUUUUUGCGAUUUAGAUGUACUAAUAGGAAAAGAAAGUAUUUUUUGCUUUGCAAAAUGACAAACAUCACAAACAAAAGAUUUGUUAUAUUUAACAUAAGGAAAUUUAUUCUUGAUAACAUUAAUACAUUUAUUUGAAAUAUGACCUAAUCGAAAAUGCCAAAGGGUUUCUAGAUCACUAGCACUAACAUUAACAGUAUUGAUGAUGUGUGUACAUUCAAGGGGUUUAAUUUGAAAUUUCCGGUGAGAUGGGAUCCUGAGUAUAUAAAGUCUAUCUUGCAUCUGAGCAGAACCAAUUAUUUUCAAGGAGUUUUUGUCUUGAAUGUGACAACCAUUAGAAUCAAAGGUAAGAACACAAGAUAGUCUAUCAAUCAGUUUUGUUACUAAAAGAAGAUUAAAAGUGAAGCAAGGAAUAUACAAAACAUUGUUUAUGACAUGAUCUUGAUUGAGAAAAACACUUCCAGAAUAAUUGGCAAUGACUUGGUUUCCAUUUGGUAAUUUGACAUAAAAAGGAUCAAUUUGAUGAUACGAAGUGAAGUAAGUUAAGGAUGAACAAAUGUGAUCAGUAGCACCACUAUCAAUAAUCCAAGAACUAAAAGAAGAAAUAAAGUUAUUACCAGUUUGUGUUGUCAUGAUGGAAGGAAUAACAAAGACUUGACUAGAAACAUUGUCACUGGAUUUGACCUGUUGUAAAAGAGCUAACAAUGUUUGAUACUGCUCAGGAGUAAAACCAAUUUGUUGAGACUCCACUUCUAACUUUGAACCUUCAUGAUUUUGCUCAUUAUUGUUAAAAUUUGUAUUGUGAAAGGCUGCAUGACUCUGAUGAUGGUUUUGAUUUUUAAAUUUGAAAUGAGGUGGAAAACCACGCUUUUUAUAGCAUGUAUCAAUGGUAUGCCCUGUCUUUCCACAAUAAAUGCAAAUUUUGGAAGUAUAUCCUCCUCCAUAGUUUCCUCUUCCAUAUCCACCACCCAUGCCAUAGGUCGUAGCAUUGUUAUUAUAACCUCCUUUGCUACUAGCAAUCAUUGCCUUGGAUUGAUCACCAAAAACUUGCCUCUAUUGUUGUGUAAUGAGAGAGUAAACUCUAUUCAAGGAUGAAUUAUCUUAUGAACUAACAUGGUAAGGUGAACAAAGAUCUUGUGAGGGAUCAACAACUUCACCCAUAGAUAAAUGUAGCAACCAAAGCUCUAAUCAGAGCUCUCUUUUCUUGUUAUUGAAAUCAAAACAAAUGGUUGAAUAUAUACAAGUAGUAUACUCAUUCUAGGUUUAACUAAAGAUGAAAAUAAUCAAUAAUUAAAUACUAGAAUCAGAACACACAAAGACAAAAUAAAGGUUAUUCACCUCUAUAAAGAGAAACAACUGAUAAUUAGAAAAGACAAUUAUUCUCCUCUAUAAAGAGAAACAAUUGAUAAUUAGAAAAGAUACCCAAUUAAUAUUAGGAUCCUUCUAUAACUCUGGUAUCUGUAUCCUUUAAUACAUUUCUUGGCAGAAAUUAAGUGCAAAAAGACUAAUGAUAGAGUAUGAGCAGAUGUCCUAAUUUGUAGUGGGUUGGUUUAGGCCUAACUGAAUGCAUACAGUUGGGUUAGGGAAACCCUAAUUUAUGACACAAUUGCUGACAUGGACUCACAACUAGAAAUUGUUAGACAAGGAGGAGCGACGAACUGGGUGGGAGACGACGCGGUUCCCCCUACGUCGCUGACGGUGGCUUACGACACUGGUUUCGAGGGCCUCGACAUCGACGAAGCCGACGCGGCUUCUCUUGCGCCGCCGGUAGCGGCUAAUGUAAUUGGUAUUGAGGAUCCCAACGCUGGUUAUACCUUGAAGUUGUCGGAGGCAGGCAGUGAGGGGCAACGAUUAUUGAUGGCGGUUGUCGAAGAUGCUAGAACAAUGAAGGAGGCAGGCGAUGGUGCAAUUAGUGACGGCCGUGGCGCGACUGUAGUGGCGAGCAAUGGCGAGAUUGGUGCUAGCAAUGACACGACUUCAGUGGUUGGAGAUGGCGCGACUAUAGUGUUUGGCAAUGGUGUCGGCGCGUCUGUAGGGGCGGAGCAGCGUGCGGCAGCGGCUGACGCUGUUAUGUAUGAUAGUUCCGGCAUGGGGCGCGGCAGUGGAGAGGAGGUGAGCGACGAAUGUGUGGUGGUAGUGGUGGCAAGGGUUACACAUGUUGAGGGAGAAGAAGGUGGGUUUGAUGACGAAAACAAAGGAUCUUUGGGGUGUGAGGCAAUCAGAGAAACAACAAGCGUGAUGGAGAGGAUGGGGUUAGUAUGGAGUAGAGAGGAUGAUGGAGCUGCAAAGACGUCCACUCAUAGGGGCACGAUAAGGGAGACUGAGACUUUUUUUUGCAAGUCACCCAGUGGGGAGGAUGAUGGCUAGUUUUGGCGGAAGGGUGGACGAUUUGCCUAAAUCGAGAGACGAAAGCUCACCGAGGAUUGAAAGGUUAUCUAUGUCAGAUUCACUAAAAUGCUUAAGAUCAGAAAUCAUUAUCUUAGACAAAGAUGCCAGAAAAUACAGUAGAAUGCUUUGGUUAAAAGAUGAGCAGGGCGAAGCUAGGAAGAGAUGGAAAGUUGGUAAGGAGAUGAGUUUCACACUGUUAAGUGAAGAAAAUGUGGUAUUAAAUAGGCUUAGCAGUUUGGAGAAUCGGGAUUGCAGGAAUUUGGAGAUGGAGAUUAAUGUUUUUUAUGAUGAGUCUAAUUAGUUUGAAUAUAAGAGGAGUAAGAGGAAAUAUAAAAAGAACAUACGUAAGAGAAUUAAUUAGAAAAGAGGAGGUUAGAAUGGUUUGUUUACAGGAAACAAAGUCCUUAGUGCUCAGUAAGAACAAUUGCUUUUAUAUGUGAGGUUCAAAUGAAAUUGAUUGGGUGGAGAAUGGUGCAGUAAAUAAUGUUGGUGGAAUCAUUACUAUGUGGAGAAGAAGUAGUUUUAAUAAGACAAGUUUUUUAAAUGGGAAAUGUUACUCUAUCAUCGAAGGAGUUUGGAAAGUAGGAGACGGGAUACACAUUACGAUAGUAAAUGUGUACAGUUCCAGCUCGUUGAAAGAAAGGAAGGAGGUUUGGGAUGAGUUACGAGAAAUCAGGAAGAACCAACAAAACAAGGUAUGGUGUGUUGUCGGGGAUUUUAAUUCAAUCAGAAGAAAAGAUGAGAGAAAAAGCGUAGUCUCAACAUCAGAUUAUAGUAGAGAGAUCAGGGAUUUUAAUGAUUUCAUUGAAAACACGGAGUUAUUGGAUAUUCCAAUGGUCGAAAAAAAGUUUACUUGGUAAAAGCCAAAUGGGACGGUCAAUAGCAGAAUUGACAGAAUUCUUGUCUCACCAGAAAGGUCUUUGAUCAUUGUGCUUUAGUUCUAAAAGUUUUAUCGGUGGAUUGGGGGCCUAAACCUUUCAGGAGUCUGGAUGUGUGGCAAAGGGAUAGUGGGUUCCUGGAUUUUGUUCGCAGUAAAUGGCAGAGCUAUGAGGUGUUUUGUGGAGGGAUGGUUGUUCUAAAAGAAAAAUUGAAAAAUUGAAAGCUAGAUUUGAAGAGGUGGAAUAGGGAGGUUUUCGAGAAUGUCAAUCGGGAAGGGGAAUCUAUACAAAAGAAGAUUCAAGAGUUGGACGCAAGAGACAAUGAAAGUGAGUUAGAUGAGCUGGGGAGGGAGGAGAGGGACUUUUGCUAGUGGAACAAAGUCGAAACCUUUUUACACAAGAAGCGGUCUUGCACCAAAAAGCAAGACUAAAGUGGUUGAAACAAGGCGAUCUAAACACUAAAUUUUUCCACUCCUCAGUGAAGUGGAGGAGAAUGAGAAACGGGAUCAACGGGGUACCUUAUGUGUUCAAUAUACACAAGGGAUUUACCCUACUCUUUCUUUUACUUUAAUAACUUACACAAUAUCCUUUAUUAUAUUACAUAAAUGCUCUGAUUAUAUCACAAAGUACUCCGAUUUAUAUCCAUGAUAUUCAGAUUAUAUGAAAGGAUACUAUGAUAUGUCACAUCAAAACCUGGAGAAACUAGUGUUAGAGAUCCAAGUCCAUGAAGGCUUAUAAAUAGAUGACCACUCAUAGGGAGUAAUCUCAACUCGAAUUUUGGCACUAUACUCACUAUAUAAACAAAAUUUGAUGCUCUUACUGAGUUGAGCGUCAGAGUAUUUUUUGCAGGUGGAGCCCCCCUCAUUCCUUGGAAGUUGAAUCACUAGAGCUUAAAGGGAGACUACCCGAAGCCCACUCAAAUUUAGAUUGACCUCAUCUCGGCGAGAACUGUAAUAGUCUAUCAUUUGAUUGAUAUUGAUGCGGUAUAAAAAUCAUUUAUAUUGAUUCCUCGCAUAUAAAAUUAUUAAGAGAGUCUCUUAAAUAUUGAUUCCUCGCAUAUUUAUAAAAAUUUCUUAUCAUUAUUAUUAGACGUUGAUAGCAAUUAACAUUUCAAAUCUAUUCCAAGUAUUCAAAUACGUUAAGCAUUAUCAUUUGGGUCAGAAACUUAGAAUUACUUUCCAGUCAUAAGAGUUUCAAAGAUGAACUUCAAUCCCAUUUUUCCCAAUUGAAGCAACAAACUCUUUGACUUGUGUUUUUUAAUCAUUGCAAUCAUAACAAACUCCCAACAAACUUUGUUAUUUUGUUUUCUAUUUAAUGAAUAUUUUACUUGAUUAUUCAAGUGUUCCUUGUGAGUUCGAUAUUCGUCCUUAAGGAUAAAUUAUUACUUCUGACAACACGGUGCACUUGUUGUAUCACAUAUUUAUAAAAACUUCUUAUCAUUACGAUUAGACGUUGAUAACAAUUAACAUUUCAAAUCUAUUCCCAACAUUCAAAAUAUGUUAAACAUUAUCAUUUGGGUCAGAAACUCAAGAGUAUUUUCCAGUCAAGAUCAAUCUAGAUCAUAGAAACAAACAUUACAAAUAAAAUGACAAUAACAAUCAUCAAUCAAGAACAAAAUAUUAUAUUUAAAUAUCAACUCAAUACAUAAGAGGAUGAAUUUCAAUCCCAAUUUUCAAAUUGAAGCAACAAAUUCUUGGACUUGUUUUCUAUUUAAUCAUUAUCAUCAUAACAAACUCCCAACAAACUUUGUUAUUUUGUUUUUUAUUUAGUGAAUCUUUUACUUAAUUAUUCAAUUGUUCCUUGUAGUUCUGAAAAUACAAUGCCCUUAUUAAAAUAGUUAUCACAUCUUGUCUCAAUACAUGGGGAUUGGGAGAAGCCAAUAGGAGAUCAUGUUUCCUCUUCAUACACAAAAGCUCCCCAACCACUUAUCACGAAGGAGGAAGUGGCUUUGUACUAAAUCUGCACCAGAUUUCACUCCUCCUCCAGAAGUCGGUCAAGGCCAACCCACUUCUUGUCACUGAACAAAACUCGUAGAUCAAAGAUCAAGAUGCGUUCUGCUUCAAUUCUGAAUUUGCGACACCCUUUGCAAGGAACAUAUCGAGUUAUUAACUUUGAAAGUCAAUAAAAAUAUUAUUUGCAGCAUUUUGAGUUAUUAACUUAUUAAUGACAAUAAAUAUGGAAGUUUUUGUUCAAUAAAAAAUUGAAACGUAAAAAAUGGGAAAAUAUGAUAUAGAAUUGUACCUUAAAUGGCUCUUCCAAUGUUAGACGACUUCUAGGCAAAUUUAAAACAAUGAUGUGCUUUGGAUUAAAUUUUGGUGGGAAAGACUUUGAAGGACACUCUUCCCAGUCAAGAAGUCUUAAAUAAUUUGGUAAAUGUUCAAGUUCAGAUGAAAAUUGUGUGUUUCGAACAAUGAGAAUUCUGAGACAUUCCAUCUUCACCAACUCAGUACCACUCCAUUCUACUUUUUCUCGUUGAGGGGGAUCAAGCAUAAACCCUUGAAUCAUAUCACUUCCCUUUAACACAAGUACAAAGAAGCAACAUCAACUGCCUAUUAUCAGUAAUAUAAAAUACUAUAAUCUAUAAAUAAAAAACAAAAUAGAAUAAAAGAGUAGAGGAUUACGUAAUCUUUUGUUAGUAUUUCAAUAGCAUCUUCAUAAUACCAUAUUCUGCUACGUUUAGCAGGAUUUGGUGAUUCCUGCUUAACAAUCUCUCUACCCAUAUCUUGUAUUAGAUCAUGCAUCUUCAGGCAGCCAUUCUCGACAGUUAUGAGAGAUUUAUUAAGAAGUAAUUUCAUGUUGGUUGUUGGACAAAAUUCUUGAAGUAUCUUUUUCACAUAUUCCAUUCUCUCCCCUUUAAAGAAGCAAGCUAUGUCCAAGAAAAUUUGUUGGGCAUUAUCAUCCAAUCUAUCGUAGCUUAUUUGAAGCACAUCUUGAAUCUUUGUAUUUGGAGUCUUCUCAUAUUCUUUCAUUGCCAUUUCCCAAUCUUCUAAACUUUCAUGAAAAGCAGCUAAAUCAGAGCCUAUGACUUUUAAAGCCAGUGGAAGACCUUUGGCGUAAUCUACAGCACGCACAGACACAUCUUCAAAACCUGUUUUAGGAUAACUUUGUCUGAAGGCAUUCCAACAAAAUAGCUGUAAAGAAUGUUGGUCAUCAAGUUCCUUCAUUUCAUACGUAGGUUUAACUUGGUGAGCAAUUAGCACAUUUUCUUCCCUUGUGGUUAUAAUGAUCCUACUACCUGGACCAAACCAAUUACACUCUCCUGCCAACUUUUCUAACUGGUCUUUAUCACCAACGUCAUCAAGAACCAAAAGAACUUUCUUUUUCUGAAGCUUUUCUUUUAUUUCACCCAUUCCUUUAAUUGUACUUUCCAAUUUAGUUUCCAACUCCUCAAACAUCUUAGAUAAAAGUGUCUUUUGUAGAUCUUCCAUGCCAUUGAUUCUGUUUGAUUUUUCUCUAACAUCGGAAAGAAAACUUGCUGCAUCAAAGUGUUGCACAAUUUUGUCAUACAAAGCUUUGGCAAGUUCCGUUUUUCCAAUUCCACCAAGUCCAUAUAUGCCCAACAUAUUUACAGUUUUAUCAUCAGGCUUCAUGUCUAAAAGUGACAUAACUUCUUCUAUGCAAGCCUCAAGUCCAAUAGGGUUUUGACCACUAUAUAAAGGUUUAGGAAUUAUAUAUUCAUGGACCUUCUCAACAAUUUCUUCAAUACAAUAGCUUUCAUCAUCCCUAUAAGAGUAGAAUGUAUUAAUUAAUUAUUUGUUUGAUAUCAUGAUUUUUUUUAUUGUACUAAGUGGUGAUUAUUGUACUAGAUUUUUUUUUAUCGGCAAUAAAAAAUAAAUAAAAUAAAAAUAGAACCACUUCAGGGGUGGUUUAACCCUUAUACAUAAAAAAGCUAAACCAGCUCCAACUAACGUCUUCCAAAAACCAACCCAACUCUUCUACCCCUUACAAAACCAAGCAAAAAACCUCAAGAAACUAACCUUGUACACUCCAAAGGAGCCAAACACCAGAAUAAGAAAACGAAACUAACCGGGAAUUUGUUGAAACCCAAGACCAAGCCUUUACCUGUGCCAACGCAAAGAGCUCUUUCUCGUCUGCCACUCCUCUAUUAAAAAUUAUACGAUUCCUGUGGCUCCAAAUCUCACUUAUCACCCCAACCCAAAUCGUGUUCCAAGCAACCAGACCCGUCUCCGAAGGUAAGCACAAUCUAAAUUGAUCAAAGUUGCACCUUGGUUCAAUAUGAGUCACAAACUGGAUUCCUAGCCACUUAAAACAUAAACACCAAACUCGCCAAGCAAACGAACAACCAAAGAACAGAUGGCUACUCGACUCCUCCUCCUUCCCGCACAACACGCACCUCAAGCUUUCUAAUCGAACCCCUCUUCUACUAAGAUUGACCCUGGUAGCUAGCUUGUUUUUCAACACCCUCCAAGCCAAAACCAUUGCAGAAGGAAUUGCUUUACUCCUCCACAACUUCCUAAGCUCCUGCGAAGAAACCGCUUCAAAAUCCUUCCUGAUAAGGUUGUAAGCAGAGCUAACGGUGUAAGACUGAACACCCCCACCCUUCCAAAUCCACCUAUCAGUCUCUCCAAGAACAACCUCAACCCCAAGCAGGAGCUGACUUAAUCGAUCCGCCGCCGGUUUCUCCCAUUCGAAAAAAGGCCUUCUCCAAUCAAGUCCCUAGACCCAUCUCCCAUCAGACCAAGACCCAAGAUCCGACAGUUUUGCAUGUUUGUUAGAGCUGAUUGAGAAAAGUCGUGGAAAAACAUUCUUCAACGCCUCACCCAUCAACUAGCUAUCCUUCCAGAAACAAAUGUCCAUCCCAUUCCCAAUCUUCCACUCAAAACUGUCUUCGAAACAUCUCCCCCACCCCUUCGAAUACCAAACUUCCUUCAAAUCCUUCCACCAAAGAGAACAACUCUUACCAUUACUUGCCACCCCCAGAUCUCUCCACCCCCCGUACUUAGAGAAAAUGAUGUCCUUCCAAAGUCCUACCUCAACCGAACCCAACCUCCAAAUCCACUUUCCCAACAAAGCCCCCCAAACUCACGAGGUUUACACACCAGGUUNNNNNNNNNNNNNNNNNNNNNNNNNNNNNNNNNNNNNNNNNNNNNNNNNNNNNNNNNNNNNNNNNNNNNNNNNNNNNNNNNNNNNNNNNNNNNNNNNNNNAGAAAAUCCCUUUGCAACUUGAUCAACUUACUUGCCACCCUAGUAGGCAAUCUGAACAAAGACAUAUAAAAUAACGGAAUAGCAGAAAGCACAAACCUAAUCAGACAAAUCCUCCCAGCCAUCAACAAACUUCUUCCCUUCCACCUGCUUAACCUAGCCUGCACUUUCUCAAUCACCCUGUUCCAAAACGUACCGCACUUGUGACUCCCUCCAACAGGCAGACCCAAGUAAAUGAACGGAGGGGCCAUCGUAUCACACCCAAGAAUCGCUGCAAAUCUCUGAAGUGUGGCCUGGUCCAUCCCCGUCCCUCCAAUCCUACUCUUCGCAAAAUUAACCCUUAACCCAGAAGAUAGCUCGAAACACUACAGGAUCGCCCUGAUAUUAAAGACACUUUUGGUAUUUGCUUCACAGAAGAACAAAGUGGCGUCCGCAUACUGUAACAUAUUUACCUUUACUUUACUCUUCCCAACCUCCAAACUGUCAAUCAACUUCUUUUCCUCUGCUACCCUUGUCACCCCAGCUAAACCCUCCGCCACAAUAAGGAAGAGAAAAGGGGCAAGCGGGUCGCCUUGACGUAGACCCUUUCUAGGAAAGAACUCCCUAGUUGGGCUUCCGUUUACAAGGACCGACACCGAAACUGACUCCAGGCAUCCCUUUAUCCAUCGAAUCCACCGAGCACAGAAACCCAACCUUCUUAACAUAUAAUAUAAAAAUUCCCAUUUCACCGAAUCGUAUGCCUUCUCGUAGUCGACUUUAAAGCAGAUACUUUGUUUUCUCUUUCUCUUGUACUCCUCAAGAANNNNNNNNNNNNNNNNNNNNNNNNNNNNNNNNNNNNNNNNNNNNNNNNNNNNNNNNNNNNNNNNNNNNNNNNNNNNNNNNNNNNNNNNNNNNNNNNNNNNUUCCAAUCACCUUUUUCAGGCGCAAGGAGAGCGCCUUUGAGAUGAUCUUAUACAGGCAACCUACUAAUGAGAUAGGUCUAAACUCCCCCAACUGUUGAGGAUUUUCAACUUUUGGAAUCAAACAAAGAAACGACGCAUUUGAUACUCUUGGCCAACAUCCAAAAUCAGCAAAGUCCUUUACUGCGUUCAUCACAUCCUUCUUCACAAUGUCCCAACAAGAUUUUAAAAAACAAAAGUUAAACCCGUCGGGACCAAGACUUUUUGAACUAUCACACCCCCAGAUCGCAUCUCUUACCUCAUCUUCCGAGAAAACGCUGACUAACAUAGCGUUAUCUGCUUCUGAUAUGGUAUUGAACCUGACAUUAUCCAAAGUGACCUGACAAACAUCGUUCCGGGCAAACCUUUCUUCAAAGUACUUACGAACCUUAUCCUUUACCUCCUCCUUAUCAUCACACCAUUUAUUAUUGUCGAAAAAUCCAUGUAACUGAUUCCUUGCCCUCCUCCACUUAACCGCAGAAUGAAAGAACUUUGUAUUAUGAUCCCCCUGCUUUAUCCAAUUCUGCUUUGCUUUCUAAAAUAAGAUCGCCUCUUGUUUGGAUCUGGACUCAGAUAGUUGAGCAAAUAGGGACUUUCUUUCAUCCUUUUCUGAUUCCAACAACCCGUCUUCGUCGUCACGAGAAUCUAACUCGUCUAACCUUUUCUAGAUUUCCUUACUAGCCUGAUCUCCGAAUACUUCCCUAUUCCACACCUUUAGGUCUGCUUUUAACUUUUUCAGCUUCUCUUUAAACACAAAAAUUCCCCCUCCCGUCACCUUGUAAGCAGACCAGCUCGAACUCACAAACUCCUUGAACCUGUGAUCCUUCAGCCAAACAUUCAAAAACCUAAACGGCUUCGGACCCCAAUCCACUGACACCUCCUUCAGAAUAACAGCACAAUGAUCUGAGAUUGAUCUAUUGAAGACAAAUUGUUGGCUGUUAGGCCACACCUCCAACCACUCCUUGGAGACCAGCACCCUGUCAAUCCUGCUUUUCACCAAACCAUUGGGUUUGAACCAAGUAAACUUCCUGCCCACCAACGGAAUAUCAACCAAUCCGAGCACGACACCAAACUCUUCCUUUCCUCCUGCCUUCUUAUACAAUUAAAGUCUCCAAUGAUGCACCAAGCCUUCGAUAACUGACCUUGUCUGAAACAACUGAUCUCGUUCCACAUCUCCUUCUUCUCUCGAAAAGAUCCUGAACAAUAAAUGUUCACGAUGGUUACUUGGGUUCCAAAACCCCUCUUCCAAACCCCUUCUAACACUGAAAAGUUCCUACCAUUCUUGAAACUGGACAACUGAAAAACCUUAUUGCUCCACAUCGUAAUCACCCUACCUGCUUUAUUAACUGCUUUGUUUUCCACCCAAUCCACUUCGUUAGUUCCCCAAAAAAGACACACCUUUUCCCUACUAAAAUCUGAACACUUUGUCUCUUGUAAACACGCCAUGUUCACCUGCUCCCUACUGAUCAAAUCCCUGACAUAAUUCUUUUUUACCGCCCCGCCUACCCCUCUGAUAUUCAGACUAAGAAUCUUCAUUAACAACCUUGCUCCUCUCUUUCCACAUUCUUCUCGUAGUCACCCCGCCUUGAUUAGAUAACGAAUAAAUACCAUCUAAAACUACCUCUUCUCGAUCGGCGAGCGAAAACCCAGCUUCUUUCCCUACUCCCCAGACACUUGCAGCCAAAUUCUUAUCUGUUUUCACCCAAAAAAUCAUGUUACAAUUCUCAAUUGCGCUAUCAGAAGUGAAAAGUGAAUUCGACGAGCUGCCUGUUUGAUGAACCAAAAACACUUGUUCCACUGAGGACUGUCUUCCUACGACUUCUCCAUCCAAACCCGUCACCCUGCCCUCCGUAUCUCCGUUGUUGCCUCCACCUUCCACUUCAUCUUCCAUACCUGCCCCCAAAUCCUCUAAUAGUCCUCCUGGAGGGAGGGCACACCCACCAUCUCUCGACUUUGACAUCUCUGACCUCCUUGCCCCCUCUGCAUCGACCAACUUUUCAGGAUCUACCAGUUCACUGUCAUUCAAACCUUGGACUACUGGAGACUUUGGGAUGUCCUUUACAGUUGCUACUGAACUCCCGUCGACUCCGUCUCUAAUCACACUGGUCCCAGACUGUUCCAAAUCAUUCAAAGAAGGACAUAUCCCUACCGAAUUAGCGACCCUACUCACUGAACUCGUCUGUCUUGAGACGCUCCCGACUUCUCCUUCUUCUUCUUCGUGACAACCAUCCUGGACACUCAAAUUCUCUUUGCACGGCUUCAUAAAUGCACUUUGGCACUUUAAAUCCCCCACCACUCCUUUCACACUUAGAACUCCAUUUUCCACGCACUUAAUCAUAGGGGGACACACUUUUAAAGAAGCGAGCCCACCAUCAUUAAUUUCCUGCAUUCCUACUUCUUGAAAUGGCUCUUGAGGUGGCGCUUGAAAAGACGCUCCAGCCCUCACAUUCCCUCUCAACAUGCACCUACUUUCACUUACCCCUCCAUUACUCCUUGCCUUAUCAUUCGCUGACUUGGACUCCUUGGAACUAGCCACCUCCACGUAGGAAUCCACUAUCUCUAUCUUUGAACAGCUAAGAGAACCGUGCCCACCCACUAACUCCACUCUCUUUCUCAAAGAAAUACCGUGCACAUUCAUUGGCCCUCUUAAAUUAUCUUGAAACCAUCCUUCACGCCCCUUACCAAGACAAACCGGGUCCACCAUGCCCUGGACCGUCUCUUCCAACUCCAAGCCUCCUUCCCCGACGGCACCCACACCUCCAUCUCCGGCCAACCCAAGCUCCGACCCCACUGAAUCGCACAAGCUUGCACCUACGCUUCCGUCAUCGGAGUUAGCUUCGGUGUCUACCUCUAAAGCUCCGCCAUUCCACUUGCCAAGACUCUGCUCCGGGACGGACAUCUCUUCAACAAAGGCAACCUUACAUGACCUACCAUUGAUGCACAACUCCUUCUCCAUAUUGACUGUUGAUCUUACCGAUGUUUUAACUCUAAACCGAGCAAACUCCACUGUUUCUCUUCUCUCAGUUACUUCGUCGACCUCCAUCACCUCUCCCACCACUACCCCUAUUUUGGAAAAACUAUGUUUGCACCAGAACUGUAGCGGGAUUCCACUGCAUCGUAUCCAUGCAAAACGUUCUUUUAGUUCGAAAGAACCAUCCCAGGGUGUAACCGCCGAGAACGCUUCGUCGAACCAAGACCUGUUGUCUGCAAUGAUCUUCUUCAGACUUCCUCCAUCAUCGCAAGACAGCAGAACGAACCUACCACCAAGAUAUCUUACUUUGACUAGGCUGAAACCUCCCAACACAAAGCUCUCCUUAAUCACUUGCAUGCUUGGAAGCUCUUUCAAACUACCAACGUAGCAUCUACUAACCAAUCGUCUUGUUCUACCUCCACUGUAACCUGAGAAUCAACGUCGCCCCCCAAAGAGCUACCCACAAUCUCGCCUGUUCCAAGCUUUCCUGCCCCCCCCCCCCCCCCGAAACCACUUGAGCGAACGAAACCUGCUCCGUUUGCUUCCCCUUCCCACUCGUUGUGCUCGUCAUUGGGUUCCUCCCUAAUCUGGACCCUUCAUUCCUUUGCUUCCUUGAACCAUCCUUCCUCUUAUAUUUGGGAAGGUUCACCUGCAUCUUCCAAGUGCCAAUCCAGAGUGCACUCAAUUCUCUUUCCAGGGAAAGAACAUCCUUCACACCCUGGAACCUUACAAAACCAAACUUCUUAUUCCUUGCAUUGAGCUUUCUUGAAACAAAGACAUCCAUAACCCUUCCCCACCUUUGGAAAACCUUCCAAAGAUCUCUCUCCAUGAAAUGCUCGGGGAAGUUAGUAAAGAAAAACGAAGUGUCCGCCAUUGUCGAAAGUUAACAAACCGCCUUUACUUACUCCGACCAUCGUGUUUCUCCGGUUACUAUUUUAUUGUACUAGAUAGUAAGCAAUGAUACUAAUAGCAAGUAGCACAAAAGAACAAUGAUUACACAUUAUACAAAAUUUACUGGAGAUGAAAAAGUUAGAGAAAUUUUAUUCUAAACAAAAAAUUCAAUAAUUUAUAAAGAAAAAUACCUAAAUAUAAUAUAAUAUUCAAAUAAAGAAUGAUUUUUUCCACUUUGGAUUUUUAUUAGUUUUUUAUCUUUUAAAUUAUACUUUUUAAUAUCCAGAAUUAUACUUUGUGACUAACAAAAUCAAUUAACACCCUGAAAAAAAUCUAAAGUUUAAGAUGUAGAAUAUUAUAUAUAACAAACUACACAUGAUAAAAACAAUAUUGCAUCCCAUUAUAAUUAAGAUGUAGAAUAUUAUAUAUAACAAACUACACGUGAUAAAAAUAAUAUUGCAUACCAUAAAGUAUAUUACUUGAAAUCAUUUUUGUUUGUGAAAAGUAAAGUCCUACAUAAGAUUAACUUAUUUUUGGUUUUUAACCUUUUAUAAAAGGCUAUAAUUAUUUUUUAACUAAAUUAAUUUAUUUUUGGAUGAGAGAAAAAUUAAGAGAGGAAAAAUAUUUUUUCUUUUAAAUUUUCUUACCAAUUGUAUUUUUUUUAUAAGAGAAGUAAAGUCUUACAUCUUAAUAGAUGAUAUAUGUGGAUGAUAAGUUAGUAAUAGUUUCCAACAAAGUUCGAAUAUGAGAAUUGAAGGGCAUUUGAUAAUAAGAAUUUAAGAUCAACAAUCUAAGAUUUUAGAAAUACUCACCAAUAUAGAAAAGAGAAAUGUUUUACUUCCUUAGAAUAAAAUAUUUCAAUCAACAACAUAAAAAAUUUAUGAUAAGAGGUAAAGCAAUACUCACCUGGGAGCAUGGUGCUUAGAAAAUCUAAGGAGGUGUUGAAGGAACCCAAGAGAACAACAUGGUACUCAUUGAGAAAAUAUUGUUAGAGUUUAUGGUGUUCAAUAAACACAAUUGAUGAUGGAAGUGAGAAACAACGAAAGAAAGACAAUCGAGACUCUCUAUGCUCUGUGUGAAAGAACCCAUUACAACAACGUUCAUUGAGGUAACAACUCAUACCAUUAACAACUUUCCAUUUGACUUUGCUAUUAAUAAUAGCAAUAGACUCUUUUGCUUACGAAAUGGAAGUGCAGAGGAUAUUAGGUUAUGUGAAUUAGGUUAGGAAAUCAGAAUUACAUUUAUAGGGUAGGAUGAAAAUAUCUUAAAGAUGAUUGAGAAAAUGAAGGGAAGAGACUGCGAAAUGAAAAUAUUAAAGGGAGAGAAGAGACAAUCCAAUUGAUGAAGAUAAUAUGUUUAAACAUUGUAGGGGAAUUGAUUAAUAAGGAGGAGGGUGGGGUAGUGUGCUAACAAGAAACCAAAUUGGAAAUAGUCAAUAAAGAAAGAUGCUACAAUAUGGGAAACGAUGACAUAAAAUGGGAACAUUUUGCAGUUGUAAAUGGAGUACAAGGAAUUUUAACUAUGUGGCCUAAGGAUACUUUCAUAUGUGAAACAUUGGUUAGAAACACAAGUUUUGUAAGGGUUAAGGAAAGGUACAAAAAGAAUAAUAUGUCAAUAGUAAUACUAAAUGUGUAGUUCCCUUAGAGAAAUGUUAGAGAAAUGUGACUAAAUUAUGUCUUGAAGCAAAAUGAACUUUUUUAUCUUUAACAAGUUUUACGUCCAAUUAUGAUAGAUAUUGAUUUGCGCUCAAAUUUUUUUUUUAGAUUCGUGGGUAAUUAUUUAUGGACACAAAUAUGUCAGUAAAUGUCUAACAUUAUCUAUUGGUACAAUUCGUCGAUAAUAAAAUAAUAUCGACGAACAUAAAUCUGUCAAUAAAUUUUCAUUAGUAAUUCAAUAAUUUUUUGUAGUAGGUGGUUUUAAGAGAAAAAUUAAAAAGAUUUAAGCAUGACUUAAAAGUUUGGAAUAAAGAGGAAUUUGGUAAUGUAAACCAAAUCAAGCAAACCACUAUAACUCAUAGAGGUGAUUUUGACAAAAUGGAUUACUCAAAUGAUCUAUAUGAGAAAGGAAUGAUGGAAAGGAAGAAACUCUUUAGUGAACUCAAACUCAUAGACUAGCAACAUAAGUCCUUGGAGAAAUAAAUUCAAUGUUAGGCUAAUGAACAUUAUCUUCUAUUUCUCCUAGUGAUAAUAUAGUCCUAACAAGACAAAAUAGAAAUUAAGAAAGCACUAGGCAUGUUGUGUGGAAUAUGUGCAACAAGUAUGUUGGAGUAAGUACUGCUACUCAAAAUCAUGUAAAGUUGAACUUUCAACAAUUCUACUUGUCGAGAAUGAAUGACAAAGGAAAUAGGAUAUGGGGGUGUAUGUGGAUAGAGAUCUUUUUUUUGGAUUAUAUAGAAUCAAAGGAAUAAAAAUAUCUUUAAGAAUGAGACCGUAUAUGAAGAGAUAUUUUUUUUACACAAAUAAAAGUAUAAGCUUGGACAAGGAAUAGAUCUUUAUCAACUUUCACAUAAAACCCCUAUAUAAAUAAUAUGGUAUACUCGCACAAUGGGCAUAUGCAAUUGUUAUCAAUUAUAAGUUUUUUUCAAGUUUGAGUCACUAAGAGUUGAGAUUUAUCGAGUACCAUAGACAUCAACGAUGUAAAACCUUAUGUACGACAUAUGUAAAAAAACUAAACUUUAAAUAAGGAGUGACAACAAUUAGUAUAGGUUUAUGGUAAAUUCUGAUACUGAGAUGUGAAGUGUUAUUAAGAGGAUCCUUAGAUACUUCAGAGGAACCUCAGACAUUGUAUUAUGUUUUGAAAUAUCAGAAUUAGAUAUGAUCUUUAUUAAAUGAAGUCUAUUAGUGACUAUGUGUGUAUACUUAUAGGUGGAGCAAUAUGUUAAUUAUUCAAGUUGGAUGAUUUUAUAAUUUUGUCUAGUACAUAAAUUGAAAACAUAAAAGGCAUCCAAGCAUACAUGAAAGCUAUCUAAAUUCAAAGGUAUACAUGAAAGCUAUCUAAAUUCAAAGGUUAAUUGAUGAACUAAGACAUAAAGCAACAAAAAAAAAAAUAUUCUAAUAGUGAAAAUGCAUUUACACAUAACAAUAAUAGUGAAAAUGUAUUCUAUUCGAUAGAUAAUAUACUAUUUUUUUAUUUUAGAUUUAUAAGGUGGUUAUAUUAUAAUUUUAUUUCUUUAAUUUUAUAAAGUUACUUUAUUAAUUUUAUUUUAGUUGUAAAUAAUUAUCCCAUAAAAUACAUGAUUUUUUCGAAAUAUGGGAUGAAAAAGAAAUAACAUUGAAUGGUUUGUUAUACAUACCCGGUGGUAAUAAUAUGCCUCCCUGGGAAGUCAAAAGCUUGAGACAAGGCUGACCUCCAAGCCUGCAUUUUCUGUGAUUCUUUUCCAAUCUCAUGUUCAUGUGCCUUCAUGUGUUUUCCGAAGCUGUUUCUCUCGUGCCGUAUAUCUGAGGGAUCUACAUGGUAAAACACUGGGUAAACAAGCUGCUUCUUCUCCUUCAUUUUGCUGCGUUCUAUGAUCCUAACAAGUUCAUCCAGACACCGUGUAGAAGAUGCAUAGUUCUCAGAAAACACAACGAUGAAAAUCUUAGAUUCUUCAAUGGCCUUCGACAGAGCAGGUGGAAGACUUUCCCCUAUCCUCAUAUUCCUAUCAUCAUUGAAACUUUUUAUUCCCCUCCUACCCAACUCUCUACGCAGAUGCCCUAUAAAAGUGUACCUUGUAUCUUCCCCUCUAAAACUGAUGAACAAG